rnacentral:lncRNA from 1 species
AUCCGCGUAUUGGAAUCACAAUUCAGAAUCAAGUUAAAGCGGCCAAUGUCACUCGAGAGAGUAGGCACUUGCAAAUCUGCUAAUAAUUAUUGGAGCAUCACCCUUCCGCACAAUCAACAGAAAGUCAUCAUCUUGAGAACCCACAGCAAAGAGUUCAUUUUUUUGCAGUAGAUACGUAGCUAUAUUAACAACGAUACUUCCAGCAUGCACAAAUGGGACUUCUUGAUGGUUACGCUGCUAAAGACAUUUACAAAUCCCCAUCAAUACUGGUGUUUAUUCCUCAUGAUGAUCCAGUGAGCUGACAAUAAAAGAAAACCUCGGCAUUACUAGUAAAUCGUCACUGCAAGCAUGGAAGAGAUUCAGGUAGGAAUUACCCUUGUCUUCAUUGAGAGGCUUUAACCUCCCUUGUCAGCAGGCCCAUGGUUCGAUGCAUCCUCUGAAGCGUCUAAGCAAGGAUUGCUUUUACACUGACUUACAGGCUGAGAAAGUUGGGACCCCUUUUGCGAAAAGUUUGGUUUACCUUUCGGAGUCUCAGACAGGCUUCCCGUUGACAGCUUUGCUAGGCCCAUUGUCUUGUGCUCACGCGGGAGCUUUGUUGAAAAAGGUGAUUCAGGUGUAUCAGGAUGCUUCCCAGGAAUAUCCAUCGGUCUAUGAAACAGCAAAUGAGCCACAGUCCGGUCUACCGGAUUGGUCUCUGUUUCCACCUCAGGCAUCUUAACCACCCUGCAGUAUACUCAUAAAAUCCAUGAGGAAAAUGACAGGAAACUUUGAGAUUGCCAUACUCUAAACAAAUUGAUAAAGACUUGAUUAAUAAUUUUGUGCAAACAAAUUGAAUGAUUUGAAAUGGGAAGGACGAGAUGUAAAGGAACAAACCCAUUGGAACAAGAAACAAUCACAUUGUCGCUUACAACAAAAAAUCGAGUUUCAGAUCAAAACAGCUUAUGGUUUUGGCUGGAAGUGUCCCAUUUAGACAUUGAUGAGCCGAUUAGAAGAUGAUUUGAGUUCUUAAAUUUCUUGCUUAAAAUGUAAUGUAUCAUGAUUCUGCAGAUGAUCAUUAAAUUAGAAGGGAAAUUUAAUUUUGCCCUGUUUAUCUAAAGUUGUGCAAGUUCUCUGCAUUGAUGAUUCCAGUGAAUUUGUACAGAUCUUGUUUUCCUUCUAUUUGUCCUUGAAUAAACUUAUUGCACUUGUUGAACAAUCUUUGUUUCUCUCUCUUAGUUAAAUCUAGUAAAAUUUAUCAUGUAUGUUGUGCCACUCAUUUAGACUUGGAUGUGCGUGUUUAGCUCUUCUUUUCGGAUUAAGGUGAUUAUGCACAAAUUCACUGGAAUCAACAUUGCAGAAAACUUGCAUAGAUUUUGUUAAUAUUGGAAAAAUUAAAUUCGUUUUCUAAUUAAAUGAAAAUCUCUCCUAAAUAUUAUGCUAUUUGAAUUGUCACCUCAUGACUACUUGCUGCACUGCACUCAUGAAUGCUGCACCAGGGUAAAGCUACAAAUGUCAGUUUAAUAUCUGCCUCUACCUAGGUUGGCCUACAUACAAUACCAAAGCUUCUCUCAACUAAAUCAAGACAUGAUGACCAGCACUCACAAUCAUAACAGAACCAGUGGAAGCGAACUACUACAUAUUUGAUCAACAAGGUCAAAUUCAGUCAAGUUUUUAAGGAAAUCCAGUGAAAGAGGAACCUAAAAUUUUCUGUUUAGAUUUUCUUCUACUUCUAAGAACAAGCGCUGCCUUAAUUGAAUUGUUUCAGUCACUAUUCCUCCAUUGUAAAUAGAGGAUACCGUUUUCAAUAUUUAUUUCCAGAGUGAGAAUGGAAAACAGAAAAUGGUGAUGGCAUUAAAAGAUCCUAAUUUAACAUUUCCAUAGAGCAAAAAUGUUUUUUAAAAAAGAGAGAGGAUAGAUUAAAUUUGAAAACAGAAGCAUGAGAAAUGCAUUACCUUAACCAACCUUCUUUGACUACUAUUGUUUGUACUGCCAGUAUCACUAGCAUAAUGCCUUUGCAUUGCACUUUGAGCCAGCCGGAACAAGCUAUCCCGAAUACAAAGUCUAAUUCUGACAUCCAACUGUUGUAAAACAUUGGUUUGGAAUCGUAACCAAGCACAAAUUAUUUAGCAGGGAAAGAAUGCAAUAGUAGGUGAAGCAUACCUUUGAAAUAAUAUCUUGAAGCCUGUAGAGUACUGUGUCCUCCAUUGAAUAAUCAUUAACCGCCAGAGAGACUGUAUUGGAAUCGUCUUGCUCAAUAGGUGAGUUUGGGUCAAAUGAAGCAAGUGUACUUAGAUCCUCUACUUCAAGGUCAGCUCCUUCAACAUGCUGAAUUUGAUUUUCUUGGGAACACUUUUGAUGAACAAGCUGCUGCUGCUGUUUCUGAAUGGCAAGCAUUGCCUGAAUUUGUUGCCGCCUCCUUAAUUUUUCAAUCUUUUCCUGAGGUGUCAUUCUCUGGGGUUUCACUGGACAGUCAGCUAACUUGUUUAUAGGAUUUGCAUUGCCUGAAACUUCAUAACCAGAAAUUUUAGGUCGAUGAUUAAAUGACUAGAAAUUUUGUUGGAAAGUCAGAAAACUUUAACAGGAUUCGCAUUACCUGAAGAAACUUCAUAACCAGAAGCUAAAGGUUGAUGCUUAAAAUCCCCAGACUGAAUGUGGGACAACCCAGGCAUAGAAUAUGGAUUUGUAAUACUCCCGUAGGCAGAAGGGGCCACAAAUGGAUUGGAUAUCUGCUGGUACUGCAACUGCUCGGAACCCUGUAGCUGCUUCUGUUGGCUGAGAAUUGAAGGGGGAGAAGAUUGCAUAAUUUGGGGUUCUAAAUGAUCCUUAAGUUGACAGGCUGGGAUUCCAGAUGAAGUCCAGUUUCCAUAAAAAUCUUGGUAUGAUUUCAGUUCACCUUUUUCUUCCAGUUUUUCCCGACCUUUCAAGAUCUUCUUUUGCCUGUAAGUCUGAUCACAGAACUAUAAACAUAUAAAUAGACAAAUUACUUAGAAUAGAUCAACGUUUUAACCAUCUAGACCUGCAGGGGAGAGUGACUAAGGCACAGUUAGUAUUUUAACUCAGUACAUGGUUUGUAAGGAUAAAUUCAAUGUUAUUUUUUUUUUUUAAUUGUAACUUACGAUCCAAAGGGCUUCUAUUGUUCAGAAUAUAUUGAGGUAUUAGCUAAACUAUGCCAAGCAAACAGAAUUUGCAUGUCCCUGGGAAGAGUGGGUGUCAUACUAGAAAUAUAAAUUACUGAUGCCUCCUGAAUUUUGACAUGCUAUUCCUUUCUCCUUCCUACUAACAGAAAACCAGACAAUGGCUUUACUUUAGGCAAUCGAUAUCAUGGUUAAGUCAUGGAUUUGACAUCAAGGAUAACUUAAUUGAUGCAUUAUUGAAGUGAUGACUAAAUCAUGUAAAUCCAUAUUCACCCAACAUCCAAGUUUAAUCUCAUUCCAAAAAAUAAAACUAAUAGCAUGAAUUAUGAAGAGACGAAGAGGAAUUUAAAUAAUAUAAUUUCUCUUUUCUGUCGCCAUUUUCCAUUCCAGAGAAGUACUCAGGAAGUCUUAAUAAGUUCAAGUGUAAGGUAACUUUUACCCUUCCCAGCUCUAAUUAGGUUUCGCUGUCCCUCCAAUCUAAUUUAAGAUCUAAUAUGAGGAAACCACACUGUAUUAGUGAAAGGAUCACAAUAUCAAGAUUUUCCAACUUCAAUUCACUGAUAUAACUUUUCUUGAAUCCUGGACAAAAGAACUUAGAACAUCAAAAGAUCAUAGCAGGAUUCUAAAAAACAAAGAUUGUAUUUGGUGCCUAUUGAGUCUAAAAGUUAUCUUGGAUGAAAAGGGUAAAAAUCAGUAAUAUGUCUGGUUCAGUAUCAAGAUUUUGAAAAUAUCAAAAGGAAGAAAAAAAAAGGUACCUUGUUUGCUAAUUCAUUUGGAAAAGCACCAUUUUCCUCUGUCAGUUGAGAGUUAGCCGCCGUGUUCUUUCCCACAACAGCCAAAUCUGUCUGCAAAAGCACAAAAAAAUAAAAUAAAAAAUGCUAAGCUUCUCUCAGCUCCUGCACUUGAGCAUGGGGCAUUAAUAAGUGAACUCAUUACUGAAAAUUGAGUCGCUAUACCUGCUCCUUCAGUAUAGGCUUGUUUUUACCUUCAUCAUAUUCUACAUGAUCAAGGCUUGCCUGAGUAUUCUGCAGACCAUGAGAUGCAGGGUCGUUCAUUUUUCCAUAGCCAAGGGCAAACAGCUGGUCCUCUUCUCUCGAAGCCACAGAUAUUGGAAAGGGCUUUACCGGGCUGUUAGUUGUACAUUUUGAAGAAGACCAUAGCUCAUCAGCAUUACCAAGAUUUACAUUGCCAAAUAUUGGGUCAUCAUUGCUGCAAAAUCACCACUUGUGAGGAUAUUGAGUCAGAUGGUUAUCACUGUUCUCCAACAGAAUCAAGAUAAAAUAUAAGAACAUUAGUGAAGAACAGAAAUGCAGGAAAGCCCUUCCACAAUUGAACAAGCUCACCAAUUCCUUACAAAUCCAGUGCUGCUAUAUUACAUUCUUUCUGCCAUUUAUACUUGUAAUUGAGGAUAUUGUGCUGCUAAAAACUCGCAUCCUUCAGGUUCUUUUCACAAUUAACAAAAUUAAGCCAGGAUCAAAAACCAUAAAUUUUCAAACAACUAGUCUUUUUUGUUAGUGUUGCUUUCAGCAGACAGCACUUGUUUGGAAAAGGAUAUAGAUCCAAAACAGAAGAAACUACAAUUAUUAAAAGAGUCUGGUUGUUUUUCCUUCACAACAACACUCUUGUAGUACAUGAUUUUUUUCUUCUGAAAUGAAAAUAGGCAGUGAGCAUAAUUAUUUUGUCCGCGAAACUUUCACUUCACAGUCAGUAAUAAGAAUUUGUUCAAAUUAUCAGAAUAAUGAGAUGUACAAGCUUCCAUAUCAGGGUGCUGCUGACCAUCUUUCAUUUAGGUGCAGAAAGUAAGAAAUGGUAACUGUGCUUUACCUAAAAAUUCGAUCAAGAUCAUCAAAGCUUCCAAUGCUAGCCCAGCCAUAAUCAACAAAAUCACCUUGCUCUUCACCUUCAUGAGGAUUUUGAAAAAUCUCAGUGUCCUUAUCAAGAUGAUCUGUCUCUGCGUUUUAAAAAAAAGAAUUAGAAUGACAGUAGCAUGUAAGAUACUAUGCUAUGAAAACAUCAUGCAACUCGUCACCCUAUCUACAUUUUUUCCUUGUAAUUGAAAUCUCAUCACCUGCUGAUGAAUCGAGUUUGGUAAUCUCAGUUAGAUUGUUAGAGAUUGAAGUUUCCAAGGAAUCCUGCUCAGUUUUGGCAGCAUUACGUGAGGACAAGUUAGGCCAUCGGUCCAUGUCAAGUCCUAAGGAAGAAGUUCCUUCACUUGUGUCAACAUUCGAAAUGCUCUCCAGCUUUCUGCCAUCAGUAUCAACUUUAGCCCCGGGUGCCUUCUGCUCACUAGAUUUAAUGGUGCUAGCUUCUUCACUCGAUUCCUUUUUCUUGCAAUAAUCUUCACUUGCCUCUGGAUAUGGCACGAUAUGGUCAUCACUAUCUUCAGCCUCACCCCAUAUUAUGUUCGUAAGCUGAAAAGAUAGUGAGUAAGCAUCAUCACUAAAUGUGGGAUACAUGAGAAGAAUGAAACAGUCACAAGUUAAUCUCUGGGUAACUUGGCAAGACUAUUUUCCCCAACAUAAUAUUCUGAAUAAUACACUAAUUAAUCAGUUCAGUUCCUUGUAAGGUGUGCGUGGGCACAUAUGAGCACACAUGUGUGUACGAGAGUUGCUAGUGUCAAUGAGUUGGGAACAAAAUAUUUAAUUGAGUCAUGCAGAAAAUACUAAAAUGUUCUAAAUUGUGUUAAAAAUAAAAUAGAAAGUAGAAGCCAUUGGCAUGAUUCAUUUAAAAAUUUCUACAAAAUUAAAAAAAGAAAACAAAACAAAAGGAGGAGAUGGCCCAAAGCAUGCUCUCAAUAAGAUGAAGUAAGACCUAAAGCUUCAUUGCAUGUACAGAGCACUUUGGAAACUUCAGUCUGGACAAAUAAAACCAAGGCAAAGUAUCUUCUUUUUGGAACUAAUUUCUUCACAGUAAGAUAUAACAUCCAACGCUACCUGCAUCACUUUCUCAUGGUCCUCUCUGACUCGAGUGAUCAUAAACCUUCUCAAAUCCCAUUUAAAGAAGAUUCCCUUUCUCACUUUUCGUUGGUAUUAUUUGACACCAAGAUCACAACCAAACAUUACCAAUAAGUGUGUCACCGGAGAAAGAAACUUAGGUGCCCUAAUACCAUAAAUAAAACCUAUUCAAUAAAAAUUAGACAAUAUUUUAUAGCUGUACAUCUAUAAUCAAAGUAAAAUGCCCAAAACUCUGAAUCCUGAAUAUGUGAAUCAAAGUAAAAGGCCCUAACUGAUGCACCAUCAGCAGUCUCCUACUUUGACUUGUGAUUAAUGACCUAGCAGUUCACUUCAACAACAUUAGUGAACAUAAGUUUGAAUUUCAGACCCAGCAAGAAGAAGUACAUUUUCCAGUAGGCAUGCAUAUCACCUUUUUAUCAAUAUCCAUGGAAGACAAACCAAGCAAUAUCAAGUUUUUUUCUGCUGGAUAUCCAAUAAAAAAUACCUCAUAGUGUGAACAUCUUUAAGAAGGAGGAUAUCACAUUGCACCCCAUCAACUGAUCCACAAAUAAAUUUGCAUCUUUCCAUCAGUUCCAAGCUCUUUGUAAGGAAAAGGGAGGGAAGUGCCUUCAAAGAUACCUUCUUCAUAGCUUCUUUAGAUAUGAAUCCACACGGCUUUCGUAAUCACCAAUCACUAUGCGCAGCUUCUCUUAUCAUCACAAGCUCCAUCUCUUUCCACGUCCUAACUUCAUUCGAUGAACUCUUCCCUCAGUUCCCAAGAAAAAUUAUAUUCAUCCCUCCUGCAGCCUUUUCCCUGCAUAUUUCCACCAGCUUCAUAGCUAUAUGGCCUGUGAAAACUGUCGUUGUUGCAGUGAUUCUGAACAACAAAAAUAACAAAGGAUAAUGCUUGUGUUUAAGAAGAGAUUGAUGAAUGAAAAGCUUAAAUACUUUAUUCAUAACUGCAGCUCAAUUUAUAGAGCUGAUACAUAACAAACUCCUACGAUCAUGGUCCUACAUUCAAGCCAUGAUCAAUUGAUAAUGGAAAUAACAGAGCUGCGAAAUAGCAGCAAGAACAAGAGAAUAGGAACAGAAUUGACUAAAUCAAAAAUUAAAGAAAGAAUAAAAUUCCAGCUCAGCAGUCCUGAACAUUAUUUCUAACACUCCUCCUUGUUUAGGAGCUGCAAACUCCCAACUUUGUUCUCAGAAAUUCGAAUUUGUUGACUGGCAGUGGUUUGGUGAAAAUAUCAGCUGCUUGUUCUUCAGUUUUGCAGUAAAUAAGAAUGAUACUCCAAUCUUUCUGCACCUCUCUCAAAAAGAAUAAUUUGAUGUUGAAGUGCUUGGUUUUCCCGUGAAACACAGGAUUAUUAGAGAUGGAAAUGGCAGCUUGAUUGUCAACUAGAAUUUCUGUGCUUUCCUUUUGCUCCAGGUUAAGAUCAGAUAAAAUUUUCCUCAGCCACAAAGCUUGAUUGACAGCAGCUGUUGCAGCCACAAACUCAGCUUCAGCAGUGGAUUGGGCUACGGUUUCUUGCUUUUUUGAAUUCCAUGAAAACACACCAGAACCUAAAGAGAAACAGUAGCCUGAUGUGCUCUUCAAGUCAUCAAUUGAGCCUCCCCAAUCACUGUCAGAGUACCCGACCAGUUUGAACUCUCUACUUCUUGUGUAUCUUAUGCCAAAAUUGCAGGUUCCUUUGACAUAUCUUAUCACUCUUUUAGCAGCCUUGAAAUGCAAUUCACUAGCACAAUGCAUGAAUCUAGACAAGAUACUCACAGCAUUCAAAAUAUCAGGCCUAGUUGCAGUGAGAUACAUCAAGCAUCCAACAAUUUUUCUGAAUUGUGCUUGAUCAACCUUCUCGGCUCCAUCUUCUUUACAUAGCUUCUCCUUUUGAUUCAUAGGAGUGCUUACUGCUUUGCAAUCUUCAAGUUUGAACUUUUUGAGGAUUUCUUUGGCAUACUUCUUCUGACAUAUGAACACUUCAUGUUCAGCUUGCUUAACUUCCAUUCCAAGAAAAAAGGACAUCAAACCCAAAUCUGUCAUCUCAAAUACACUCAUCAUCUCUUGCUUGAACGUCUCCACAUUAUUGUUGUUAUUUCCUGUUACAAGCAAAUCAUCAACGUAAAGUGAGAUGAUAAGGAUGUUAUCACCAUUUUGCUUGAUGUAAAGAGUCGAUUCAGAGAGGCUUUUAGUGAAUCCCAAGUGCUGCAAAUGUUCAUCGAUUCGGCUGUACCAAGCUCUUGGAGCUUGCUUCAAUCCAUAUAGUGCCUUCUUAAGAAGACAGACUUUGUCCUCCUCUCCUUCAUUUGCAAAGCCUUCUGGUUGCUCAGUAUAGAUCUCCUCCUGCAAAACACCAUUUAAAAACGCUGACUUGACGUCCAUUUGAUACACCUUCCAAUUCAGUUGUGCUGCAAUGGCAAGUAGCAGCCUGAUAGUGUCAAGUCUUGCUACCGGUGCAAACGUGUCUGAGUAGUCCACGCCAAAGAUUUGUGCAUAACCCUUCACCACUAGCCUGGCUUUGAGCUUAUUGAUUGAGCCAUCAGCGUUGAGUUUUGUUCGAUACACCCAUUUUACACCGAUUACAUUUCUGUUUUGAGGUCUGUCAACCAACUCCCACGUGUUGUUUCUCGUGAUCAUGAGAAGCUCCUCCUUCAUCGCAGCAAGCCAAUUUUGAUCUAGCUUGGCUUCUUCAAAGUCUGCUGGUUCACACACAGCAAUGUUGCACCUUUGAUACACAUCAAGGAGUGACCGUGUGCCUCUAACAGGAGUGUCAUCUGUCAUGUUGAUGUCCCAAUCUUCCAUGCUUUGAUCAUCUGUGUCUGAAACAAGAUAAUUGCCUUUUGGAGAGGCUGAAUCUUCUUUGAUUGCAUCGUUCCAAUCCCAUUCUUCAUCUUCCAGGAAUUGGACAUCUCUGCUUAUAACGAUUUUUCCAGUUUGUGGCUGGAAAAUCUUAUAAGCCUUUGAAACUAAGCUGUAGCCAACAAAAAUGCCUGGAAGUGCUUUCUUGUCAAGUUUAUCCCUCUUGACCUGUGGAACAAGGGUGAAGCACAAACAUCCAAAUACCUUAAGAAAAUUCAGAGAUGGUUUGUAACCAUACCAUGCCUCAAAGGGUGUUUGAUCCUUCAAGGCUCUUGUAGGCAGUCGAUUUUGCAAGAACACAGCAGUGUUUGCAGCCUCUGCCCAGAAUUUCUUUGGUAAAUUCUUCUCAUGUAGCAAGCAUCUUGUCAUUUCCAAUAUGAACUUGUUUCGCCUCUCACUAACUCCGUUUUGCUGAGGAGUAUACGGAGUUGUUAGCUGAUGAUGAAUGCCUGCCUCCUCACAAAAAACGUUGAAGGCAUUGGAAGUGUAUUCCUUGCCAUUGUCUGAUCUGAGGGCUUGAAUUUUGCAGCCACUUUCAUUUUCAACUUUGGCCUUGAAAUUCCAGAACACCUGUGCUACCUCUGACUUGUGCUUCAAGAAGAAAAUCCAGCACAUUCGGCUGUAAUCGUCAAUGAAGACAGCAUAAUACAGACUCCCAUUUAGAGAGAGUGUCCUUUGUGGUCCUGCAAUGUCAGUAUGAAUCAAUUGCAGCUUCCUUGUUGCUCUCCAUGUGGCUUCUGGAAAGGGCUUCCUGUUUAGCUUGCCAGUGUGACAAGUUCUGCAGCUGGAUAUGUGAUCAUCAAGUGCUGGGAAAUCCUUAGCCAUCAUCUUGGAUUUCAUAAGCAUCAGCCCUCUAUGAUGAUAGUGCCCGAGCCUCUUGUGCCAAAUAUCUGUGAUAUUUUCUUUAAUUGGGAAAGCAGUAUGCUCCUCCUCCAAUGGAUUUAGAGCAAAACUCUUCCCUUUCAUGAUUAUUUUGAAAAUAUCAUGACCAUUCACAUCUUUGAUCAAGCAGCAAUUGUUUUCAAACACUACUUUAUAACCCUUCUCAAUAAGCUGACCAACACUGAAUAAAUUUUGAUUUAUACCAGGGACAUACAAUACAUCAGAGAUGAACUUAGUACCUGAGCAAGUCAAGAUUGCCACGGUUCCCUUUCCUUCAACAACAAGGUAUUCUCCAUUUCCAAUUCGAACCUUUGAAGUUGUUUGUUUCAGCUCCUUGAAUAUGUUUCUGUCAUGUGUCAUGUGGUUGGUGCAACCACUAUCAAUGAGCCAGCUUUCACUUGAGUCAUUUCUGGAAAUGCAAGUGGCCACAAACAAUUGAUCUUCUUCUUCUUGAUCAGCAAUUUGAGCUUCUUCACCAUGCUGUUGAAUUUUGUUUUUGCAGAUGACAGCCUCGUGCCCCAUUUGAUUGCAUUUGUUGCACUUAGCUUCUGGUCUUCUCCAACACUUAAAAUGUGGAUGUGAUCUCCUUUUACAAUGCUGGCAUGGAGGAAAAGGUCCUUUUUUGUUUCCAGUGUUGCUCCUUGUUGAAAUUCCUGGAAUCACCUGAUGAUGCUUGACUGCUUCCAUUCUUCUUGUAAUUCUUUCCUUUUUCUCUAUGCUUGACGAAUAGAGCUCCUUCAAUCUCAUCUUCCUGUCUCAUGAUCCUCCUUUGCUCCUGAGCUUGUAAUGCAUUUAGCAUUUCUGUCAAAGUAAUUUUUGACAUAUCCUUGGUAUUUUCCAAGGAUGUAAUUGUAGCUUCAAAGAUUUCAGGAAUUGUUACAAGAAUUUUUUGAACAAUUCUUGACUCAGGCAGGGACGAGCCAAGUAAACUGAUUCGGCUUGCAAUAUUAAGCAGCCUGUCAGAGUACUCUUUGAUGGAUUCAGUCUUCUUCAUCUUCUGCAACUCGAAAUCACGCAUCAAGUUCAACACUUGCAUACCUUGAAUUCUUUCAUCCCCUUCAUACUCAGUCUUGAGAAACUCCCAUAUCUCCUUUGCUGUUUUCAGAGACAUGAUUCGAGUGAAAAUGGUGGAUGCUACUACAGCAAACAAGCACGCCUUUGCCUUUGAUUUUUUUGUCUUCUUCUCCUUCUGUGAUUUGAUCUGCACCAUGGUGGGAUUGUUUGGAAGUGCAGGGAUUUCAUAAUCUUCUUCCACUGCCUCCCACAAAUCCAAAGCCUCUAAGUAUGUCUCUAUCCGUACUGCCCAAAACUGGUAAUUGUCACCAUUGAACACUGGUGGAGCAAUUGAUGAGAAGCUUACUUCUGUCUCCAUGGGUUACAACACAGAUCCCUUUAAAUCAAGAUGCUCUGAUACCAAUUGUCGUUGUUGCAGUGAUUCUGAACAACAAAAAUAACAAAGGAUAAUGCUUGUGUUUAAGAAGAGAUUGAUGAAUGAAAAGCUUAAAUACUUUAUUCAUAACUGCAGCUCAAUUUAUAGAGCUGAUACAUAACAAACUCCUACGAUCAUGGUCCUACAUUCAAGCCAUGAUCAAUUGAUAAUGGAAAUAACAGAGCUGCGAAAUAGCAGCAAGAACAAGAGAAUAGGAACAGAAUUGACUAAAUCAAAAAUUAAAGAAAGAAUAAAAUUCCAGCUCAGCAGUCCUGAACAGUAUUUCUAAUUUCUGCUGGAUAUCCAAUAAAAAAUACCUCAUAGUGUGAACAUCUUUAAGAAGGAGGAUAUCACAUUGCACCCCAUCAACUGAUCCACAAAUAAAUUUGCAUCUUUCCAUCAGUUCCAAGCUACUUUGUAAGGAAAAGGGAGGGAAGUGCCUUCAAAGAUACCUUCUUCAUAGCUUCUUUAGAUAUGAAUCCACACGGCUUUCGUAAUCACCAAUCACUAUGCACAGCUUCUCUUAUCAUCACAAGCUCCAUCUCUUUCCACGUCCUAACUUCAUUCGAUGAACUCUUCCCUCAGUUCCCAAGAAAAAUUAUAUUCUUCCCUCCUGCAGCCCUUUCCCUGUAUAUUUCCACCAGCUUCAUAGCUAUAUGGCCUGUGAAAACGACUCCCAAAUUAAAACACUUGAGAAGCUCUAAUAGUUUUCUUAUUAUUUCUUCACUCUUUGUCAGUGUGCCACAUUCAAAUACUACUGAUCGAUUCUUCCUCGUCACAACCACUCACUUUCCCCUAAAUCCCAUACCAACUAAAUCAAUAUCUCUUAUCACUUAUCAAAACUCCAUCUAAUUUCCAAAUGAAUCACACCAUUUGAACACUUUGCCAAUUCCUAAUUCCUUCAAAAUUUUCAUCCAUCAAAAAAAAAACUGCAAGUCAUACUUUUUCACUCUAACACAGUUCUCCUUAUAAUCAAUCUUCCAAUUUAACCAUACUCUUGCCUCUAAAUCUGGCACGCAAAGCUUCUACAUAACCUUCCAACGUUACUUCUUGCCUCCCAACAAGGGUGGAGGCAUGCAUGGGCUAGGGUGGGCUCUAGCUCAGGUGAAGAUUUUAUUAAUAUUUUUGUUCUAGUUUUAUGUAAAGAAAAUUUGUAAUUCUCAAUUUACGUGGAGCCUUCUAAUAUGAUGCUUUAACUUGAGUUAAAAUUUUAUAAUUUUUGAAGAAAUUCAGAAAUUUGAUAAAAAACAAAAUCAUAAUUUGACCAAUUUUAUGUUAUUGGGUGUAAUUUUCAAUCUGACCAUCAGAUUGAGCUAAAAUUUUACAAGGAAUCUUAAAAUAUAUUAAAUAAAAUCUGGUUUAAAUUUUAAAAUGAACAGAGUUUGGUAGUGCUAACAAAAAAAACAUCAAAUAAAAGCAAAAUGACUCAUUAAGGGUAAAAUUGUUAUUUGCCAUAAAAAAAAAUCAGUUCUUCCUUCCUUUAUAUGUUGCUGACUGGGCAGAAACAAAAUAGAAAAUGAAAGAAAAGAAAAGGCGAGAGAAAAAGAGAGAAAAGUAAGGGAAAAACAUAAAAAAAAUCCUAGAAAAAAAGAUAAGAAAAGUGAGAAAAUAACCUUAUAAACUUAUAAAGUCCAACUUAUAAAAUAUUAAUCUAAGGAAGAAGCAAGUGAAGGAAGGAGGAAUUGAGAGAGGGAAAAAAUUUAAUUAUUUUAUUUUUCAGUUGACAUGAGAUUGUUAUUUUAUCCCGGUUAAGGGAUUGUUAUAAUAUCAAUUCAAAUUCGAUUAUAGAUGAAUUAUAUUUCACAAAACAUCGAAAGAUGUAACUUUAAUAGUGAGUUUAUUUUUACUUUCACUUUAAUUUUAUAUAUUUUUAAAUUUAUUUUUUAAUAUUUUAGGUAAUGUAUUUGAAUUAAAACUUUACUAUUAACUUUAAAAACUCAUGUACAUUAAUUAAUAAUUUAUCUUAAAAAAAAUAUUAUAUAUUUAUUUAAUAGUGCAGGACAGAAAAAAAAUCUAGCAAAAUUUAUUCUUUCCAACUUUAUUUGUUUUGACUGAAAAAUAAUCUUUUAUUUUUGUACUUCACAGGCAUGUGGUGGCAAAAGUCGAGCACGAUAUAUAUAUAUAUAUAUAUAUAUUUCUUAAGAUACAUAUGGCUGGUGAUUGGCGGAUGAUGGUGUCAUUAAGACUCUUGGUGUGUACCCUCAUCCUUUCUGUUUAUAGUUUAGUCCAUUUGCAGCUUUAAUGGCUACUAUCAGUUGCUUUGGAACCUGAUAUCACUAGUCUCAUUAUGGUACAGACAAGCUCAGGAUGAUCAAUCCUUGAGAAUCCACAUCCAACCAGAAAUAAACCGAAUUUCGAGCAUAAAUGACUCGAACUCGCUGGAAUGCUUUGGCACCUCCUUCAAUCCUAGUUUGGGAAACAGAAACACUAUCACCGUUAGUUUUCACCGAGGAAGACAGCACCCCCAUUCUCUCCUGCUGUGCUGAUGAUGGGGCAUGAGAGAUAGUCCAAAGGAUUUGCCUCACGUUGAAGUAUGCAACUGUCUAUGGUUAGCCUUCUCUUUUGUGAUGCAAGCAGCAACCAAGCUCUGCCUUCACUGCAUAAAGAAAUGAUUGAUUCACGAAGCCUGACUUCUUUGAAUUUGAAAGAUUAGAAUCAUUGGAAGAGAAAGAAGAAAAGGUGUAAAUGACAGCGGAAUGCUAUUAUACCAUCUGCCAAGGUAAUGCCAAGUCUACUUGCGAGGUAUUUAUAUCAUAAUUUUUAAAUAUUAGAUUGUCAGCGCAUACCAAGCAAAGAGCUUCGAUUCACAACGAAAUGAAUCCGUGCUAUGGGUUAUCAUCUGAUAUCAUCAUUCAUCAACAAUUAAUCGAAUGGGUUUAUACAUGAAAUGUUUUUAGUUUCUUAAUCAAUAAUUGAAGUUUUUAAUUGGAAGUCAAAUUAUUCUUAGAGAAUAAUAUAAUUAAACUAAACCUUGGUUAAUUGAUUGCUAGCAAAGGUGUACAUUUACAUGGCUUGAAAAUGAAGCUUAUCUUCCAUUUAAUUUUAUCAAAUAAAUUAUUUAUAGAGUAGUUUUGAGUGAUAUAAAUCAAAUAGGAAUUAAAUCAUGUUAAAACAUUUAAUUUUGUUGUCCCUUUAUAUUACAAACAGCAACAUUACGUAUCAUGUUUAUAAAUUCCAAACCACUCAUUUGAAACUAACGCUUUGUAUUUUUUUUAUAAAAUAAAAUAAAUCCUAACACUGAUGUGGACUAAAAUGUUUUUCAUAUAAAAUAUGAGGAUCAAAAAACUUUCAUGAACAUUUAAAAUAUGAUGUGGACUAACAUUUUUUUUUUGUUAAAAUUAGUUCGGUUUGUACUUUCUAGAUCGUUUUGAUGUGCUGAUAUCAAAAAUAAUUUUUAAAAAAUAAAAAAAACAUUAUUGGCAUACUUUUCGGCACGAAAAGCUAUUUGAAAAACAACAACUACCACACUUCCAAACACCCUCACUUAGUAUAAAAAAGAAAUCAUCACGUCGUUAUUUUCCACUCAGUAUAAAAAAGAAAUCACACGCCUUAGAGGAUAAAUAAGCAAUGCGAAAGUUAAAUAAAUUUAUGAAUUACCAGCAUAAUUCACACUAAUUCCCCUCUCUAACUUGCACCUCAUCAAUUUUUAUUCCUUUACUCUCGAACGAAAAUAAUAAUAUUUAAGUUAUUAAACCCAACUCGAAUUAUAAUUCAAGUAGGGGGUUAACAUAAAUCAAUACAAAGUGAUAUGACUUUAGGAGUUUUUUCAAAAAAACAAAUUAAAAUGAUGUGAACUUUUUUAAAUUAAAUUGAGUUUUAAUUGAUCAAAUAAGUUGGAUUACACCAGGUCAAAUUCUAUCCGAUUUAAUUUAAAAUUCAAUCUAAACUCUUAACUUACCUUCAGUCGGGUUUAAUAACAUAUUGACGUAACUUUAGACAAGUUAAGACAUGUUAUUUGUAUAAUCAGACCAAAUUCUCAAUCUUUAUUUAUCAUAAUAACGAUCCAACCCAUUAAUUUUAAAUGGGCCUAUAAAAACUCUAACUUGCCAUAAAAUCAGCAAUUUUACAUCCUAUUUUAUAAAAGACACUCCAACAUAAUUAAUUAAAAUAGUAUUUGAUAUUGUGGUAAUAAUUAUUUUUUAAAGUAUUUUUUAUUUAAAAAUAUAUUUAAAUAAUUUUUAAUUUUUUAAUUUUAAAAAUUAAUAUUUGACAUUACAUAUUAAAACAAUCUAAAAACAUAAUUUUUAAAAAAAGUUAUUAUUAUUUAAGAAAAACUGUAUCACCAUACAAACAAAUCCAAAAACACAAUUUUUUUAAAACAAUUAUUAUUCUUUUAAAAAAAAUUGUAUCACCAUAAAAACAAAUAAUUUCUAAGAGUGACAGUGAGCAACAGAAAUAAACCAUGGCAGAAACUAAAAAUACCUUUAACGGAAACUGUGCUUCGAUUCACAACGUUUUCAUCCUUGACCAAUGCUUGACAGAGUAGACGACGGGUCAGAACAGAGCUACCAGUCCUGCAUUUCUCGAAGGAUAGUUUUGGAAAUGCUCUAAGACCGUGGCCAUUAUGCUGUGUAUGUUUGAUAAUGCAGUGAAUAUAAUUUUAUAAAAAUAUUUUUCAAUUAAUAAAAUAUUUCUUAAAGAAAUUUUCAAUAAUUUUGUUAAGAAAUUUGCGUGGCCAGACAUUUUAAAGAAUGAUGCUAAAUUUGGGGUUACAUAGGCAGCUGCUGGCUCCUCUUGUAUCUUUUGGGUUAAAGGCAUCGUUUGUUUCCUGCCGUUGUCUAUUCUCCGGUCGUAGAAGCUGACUGCAAUCCUCCGACUCUGUUCUCAUAGUCAGAUGCUUCCUCUGUUUUCUCCUGGCAUUAAAAUUACAGCUCACCCUCAAAUCUUAUUGCCUCUGGUCAUUUUCUUGAAUGGUGCUUGGUGUUGUCUUCUAGCGUUUGCAGUAUCGUAAUUUGCUGGAGUUUUUGUAGUAUUUGAAUUGUGGGUGAUUGAGCUGCAGAAUUUGUGCAAUUGAAUUGAAUUUGUGCUAUGGGUUAUCACGCGAUAUCAUCAUUCAUCAACAAUUAAUUGAAUGGGUUUCUACAUUAAAUAUUUUUAGUUUCUUAAUCAAUAAUUGAAGUUUUUAAUUGGAAGUGAAAUUAUUCUUAGAGAAUAAUAUAAUUAAACUAAAUCUUGGUUAAUUGAUUGCUAGCAAAGGUGUAAAUUUACAUGGCUUGAAAAUGAAGCUUCUCUUCCACUUAAUUUUAUCAAAUAAUAUAAUUUUGAAAUAAAUUAUUUAUAGUAGUUUUGAGUGAUAUAAAUCAAAUAGGAAUUAAAACAUGUUAAAACAUUUAAUUUUGUUAUACCUAGGUCCCUUUAUAUUACUAACAACAAUAUUAUGUAUCGUGUUUAUAAAUUCCAAACCACUCAUUUGAAACUAAAGCUGUGUAUGCUUUUUAUAAAAUAAAAUAAAUCCUAACCUUCAUAUGAGGAUUAAAAAACAUUCAUGAAAAUAUAUGAAAAGCUAUUUUUGUCUCUAUGGGCUAGGUACGAUGUAUUCAGGUAUGGAUAUGGGUCUGGGCUUAGGAUGAUAGAUAUGGGUCCAGUAGGAGCACGAUAUUUUUUAAUGGUAAGGAAUGAGCUAUGCCUACCAGGCUGGUUACUCGGUCCAUUCACCUCUCUACCUGAGGCUUGUAUAGUUUAUUGAAAAAAACAAACUUAUAUCGUUUCUUUUAGAAUUCAUUUCUUUAUAAAGCAUGACAAUGUAACCAAAUUUGCAUUAUCUAUAUAAAAUAAAAGAAAAUAUAUAUUUUCACAAAUUCUACCAUAUUGCUCGACCAAAAUAUUUAUUUUUUGUUUCUAUACAUAUUAUAAUUAGUUACAAAUAUAACACCCAAUUUAAUAAAAUCAUAUGAGCAAAAUUCCAGGACUUUCCAUGGACAAAACCCAAUUUAAUAUAUAUAUAUAUAUAUAUAUAUAUAUAUAUAUUUCUCUACAUAUUCAAUAUAUUCAUCUAAAUGUAUUUAUCUGAAUGCUAUAUUAUCUUAUAAUUUAACUGGGACCAAAGAUAAAUGAUAACAUUUAUUUAAAUGCUAUUUAUGAUUGACACACAAAACCCUGUUUUCAUAGUUAAUUGAAGGAUAAUAAAUGGAAGAAUGACAAAUUGCCAGGUGGAAAGUUAUACCUCAUCACAACAAAUACUUUCCAGCCAAUUAAUUAAUGGCGGUUACAACUAAUUACAACAAAUACUCUUCACUUCUUCUCUAUAGUUAUGUUAAUGGUAAGAAAAGGUUGGAUAUUAGAAUUUUGAAAAAUAAAAUAAAAGAUAAGUGAUGUUCAGAUUAGAACUUGAUAUUUGAUAUAAAAUAUAUAUUUUUUAAUUAAACUUUAAUAACAAGUCAUAAAUCAACUCAAAAAUAGUAAAUAUUGUAAAAAAAAAAUGGUAAUAUUAUACACAAAAAAAGAGACUCAUGAAAUGACAUAAAAAAUAGAAUUUUUGUAUAUUUUUAUCUAUUCAUGAACUUGAACAUGAUUUAUAUUUAUAUAAUCAUACAUUUUAAUUGGAAAAUAAUCAAUAAAGGAAGAAAGAAUCGACUUUAAACAAAUAAAAAGAAAAUAGAAGAUGAAAUAUAAAUCACGUAAGAAUUAAGUCUUCUCGAAGACUAGCUUAAGAGUAAGAAAGAGGCAAAAUCUAUAGGAAUUUAAUUAAUAAAUGUUUCAUGCGUGUUGUUUCGAAUUGUAUAAAUAUAAAGAAAAUACAUUUAUACAUAUUAUAUUAUAAUGAAUAUAUUUUUCUGUGCAAAAUUGUUAUUAUUUUUUCAAAUCAAACCCCCGGUUUGAGUAUUGAGCAUAAAAAGAAUUUGGAUUGUUGAAUCAUUUAAACAAUUAGUGGAUCGCCAAUGAAUCAUUUUAUUAAAAUGAUAUUUUGCUUUUUUAUAAAAAAAUUUAUUAAUAUUGAUUUAACUAAGUUUGUAUCAGAUUUUACCAAAUCAAAUAAAUCAUUACAAAUUCAAUUGAGUAAUUAAGAUUUUAUCUUAUCAAUGUUUUUUUCUAAUUCAAUUUUAAACCUGGUUAAUGCCAGGAUCUGGAGGAUGUGCUUCCUAUAUCAAAUCACCAUGCAGGGAAGAGUUUAAACAUUUUUCAUUUUUCCUAUAUCAAAAAAUUACAUUUCUUAGCAAAACACACGAGUUAUAUAUAUAUAUUUAAACAAAUUACAAAUAAUCUAAUCAAUUGAUUAAAGUUGUGACACCUUAUAGUACGUAGACGACUAUAUAAUACUAUAAGAUAUUUAACAAUAUUUAUUUUUAUGAAGAGUAAUAUGUUGCUUGUCUAUGUAAUUUCUCUUUUAAAUUGGGUUUAAUUUCAAAAUCAACGUGUAACUUUGUACGUAGGGGCAUGUCAUGGGCAGUGUUGGACCAAAUUCUCAAUCUUUAUUCAUAGAGGUGGAUCAUGAUCGAGAUUCGAGCCUAUUAAUUUUAAAUGGAUCUACAAAACCUCUAUUCGGCCAUAAAAAAUAAAAUCUCAGGUGCCCAUCAAUGAUAGGAUCUAUUUUGUAAAAGACAUUUCAACAGUAUUAAAAUAAUGUUUAGUAACGUGAUAUCUGAUAUUUUUAAAAAUAUUUUUUUAUUUAAAUUAUAUAUUUUUAAAAUUUAUAUUUAAUAUUAUUAUAUUAAAAUAAUAUAAAAAUAUAAAAAUAUAUUUUUAAAAAAAAUCUUGGUGUCAAAGUGAGUGAAUAAAAAAAAUAAAUCAUGGCAGAAACCACGAACACCUUUAACAGCAAUGUCGUUUCAGUUUGACAGAGUUGUGUUAAAAAAAAAAUUCCUUCAAUUUGUAUUGACUUUUUAAUGUUUUAAGUUUACAGUGCUCCUAUAUAUAAACAGAGAAGAUGUUCUUAAAAACUAUGGAUUCCUGCUAUAAACAGGACUUAUACAAAUGUGGAAUAAAUCAAUUACUAAACUAUGGAAUAGGACUUAUACAACUGUGGGAUAAAUCAAUUACCAAACUUUUUCUUACAAACUCUCAACUAAAUCACUUUGUAAUUAUACUAACACUUUGAGUCAAGUUAGUGCAAAGAUAUCUUACCCAACUUGUCAAGGGAGCUCUGAAAGUUUUUGCUGAAGACAACUUUUGUAAAGAUAUUCGUGAGCUGAUUCUUUGAUUUGACAAAUGAAAAGUUAAUCACUUAUUAUUUAAGAUUUUGUUUAAUAAAAUGUUUGUCUAUUUCAAUAUGUUUCGUGUGAUCAUGUUAAAUUGGGUUAUAAAAUAUUUUAAUGGCAGCUUAAUUAUCACAGUAUAGGUUCGUUCUUGAUUUGGGAGCAAAACCAAUUUCUGAUAAUAAUCUUCUGAGCUAAAGCAGUUUACGUAGUCCUUUUACCGUCCCUUGAAACUCAACCUCUGUGCUUGACAAGGUAGCUACUUUUUAUUUCUUGCUUCUCCAUGUGACUAAAUUGCCACCAAUAAACGUGAAGUAUGCUCAUUAAUCUCAUGCAUAUUUUGAUUAUUUUGUUGAAUAUUUUAAUCAGGUUUAUGAUAUGGAUUCUUAUAAUAAAAUUUUCAUUUAAUUUUUUUAUUUUCAUGGGGGGUUUUAAUGUAGGGAACAUAGGAAGUGUAAAGGUGGCAACUUUUUUGCUUUAUUUUAUACCGUAUUUAAAGCCAGUGCCUUUGAGGUUUUAUGGCAGCCCAUCAACAAUAUUCUUAGUAGGAUCUUAUCAUUUAUGGUACUAGCCUGUUGGGCCUCCCUUUUCAUUAUUUUAAGCGUAGUUGCCACCCAUCUUUCUGUGGCUCCAUGUUCAUUCUCCAAACCAUUCAUAUAGGUAUCUUAAAUAGUGUAGCUGGAGCUUUACUGGGUAUGCUUUUUAAUAUAUUUUUAAGUAAAAUAUAUUUUUAAAAAUAUUUAAAAAACAAACAUUACUGUACUUUCAAAAACAUAAUCCUCUUGUAUCUGACGCUUUAAAUUCCAACAAUGAGUUACUGAUUAGAUAAUAUCUACAUUCAAUUAAAAAUAUAAUUUCUUGACAGCGAAAUAAAGAAAAAAGUAGCAACCCUGUAAUAUCUAGGUAAUUUCUAUGCUCUUUAAAUUAGGCCUCUAAACUGAGACUGUAAUGAGCCCAUGACAGAGGAAGACAUGAAAGUGUAAUUUCAGAAGACCAUUAUUCAUAUAACAAAUUUAGUAAAUUUAGUAAACUCGUAAAGUUAAACCGAUUUUACUAAUUCUGUACUAGUUAGAUUUGAUUUUAUUAAUUUUAAAUUUUUAGUUAGAUUUAGUAUGUUAAAUAUAUAUUAACUUAAAUUUUACUAAUAACUCAUAAUUUUAACAACCUUGCUUGUAAUAGCUCUUGUGGUGGUUGAUGUUUAAAAAAGAUAAUUGAGAAAUUAUUUUCACUCGUGACUUUUUUGAUUUAAAUAAGUAUUGAAUUAAAAAUAUUUAAUUAAAAUUAUUGUUUUAAUUUAAUUACCACAAAAGAUACUGGUGAAGGUGGAGAGGAUGCAAAAGAUGAUUGGGUAUCCUAUUAAUCGUCAAAACAUCAACUAUUGUGGUCAAUUCUGCUGACUGCUGAGACUAAAAGCCAACCACUUGAAUAAUGGGCAUUAGCUGUUUAGCACUCCUUGGUAAACACUUCAGGCUCCUUUCCCGCCCCUUUCCUCGCUGGUUCCUUAAUAGCUUCAAGGGGUGCGAGCGCCUCGUUCGAGGAUUGAGCAUAAAGGACUAAAAGAGUUCAAUAAAUACUAAAAGACAUAAAGUGAAGUUUUUAUAAUAUUCAUAGCAAUGGUCAUCAGCUAAUUUAUAAUUUAUUUAUCUACUUUAUCAAUGAAAUAAAAGUGAUAAAAGAAAAGGAGAGAAGAAAUAAAGUGAAGUCUUCUUCUGCAUUAUUAGCACAUCACGUGAAAAUAAAGAAUGGCAUAUAAUAAAAGUUAUUCCAAUCAAACCUCCUUUUUCAACCGAUGGGGUCUCUUGUCAAAUAAAGCAAGGACAGACCGAGUAAGAUGUGGGACCUAACUGCACUUUCCUGGCACGCGUAGUUCACGCAUACACAAGCACAUUCAGAAUAGUAUUCAAUUUAAAAACACAAAAAAAAAAUAAAGGAAUAAAAGAAGGAAAAGUGAUCAAAGAAGAAGAGAGAAGAAAUAAAGUGAAGUCUUCUUCUGCAUUAUUAGCACAUCACGUGAAAAGAAAGAUACAAACAAGAUUACUCCAUUUUCCAGUCACUUUUUCAACCGAUGGGGCUUCUUGGCAAAUAAAGCAAGGACAGACCGAGUUGAUGCGCUACGUAACUCCUUUUUCCUGGCCCGCGCAAUUCACGCAUACACAAACACAUCCAGAAUAAUAUUCAUAAAAUUAAUUAACAUCCCGUAAAAAUAUACUUUAAUUUAGAAAAGAUUUUAAAAUGUUAUUUUUCAAAUUAAUAAUAACAAAAUUUUAUAUUAAAUUGGUUCGCUUAAGUUAACCUAUUAGAUUUAUAAUUCAGGUUAUGAAAUUAUAAUACCUAGUUCACAAAUAACCAAAUAUGGUGAAGUUUUUCCAAUCAAACCCUUUUUUUUUUUUAAGAUGUAAUUUCUAGAAAAAUAAAUCAAAGACAAACAGAGUAAAAUUUCAAAAAAUAGAGAAAGAUGGAAAAUCCCACCAAUAUUUAACCCACUUAAAUUGAGUCCAAAUCAUAAAAGCAUCUACAAAGAGUGUGUUAAAUGAAAAGUUAAAAAUUAAAAAAUAUAUAAUUUUGACUCUUUCAUGUUUAUUUUACACACUUCAAAAAAAUAUUAAAUAAAAUAUUAAAAUAUUUUUUUUUCUUAUAAAUACUAUUUCUAAAUAUCUAUCAAAAAAACCAAUACUAAAAAAAUAGAGUCAUCAAAAAAUAAACCAAUUAAAUAUAAUUAUAUGAAAAAAUAUAUUUUAAAUAGUGCAGCCUGAGCUUAAUGGUUAAAAUAAUUUUAUAUUUUUUAUAAUUGUUAACAUCAACACAUUAAAAUCAUUAAAAAUAUUAAAAAAUCAAUAAUUUAAUAUAUUUUUAAAUAAAAUAUAUUUUUUAAAAAAACAUAUAAAUUACUACUAUUAUUUCAAACACACAAUCCUAUUCCAUCUUAAAAUCUGAGCUAUUAGGAUAGUAAAGUUAAUUCGUUAAAUUUACAAUUGUGGUGGUGGGAUAUUAAAAAAAAUCUUAUAUUAAAAUUAAAAAUUUUAAAAAUUCUUGAAUAAAAAAACAACAAAACAAUUAUUCAGGUAAUUGUAUAAAAUAUAAUAAUAUAAUGUAUAAUUUAUAAUUGAUUUAUUUACCUUAUCAGUCUUCUGCUGCAUGAUCACAUCACGUGAAAAGCUUGGCAUUUAGUGAUGUUUUUCCAAUCAAACCUCCUUUUUUCAAAGAUGGAAUCUCGAGGUAAAUAAAUCAAAGACAAAACCGAGUAAAAUGGAGUCCAGAGCAUAAAAGAAUCUCCAAUGAAGCUGCUAAAUGAAUAACUAAAAAUAAUAAUAAAAAAAAAAUUGUUUUUGUUUGUUUUUUAUAUUUCAAGAAGAAAAUCAAAUAAAUCGUUAAAAUAUUUUUUUUUCACAUAAAUAUUAUUUUUAUAUAUCUCUCAAAAAAAUCAAAAUUAAUAAAAUAAAACCAACAAAAAAAAGCCAAUUAAAUCUAGGUAUCUAGAAAAAAAUAACUUUAAAAUCAUUAAAAAAAAAAAAUGUUUAUUUAUUUCACUUUAUCUCGAAAAACAGUAACUUUAAAAUCAUUAAAAAAAAUAAAAUGUUUAUUUAUUUCACUUUAAUAGAAUUGGCUUUUCAAUGUAUUUUUUCUAUUGGAAUAUAUAUUGUAAAAAAAAUAUAUUUAUAUUAUUUAAAAUACUAUUUUAUUAGUUUAUUUUUUUAAAAUAAUAUUUUUUAUUAAAGAUACUCCAACAAGGGCCGAGAGAGCAAAGGCUUUUACGAGUUCUGUGUUCCGUAUACUUCUCAAGGGGAAAAAAAUAAUGUUUUGUUAGAGAUUUGUUUUUGAUAGAAUUGUUAGCGAUCUUAGCCGAUGCAUCUGGAUUAUAAUUUUUAGCAUUUAUACUAUUUUAUAGCGCUAAUAUCUUAAAAAAACUUAUUUUCUAGCUUUUUUUUCAUGGUAUAAUAAAAUAUUAAAAAAUAUUUUUCAACUCAUUAUCCUUAAUACAAUUAAAUUUCAUAGAAUAGUCUAUUUUUUAGAAAUAUAGUUUACUAUGAGAUUUAUUGGAUAAAAGAAAUUCACUUUGUAACAAUGCACUAGAAACUAAAAAAAAAUAAGCUAAUGAUCAUUUAAAAAUAUAGUAUAUUGGAAUCAUCUUGCUGAAUAGGUGAGUUUGGGAGUUUGGUUGCUUAACAGGCGAGUGAGGGUUAAAUGUAUCCAAUUAAAUAAUAUCUACAUUCAAUUAAAACUUAUGGUACAAUUACUUGACAGCAAAAUAAAGAAAAGCAGGAACCCUGUAAUAUCUAGGAAAUUUCUAUGCUCUUUGAAUUAGGUGCCCAAACUAAGGCUAUAAUGAGCCCUGAAUUUACACAGAAGAAAUUUCAUGGGAAAUGGGUUGAUGUCAGAGGCAGACACGGAAACGUAAUUUCAGAAGACUAUGACUCAAAUCAGUGGCUGAAAUCCAAUCACUCAAGGGAUGGUGACACGUUGUCUUGAGUGGGAGACAACUGGUCUUCAGUACAAAGAGAAACAACGUUUUUUUUUUAUUAUUAUUAUUAUUAUUAAAAGCGAGUGUACGAGUUACUUCCAUGUUUUUUAAUUAAUUUUAAAAUUAAUAAUUAUAUAAAUUUUUAAUAAUUAUAAAAAAGUUUAAAUUCAUGAAAAGAUUUGAAUUCAUAAUUAUUAAAAUACAAAUAUAUUUUCCUGAGUGUCUUUGCUCUCGUGACAGCUCACGAUGGUGGGGGGUUUAAAAAAAAAUUUAAAAAAUAUUUUUACUUGUGAUUUAUUUAAUUUAAAUAAGUAUUUAAUUAUAAUUAUAAUUAACGAUAUAUUGUAACUAAAAUUACUAUAAAAAAGAACAUAGUGAAGGUGGAGAGGAUGAGAAUAAUGAUUGGAUAUCUUAAUAAUUGUAAAAAGAAAGUAUUUUUUUAUGGUGAAGUUAUUUGUAUAUGAGAAAAGACUGAGUUUUGUAGCUCAGAAAAAAUAAACAUGUUGAUAUUGCUUUUUAAUAACCCAUGAAUGGACCGUAAAUUGCAACGGGUUCACAAACACAAACAUGUGCUUCACAUGUAACCAAACUUAUUGUUAUCUGCAUUAAAAGCAAAAGAUGCUAAAAACACACACAUUUGAUCGUUGAAGAUGUUUUUAAAUUGUUUUCUUAAUUAUUUUUCAUUUAAAAAAAUAUGAAUCAAAGAAGUUUAAUAAUUAUAAUUAUUAAAUAUUUUGAAAUAAAAUGAUCCAUCUAUAUUAAAAAAAAACAUCAUUCCCACGUGUGGAAGAUAAAAUUAAUCAACCUAAUCUUAUUGGAUUGCAUUUUAUUAAAUCAAACCAUCAGUAUCUUUAAUGCAGGAUAUUUUUGUUUUUCCAAUUCAAGUAUACUUUUUAAUAUAAUAAAUUUUUUUAACCUAUUUUUUUAUUAUUAUUUUAGUAUCAUUUUGUUAUUUCUAAUAGUUUGUGGUUACCAGUUUAGUCCUGAAUUCAUUAUUAGAACCAUCAAUUUUAAAAAUCAAUGUAAGUUGAUUUUUAUUAUUUUUUAUUUUUUAAAAUUAAUUUAUUAAAAAAAAAUUCCAUGAUUUCUUUUUAAGAGACUAACCCUUCAUCGACAAACACUAAUGUACCCUGAAAAACAUAAUCUUAUUACAUCUGACGCUUUAAAUUCCAACAAGGAGCACCUACACAUCGAAAUAAAGAAAAGUACUGAGUGCCUUGGCGGUGGGAGGAGCUCUGCUCCUGAGUUCGAGUGUUUACAUGUAUAUCUAUCAUUCUCGUGGUGUUUUAUAUAUCUAUUGGGUUUAUAAAGUAUUCAGUGGGAUUAGUUGUGGUGCGCGCAAACUGACCCGAACAUCCAAAUAAAUAAAUAAAUAAAGUAGAAACCCUGCAUGUGGGAAAUUUUUGUUAGGCCUCCAAUCUGAGGCUGUAACGAGCCCUGGAUCUACACACAAGAAAUUUCAUGGGAAAUGGGUUGAUGUCAUAGGGAGACAAGGAAGCGUACUUUCAAAAGACCAUGAGACAAAUCAACGGCUGAAAUCCAAUCACUCAAGGGAUGGUGACAUGUUACCAUGAGUGGGAGACUGCUAGUCUCCAUCUAAAUGUUUAAAGAUGACUGGGUAUCUUAGUAAUUGUAUAACAAUUGAUUUUUUUUGCUGAAGUUGUCGGUGUGGAUGAGAAAAUACUGAGUUUGUAGCUUAGUAAAAACAUGUUGAUGUUGAUGUUACUUUUUAUUAGCUCAUGGUUGGCCCGUAAAUUAUAAUGGGUCCCACAAUCACAAACCUAUGAUUCACAUGUAAUUUAUGUUUUACAACUUAUUUUUAAAAUUAUUUUUUAUAUAUAUUUUUAUACCAUUUUUAUUUUAAAAAUUUUAAGUUUAAAAAAUAUUAUUUUAAUAUAUUUUUAAAUAAAAAAUACUUAAAAAAAAAAUUAAUAUCAGACACAGUGAAUGUUUUAUAAAAUUUUACAAUCGCUUUUACAUUUUGUUUAGAUCACAUUUGAAAAUGCGGUACACUACAAUAAAGUCCGUUAUAUGAUUAAGGGUAUGUUUGGUAUUGCGGUUGCUGUUGUGAUUGUAAUUAUGGUUUUAAAAAAAAUUGUUUUAUAAAAAGUAAUUUUAGUUGAGGUUGGUUUGAAAAAAUAUAUGUUUGGUUAAAACUGUAGUUGAAAUUGAGGUUGAACAAAAAAUAGUUUAAUGUGUUUGGUUAAAAAAAUGUUUUUCAAAUUGAUGUUAUAAAAUCAUUAAUAUAUAUAUAUACUAAUAUUAAUUAUUUUUAAUUUAAAUAUUGUAGAUUUAACUACUGUUAUUACAUCAUGAAAUAAAUAAUAUUAAUAUCAAAUAUUUUUUAUUAUUAGAUUAAAAUAUAUGUAAUCUCAUUACAUAUGAAAUCUAUCAAACAAGGACUAUAUUUUUCAUGGUUUCUUAAGCGUGCAACAACAAAAACUGAUUUUUUAAAUUUAUAUAGUGUUAUUAAAUAAUAAAGAUUGUGAUAUAUUUAUUAUUGAAAUUGCGAUCAAAUUUCAUAAAUGCUACGUCAUCAUGCGAUAUCUUUCUAAUUUAUAUAGUGUUAUUAAAUAAUAUUAAAUACUAGUUUUUCGAGUAAAACAAUUUAAAAAAAUAUAUAUAAUUUCACUACGUACAAAAGUUAUUCGACAAAAACUACAGUUUUCAUGAUUUUUUGAGCAUGUAAUAAAAUUAGGUAAAAUAUUAUCACGAAUAAAAUUGAGAUUACAGUACGAGUAAAUUUAAUUCACCUUAAACUAAUUUUUUUAAAAAAAAUAUCGUUUACUAUUAACUGCACUGGUUUUUUAGGGGGGAAAAUAAACUUUGCUCACCGGUUUUUUUUUUUAAAAAAAUAAAUAAAUAAACUUUUCUUACAGAUUUUUUCUUUUUUUAAAAAAAGAAGACAUGGUGACAAUGGAGCCAUGCUCCACUGUUAAGUGGUUGUUACCCACGAGAAGCAGUAAAAAUAACGUGGACCCUAUCAAGCAAAAUCAAUCUUGCUUGAUUACCAAACAUUAAAAUAUGUGGCUGCGAGUAAACUCGCCACACUACCAAACAACAUCUAAAGUCUUUAAUUGUCUUGCAUUUAUCUUUAAAACUGCUAUAAGAAUUAAUUAAUUGUGUCAAUUCAAUUCUUUCGAUUGACAUUGAUGCCAAACAUGUUAAUUCAUGAUAUAAUUAAGCAAUUCAAUACAAAUUUACUAAUAUAAUUUAUUUCGGCUUAAACCUUUGAAUAAAGCAAAAUGCAGAGGUUGUGAAAGUGAAAUACCUUAAUAAUUUUUAUGCUUUACAACUCUAGGAGCCACACAAAAUAUAAUGCGUUUGUUACUAUUUAUUUGUUAAAAAGUAUUUUUUUUAUUAAAAAAUGAUUUUUUAAAAAAUAAAUUGAAAAAUAUUUUUUAAUAUUUGAUUAUUUUAUAUAAAACAAGCCAAAAAAUAUUUUUUUAAUUUUCUUCUCAAAUUUAUUAAAAGAAUAAGAAACAAAUAUUUCAAAUAAAAAUAUUGAAGGAAGAUGAAAUUAAAAAAUAUAUAUAUUUUUAUAAAUUAUUUUAAAUAAAAUAAAUAAUAAUUAGAAGAAUAAGAAACAAAUGAAAAAUUAAAAAAUUAAAAAAAAAUAAAACAGAAAUAAAUAAUAAUCAAAAUAAAAAAUUAAUACAAAAAUAAUAUUAAACCAAUAAUUUAAUUUAAAAAAAAACAAAAUAUAAUUUAUAAUUUAUAAUUUAUUUAUUUGCUUUAUCAAUGAAAAGUGAUGGUAGGAGGGAGAGAGAGAGGAAAUAAAGUGAAGUCUUCUGCUGCCUGAUCACAUCACGUGAAGAGCUUGGCAUUUAGUGAAGUUUUUCCGAUCAAACCCACUUUUUUCAAAGAUGGAAUUUAUUGGAAAAUAAAUGAAAGACAAACCGAGUAAAAUGGAGUCCAGAGCAUACAAGAGCCGAGAUUGAAACAGGAAAUGCAAGAAAAAGAAGAUGGGCCCUUGUUUUCUCUUUUUACGGCCGGCGACCGGAUAUAAAAAGGGAGGAGAUGAAGCUUUCAAAUUAUUUUCAAUUUUGCGGUCACUUAUUGUGUCCAUGUCAUUUUGUGUAAUUGCCCAGCUACCGGUACUAUUUUAACACUGUUAAAAGUCUAAAUCAUCAAUAUUUCCCCAAUUUAUCUCUAAAAAAAAUUCACUUCAAUUAAUAGCAUUUUUUUAUUAUUUCUUAUGUCAAUGUUUACCUCUUUUUGAUAAACUCGUAUAUUUUUGUACCAGAGGUCUAAAAUUAUUCUGUCCACUUAUUACUUAUUUAAAUUUAUUAGAAUGUUUUAAAUAACUUUUUUAAAUUUUAAUCCCAGAGUUUACAUGCAUAAUACAUGAGUUAUAUAAAUUAUGAUUCAAAAUAUUGUUAUAACUAAAUUAAAAGAAAAAUUCAGAGUUAAUUUCUUGAAUAUUAAGUUUUCUGAUUUUUCUAUAUAAUUAAUUUUUUAAGUUGAUUUGAUUAGUAUUAUUAUACUUUUCUCAUUCUCGAUAAAAGAAAAAAGAAAAAACCAGAAGAGUAUUUUCUUUCUAUUGAAAAUAUUUGUGGUUAGAAGAAAGUAAUUUUCACUGGAGUGUCGUUUUGGGAUGCAACAUGAACUUGACCUGUCUAAUUUGUACGGCAUGAGAAGAUGUUGCUUUACAUGGCUUCCUCCUUAAAAAAAUUCCAUCACAUUUGAGAAUUUUGUUAUAAAAAAGAUAUCUCUUUUAAAGAAGAAAAGUGAUACCUAAAAUUUAUAAAUGAUCUAAACUCUUAAUUUUUAAUCGAUGUAAAAUGUUAGAGUAUCAUGUUCCUGAAAAAAUCUUUCUAAGUGUAUAAUAUGUUGCAUUUGGGGCAAAAUUAAUAGUUUUGAAUGUUUUUAUUACUGAAACUUUUUUUUUUCUCAACCUCUUUUUCUCUCUCUUCUUGUCAAAUACAAAAGGUUUUUUUUUUAAUUUUUUAAAUAAUUUUAUUUUUAUUUAUUUUAUUUUUAUCUUUUGUAGAUUUGUUUUUUUAUUUAUUUUGUUUUUUAUCGUUUGAUUUUAUUUAUUUUUUUAUUAAACAUUAACUUUAUUUUUAUUUAUUAUUUUUUUAAUUAAACAUCCUUUUUAAUUUAUCUCUUAAUAUUUAAUUUUAAUAUCAAAUUUAAUUAGUCCUAUUUUAUCUUACACUUUAAAUUCCUACAAGUACCCGAUCAAACAAUAUCUGCAUUCAAUUAAAACUUAUGGUACAAUUACCUCAUAGCGAAAAAAAAAAAAAAGUAGAGACCAACUAAGAAAUUUAUGUGCUGUUCCCAGCUAUGUUGCUGACAUUGGACAAGAGAGACUUCUUCAGCCACCGAUAAAAUUAUUUUUGUUGACUUUUUGUGCAGUUUGUCACUUUGCUUCGAUCUUUCUCUCUUUGCACCACAAACACUUGGACAUGGUAGAUACCAAGCACGGUUUUGCUGUCAAUGUACGAUACCAUAUUUGACAAUAUCUUUUUUUUUCUUUUUUCUUUUUUAUGAAGAGUAGUAUGUUGGUUAUCUAUGUAUGUUUUUUAAAAAAUCACAUAUAUAUUUAUCUAAAAUUAUUGAUAUUUAAAAAAUUACAUUAUUUUUUUAAUAAUUCGUUCCGCUGUUCUUUUAGAAUUAAGCGAAUAUUAUGCAAAGCUUCAAGUUUUGUGUAAUUGUUUUUAAUACAAGAGAGUUUAACCAUUUUAAAAUGUUUAAUGAGUUAUUUAAAAUAUUGAAAGUAAUGUACAAUAACUAAUUUAUAAUUUUAUCAUUGCUCUUGCUUUAUUAUAGGUCAAGUCAAGAUUUUCUUAAAAAUAAAAAAUUAUUUAAAUUGUGAAUGUUUUAAUUUAUUCUGGUAAAACAAAUUUAAAUUGUGUGGUGAUUUAACUUGAUUGAAUUUGUAGUUUAAAAAACAAUCUAGAUAACCAGUAAAAAUAUAAUUUAACUCGUAAAAAAUUUCAAGAUUACAUAUAUUUUUUUAAUAUUAAGAUAACAACAAAUUAAUUGAUUUGGGUCAACUCAAUUUAACUUAUUAAAUUCAUAACCCGAGUUAUGAGAUUAUGAUAACCAUGUAGAAAAUAAAUUAUUAAGUCUAAUUCUCAACUACCAAAUAUUAAAAGAUAAAAUUAAAAUAAAUAAAUAAACCAUGUGGAGAUUGAUUCGAUGUGACUUAAUUGAUUUAGCUUGUUCAAAAACAACCCGGAUAAUCAGUAAAAAUAUAAUCUGACUUAGAAAAAAAUUCAAGAUGAUACUUUUUUUCCAAUACAAAGAUAAUAAAGUAAUAGAUUGAAUUGGGUUAACCAGAGUUAACUUGUUAAAUUUUUUAUCUGGGUAUAAGACUGUGAAAUCUAAUUCCUAUUCAACUAAAUAUUUAAUGGUAUAAUUGAAAAAUAAAAUCAAUUAAAAAAUGAUCUAAAAAUAUGAACAUAAUUAACAUGUCAAGUUCAUAACCUAUGUUAUAAUAAAGAUACAAUCUUAUAGAAAAAAAAAAUCAAAAUAAAUUAUGAAGUUCAAUCUUAAAUAACCAAAUUUUAAAAGAUAAAUUUUUUUAAAAAGAACGUAAAAAUGACCCGAGUAAAUCCACCAAACUCAUAACUCGUUAUGAGAUCGAGAUAAUCUUAUAUAAAAAAAAAUUACAUGAUUUAACUCGUCAAAUCUAUGACUUUGGUAACAAGACCAAGACAACCUCUUAAAGAGUAAAUAAAAAUAAAUUAAAAGUGCAAUCCCUAAUUGACCAUGUCAAACUCGAUGUGAAUGAUGCAAUUUCUAAAAAUUUAAAUUAAAAAAUAACAUAAAAAAUAAUUUAGACCAACCCGUCAAGCAUCAUUAUUAGAUUACGAGGCUAGGAUAACAUAAUAAAAAUAAAAUCAAAACAAACCACAAAGUCUAAAUUCUAAUAAAAUAUAUUAUUAAAUAAUAAAAUUGAAGAAAAAAAAUUAAUUAAAAGAAAUUCGAGUCAAUUAGGCUAACUUGCUAAGCCUGUGAGUUAGGUUAUAAAACAAAAAUAACCCAAUAAAAAGUAAUUUCACUAUUGAAGGACUCGUGAUCUACGUCAUGAAAUCAACAUAACCUCUUACAAACAAAAUAAAAAAAAAACAACUCAAUUUAAUUUGGAUUAAAAUGUCAAAACCUCCACCUCUAAUCAUAAAACUAGGAUAAUUAUAUAGAAAAUAAUUUGAAAUAGAUUAUGAAAUUCCAUUCCCAACUGACAUUAUAUCAAAUGAUAAAGUUAGAAAAAAAAUUCAAUUAAAAAAAUAUAAAAUAUAACCCGAGUCAAUUUAGGCUAAUAUGUUAAGUAUUAUUUCCAAUUUAUGAGGUUAGAAUAAUCUAAUACAAAACAAAUAAAACAAAAUAUGAAACUUAAUUUUUAAUUAAAAGAUAAAAUUGUAAAAAAAAUUUAAUUAAAAAAAAUCAAGUUAAGUGAGUGAAUCCAUUAAAUCUACAAUUUUUAUUAUAAAAGUGAGACAACUUAAUAAAAAUAAAUUAAUAUUAAAAUAAAAAACAUUCAAUAAAAAAAACACUCAUUCAGAUAAUUGUAUAAAACAUAAUAAUAUAAAGUAUAAUUUAUGAUUUAUUUAUUUAUUUUAGCAUUUAGUGAAGUCUUUCCAAUCAAACCCCUUUUUUUUUUUUAUAAUUUAUAAAAAAUAAAAAUAUUUUAUUUUAAUAAAUGUUUAAAUAAAAAACAAUAAGAGACAACCGUGACCACUUAAAUGGACUCCUAAGCACACCAAGUUAAGAGUUAAAGAGCCGAGAGAGAAAAAGCUUUUGCCAGUUCUUUACACAUUCUUUCCCCUUCUGUCACCUGAACAAAAUCCCCUCUUCUUCUUCUUGUUUGUUUACUCUUCCUUCGUUACUUUGCAAAGAGGAGAAACCAUGGCCGGGGCUUUAGUAGGAGGAGCUUUUCUUUCUUCUUUCCUUAAUGUUUUGUUCGACAGGAUGGCCUCUCCCCAGGUGAUUGCCUUCUUCAGAGGCCAAAAAGUCAACGAUAGUAGUCUGCUGCAGAACUUUGAAGAAAACAAUGACAUCUCUCAGGGUGGUGCUUGAAGAUGCUGAGGAGAAGCAGAUAACAAGUUUAACUGUGCGGGAUUGGCUGGUCGAUCUUAAAGACGCUGUCUAUAACGCCGACGACUUCUUGGAUGAGAUUGCUUAUGAAGCUCUACGGCAGGAGUUGGAAGCUGAAGAGCAAACCUUCACAGGUCAGACGCAGAAGCUUCUUUCUUUCAUUAACCCACUUGAAAUACUGGGGUCGAGAGAGAUCGAAGAAAAAAUAGAAGUCCUUUUGCAGGAUCUAGAUCCCUUAGUUGCAGGAAUGGCAGCCCUUGGUUUGAACAACCGCAAUGUAGAAAAUCCAUCAUCGCAUAGAACACCAACAACUUCUCUCGUGGAUGGAUCUGGUGUUUAUGGCAGAGAUGAUGACAGGGAAGCAAUACUGAAGUUGCUUCUAUCAAAGGAUGCAAAUGGAGGAAACCCUGGUGUCGUCCCCAUUAGGGGAAUGGGCGGGGUUGGUAAAACCACGCUUGCUCAGCUUGUAUACAAUCACAGAAGAGUACAGAAGCGGUUCGACCUCAAAGCUUGGGUUUGUGUUUCAGAAGAUUUCAGUGUUUUGAAGUUAACCAAGGCGAUCCUUGAGGGGUUCGGUUCAAAGCCUGCUUCUGAUAAUCUGGAUAAGCUCCAGCUUCAGUUGAAGGACAGAUUGGAGGGAAAGAGAUUCUUGCUUGUUUUAGAUGACGUUUGGAAUGAAGAUUAUGCUGAGUGGGACAAGUUGCUUACCCCCCUGAAGUACGGAGCACAAGGGAGUAAGAUUCUUGUCACAACACGCAAUGAAAGUGUAGCAUCAGUCAUGAGAACUGUUCCAACUCAUCAUCUAAAAGAAUUGACGGAAGACAGCUGCUGGUCCUUGUUUGCCAAACAUGCAUUUCGUGGUGAAAAUCCCAAUGCUCAUGAAGAGUUGCUAGAGAUUGGAAGAGAAAUAGUGAGAAAGUGUAAAGGCCUUCCUCUAGCUGCGAAAACACUCGGAGGUCUGCUACGCACCAAAAGAGAUGUCGAGGAGUGGGAGAAGAUAUUGGAAAGCAAUCUAUGGGAUUUACCCAAAGACAAUAUCCUCCCAGCUUUGAGAUUAAGUUAUCAUCAUCUCCCGUCACAUCUGAAGCAAUGUUUUGCUUAUUGUGCCAUAUUUCCAAAAGACCAUGAAUUUCAAAAGGAUGAAUUAGUGCUCUGUGGAUGGCAGAGGGCUUCUUAGUCCCUCUGCAGUAGAUGAUGAGAUGGAAAAGCAGGUGCUGAGUGCUUUGAUGAUCUCUUGUCAAGGUCGUUUUUCCAGCAAUCAAGUGCCUCGCUCAUCAUUUGUGAUGCACGAUCUCAUGCAUGACUUGGCUACCCAUGUGUCCGGUCAAUUUUGCUUCAGCUCCAGGUUGGGGGAAAAUAAUUCUUCCAAGGCCACAGAAGGACUCGACAUUUAUCACUCGUAGUAGAUACGGGAAGGGUUUUUCAAGCACAAAAUUAGAAAACAUCCGUGAAGCCCAACUUCUACGCACAUUCCAACUUUUCACGCUAUUGUUGUCCUCCCGAAUUUAUAAUGAGAUCUUUCAGUCAACACUUGGGCGCCUACGAGUGCUAAUCAUGACUGGUUGUAGAGAUCAACUUGUUAUGUUCAACUAGCAAGUUGAAGCAUUUGCGGUAUUUGGAUCUCUUCGGUCAGAUUUAGUAACGUUGCCUGAAGAAGUGAGUGCUCUUCUCAAUUUGCAAACGUUGAUCUUGAAAAUGCAAACAACUUGCUAGUCUACCUGAUCUUGGAAAUUUGAAGCACUUACGACAUCUGAAUCUUGAAGGAACAAGGAAUCGAAAGGUUGCCUGAAUCUCUGGAAAGGUUAAUCAACUUGCGGUAUCUUAACAUCAAGCACCCUUUGAAAGAGAUGCCACCACAUAUAGGUCAACUGGCAAAGCUCCAAACGUUGAAUUAUUUUCUCGUGGGAAGACAGAGUGAGACUAGCAUUAAAGAAUUGGGAAAGCUACGACAUCUACGGGGAGAACUUCAUAUUGGGAACCUUCAAAAUGUGGUGGAUGCUCGGGAUGCUGGUGAGGCAAAUUUGAAAGGUAAAAAGCACCUUGAUAAGCUGAGGUUUACAUGGGAUGGUGACACUCAUGACCCGCAACACGUAACAAGCACACUUGAGAAAUUAGAGCCAAAUAGAAAGCUGAAGGAUCUUCAGAUUGAUGAUUAUGGAGGUGUAAGGUUUCCAGAGUGGGUAGGAGAGUCCUCUUUCUCAAAUAUAGUGUCCUUGAAGCUCAAUGGAUGUACAAACUGCACCUCCUUACCACCGCUCGGGCAAUUAUCUUCUUUAGAGGAUCUCUCCAUUGAAGGAUUUUAUAAAGUUGUGACUGUGGGCUCUGAGUUCUAUGGGAGUUGUACUGCUAUGAAGAAGCCAUUUGAAUCCCUCAAAACAUUAUCUUUUAGAAGGAUGCCAGAGUGGCGCGAGUGGAUUUCAGACGAAGGCAGCCGGGAAGCCUUCCCUCUUCUUGAUGUGCUUUUAAUCGCAGAAUGCCCCAAAUUAGUUUCAUUUCCCAAAGGAGGGUUACCUGCUCCAGUCUUGACACGACUUGAGUUAGAAGAAUGCAGGAACUUGAAGCAGUUGCCUGAGAGUAUGCAUUCCCUCUUCCCAUCCCUUACCGAUUUGGUAAUAAGAGAUUGUUUAGAAGUUGAGUUGUGUCCAGAAGGGGGUUUUCCCUCCACAUUACAAUCACUUGAGAUUUCUAGAUGCAACAAACUCAUUGCUGGCCGCAUGCAAUGGGGCUUGCAAACGCUCCAUUCUCUUUCACGCUUUACAAUUGAUUGGGACGAAAAUGUUGAAUCCUUCCCUGAAGAGAUGCUGCUGCCCUCAAGUCUUACAUCUCUUAGAAUCUAUUCCCUACAACACCUGAAAUCUCUUGACUACAAGGGGCUUCAACACCUCACCUCUCUUAGAACAUUGAAUAUAAAGAACUGCCCUCUGAUUGAGUCAAUGCCAGAAGAAGGGUUGCCCUCCUCCCUUUCUUCUCUUGUAAUUGAAGGUUGUUCCAUGCUGAAAUCUCUUCCAAGGCUUCACCACCUCACCUCUCUUACAGCAUUGGGUAUAUAUGGCUGCCCUCUGAUUGAGUCAAUGCCAGAAGAAGGGUUGCCCUCCUCCCUUUUUAUUCUUUCAAUUCUCAAUUGUCCUCUGCUGGGUGAAAGUUGUGAAAGGGAGAAAGGUAAAGAUUGGCCCAAGAUUUCUCACAUUCCUCACAUAAGUAUAUAUUGAGGUAUUGCUACUAAAUAGUUUAUUUUCUUUUCAGUAAUCAAAGGCAAUUUCAGUUAAAAUUUGGAUGAAUGAAAUACAGAUAUUGUCCAUUUUGUAUUGUUUAUAUUUGUUGGAUGUUGAAAUACAGAUAUUUUCUUCCUAUUGUCUCUCAUUCAUCUCCAUAAAUAAUAAUCAUCAUUCUAUUUCAAUAUAUCGAGCUGGAGGAUCAUCACAUGCUUCAGAUUUUGAACUGCCAGCACCAUCCUUAAUUUGGACAGGGGGCUAUUAUCAUCGAAUUUUAGCAACGGGAUAUUUCUUUUGCUAAUUUAACAACAGAAUGUGUAUAUAUGAUUUUUUUAAUAUCAACAAUGAAUUUAGUAAUAGAAAAUCCAUUGCUAAAAAGGAUUAAAAAAUUAAAUUAUUUAACUAAUUUGCAGCGGAUUUUUCAUUAUUGACGCUCUUGGCAACAUCAAAUCUGCAACUGAUUCCAAAAAUAAAUCAAACCCUUAAUUAUAUAAAAUCUGCAUCUUCAAAAAUUAAAAUAAAAUUAAAAUUCACCAUCUCUUUCUCUAGUCUCUUCCCUUCUCCAAAAAAUCAAAAUUCAAAAACUUUUUUUUUUAUCUUUUAUAUAUUAUUUAACUUUGAUUAAAUUGUUUUUAUUCCAUAUAAAGCAGAAGUUAAAAAAUGAUUUUGGAGUACAUGUAAGUCAUAUCUUUUUUGGAAUUUGCUUUGAUAAAAAACAGACAUAAAGAGAGAAGAUAAUAUAAAAUUCAUGACUCCUUAUCGAUAUAUAUAUAUUUUUUUUCCUUAGUUCAUUCGUUUGAUUACAUUUUUGCUUCAACUCUCAUCAACACUCCCUUGUUUCGUUGCACGGCAUCAUUUAAAUGUACAUGGCUUGUGUUAUGUUCGGGAACAAAUAUUGGGCCAUUAACCUUUUCAAGCAAUGAUGGAGUAGGAGUGCAGUUAAAGAACACGCCCUAGCUGUUUGACAGAAUGCCGAUGAAGAUGAUAGUCAUUUUAGUGGUGCUGCUUGUAACAACCCAGGUAAGAAAACUAACGACCUCUUGAUGUGGUUUUCUAGGAAAUAAAUUAAAUGUUUUUAUUUGUUCAUGUGUUUUCUUCAGGAGGUGGUGCUAACCAGAGAAAGCUAAAGCAGAGGAGGAUGGCCAACAUGUUGGAAAGGUAAAAGGAUGAAGCCUUUUGUUAGAGGUCUAGGUGCUGUUGCACUAACAAAAGCACAUUGCCUUGAGGAAGCCCUCAAGUCUUACAUCUCUUCACAUCUAUUCCCUAAAACACCUGAAAUCUCUUGACUACAAUGCCAGAAGAAGGGUUGCCCUCCUCCCUUUUUGCUCUUUUUAUUAACAAUUGUGAGAGGGAGAAAGGGUUAAAUGAUCUUUGUAUAUUUGACUGUCCAGAUCUGGAAUCACUAUGUGCACAUGAAAGACCUCUCAAUGAUCACAACUCUCUCGAUUAUUUGGAAAUCGAGGACUGCCGUAAAUUAGUUUCAUUUCCCAAAGGAGGGUUACCUGCUCCAGUCUUGAGAGGACUUCAUUUAGAAGGUUGCAGCAACCUGAAGCAGUUGCCUGAGAGUAUGCAUUCCCUCCUCCCAUCCCUUAACCGUUUGUAUAUAAGUAACUGCCCUUUGAUUGAGUCAACGCCAGAAGAAGGGUUGCCCUCCUCCCUUUCUUCUCUUGUAAUUAACAGUUGUCCUAUGCUGAAAUCUCUUCCAAGGCUUCAACACCUCACCUCUCUUACACGAUUGAAUAUACAUCACUGCCCUCUGAUUGAGUCAAUGCCAGAAGAAGGGUUGCCCUCCUCCCUUUCUUCUCUUGUAAUUGAAGAUUGUCCUAUGCUGCGUGUAAGUUGUGAAAGGGAGAAAGGUAAAGAUUGGCUCAAGAUUUCUCACAUUCCUCACAUACAUAUUUGGAGAAGUUAAAGGAGCUAAUACAUAAAUCACAUUCUUUCAAUCGUCCAACAUAUUGAGGUAUUGCUACUAAAUAGUUUAUUUUCUUUUCAGUAAUCAAAGGUAAUUUCAGUUAAAAUUUGGAUGAAUGAAAUACAUAUAUUGUCCUAGAAAGUUGUAUGUUUUUAUUUGUUGGAUGUUGAAAUACAGAUAAUUUCUUCCUAUUGUCUCUCAUUCAUCUCCAUAAAUAAUAAUCAUCAUUCUAUUUCAAUAUCUUUUUUGCUAUAAUUAAUGCUACUAUUGUUCCUCUAUCAACUGCGGCAAAUAAACAUCACAUGCUUCCGAUUUUGAACUGCCAGCGCCACCCUUAAAAAACAAGUGUCCAUCUUAAAAGACAACGGGCCUAGCAGAGCUGAAAAGGAUUAAAAAAUAUUUAAAUAAUCUGCAACAUAUUUUUCAUUGUUGACGCGACAAAAUCAAAAUUCAAAAUUUAAAAUCUCCAUUCUCUCCUUAUCCGCAUCUUCAAAAAUUCAAAAUCUUUUCCCCACCUCUUUCUCUAAUCUAUUCCCCUUCUCCAAAAAUUCAAAAUCCAAAAACUUUUGAUUUGUUUAUUUUAUUAUCACUUAACUUUGAUUAAAAAACUUUUCUUGAAGUUUACUUCCAUCAAAGAUCUUUUAUAGAUAUAAAAAGAAGAGAUAAUAUAAAAUUCAUCCGCGUAUUGGAAUCACAAUUCAGAAUCAAGUGAAAGCGGCCAAUGUCACUCGAGAGAGUAGGCACUUGCAAAUCUGCUAAUAAUUAUUGGUGUUUAUUCCUCAUGAUGAUCCAGUGAGCUGACAAUAAAAGAAAACCUCGGCAUUACUAGUAAAUCGUCACUGCAAGCAUGGAAGAGAUUCAGGUAGGAAUUACCCUUGUCUUCAUUGAGAGGCUUUAACCUCCCUAGCUCCUUCAUCAGCAGGCCCAUGGUUCGAUGCAUCCUCUGAAGCGUCUAAGCAAGGAUUGCUUUUACACUGACUUACAGGCUGAGCACUGGUCAAGAGACUAGAAAGUUGAGACCCCCUUUGCGAAAAGUUUGGUUUACCUUUCGGAGUCUCAGACAGGCUUCCCGUUGACAGCUUUGAUAGGCCCAUAGUCAUGUGCUCACACGGGAGCUUAGUUGAAAAAGGUGAUUCAGGUGUAUCAGGAUGCUUCCCAGGAAUAUCCAUCGGUCUAUGAAACAGCAAAUGAGCCACAGUCCGGUCUACGGGAUUGGUCUCUGUUUCCACCUCAGGCAUCUUAACCACCCUGCAGUAUACUCAUAAAAUCCAUGAGGAAAAUGACAGGCAAGUUUGAGAUUGCCAUACUCUAAACAAAUUGAUAAAGACUUGAUUAAUAAUUUUGUGCAAACAAAUUGAAUAAUUUGGAAUGGGAAGGACGAGAUGUAAAGGAACAAACCCAGAGCACGUAUUGUUUGUACUGCUGGUUUCCUCUUUUGCAGCAACUUGUUCGUCCCUGCUACUGUUGUUUGUACUGCCAGUAUCACUAGCAUAAUGCCUUUGCAUUGCACUUUGAGCCAGCCGGAACAAGCUAUCCCGAAUACAAAGUCUAAUUCUGACAUCCAACUGUUGUAAAACAUUGGUUUGGAAUCGUAACCAAGCACAAAUUAUUUAGCAGGGAAAGAAUGCAAUAGUACGUGAAGCAUACCUUUGAAAUAAUAUCUUGAAGCCUGUAGAGUACUGUGUCCUCCAUUGAAUAAUCAUUAACCGCCAGAGAGACUGUAUUGGAAUCGUCUUGCUCAGUAGGUGAGUUUGGGUCAAAUGAAGCAAGUGUACUUAGAUCCUCUACUUCAAGGUCAGCUCCUUCAACAUGCUGAAUUUGAUUUUCUUGGGAACACUUUAGAUGAACAAGCUGCUGCUGCUGUUUCUGAAUGGCAAGCAUUGCCUGAAUUUGUUGCCGCCUCCUUAAUUUUUCAAUCUUUUCCUGAGGUGUCAUUCUCUGAGGUUUCACUGGACAGUCAGCUAACUUGUUUAUAGGAUCUGCAUUGCCUGAAACUUCAUAACCAGAAAUUUUAGGUCGAUGAUUAAAUGACUAGAAAUUUUGUUGGAAAGUCAGAAAACUUUAACAGGAUUCGCAUUACCUGAAGAAACUUCAUAACCAGAAGCUAAAGGUCGAUGCUUAAAAUCCCCAGACUGAAUGUGAGACAACCCAGGCAUAGAAUAUGGAUUUGUAAUACUCCCGUAUGCAGAAGGGGCCACAAAUGGAUUGGAUAUCUGCUGGUACUGCAACUGCUCGGAACCCUGUAGCUGUUUCUGUUGGCUGAGAAGUGAAAGGGGUGAAGAUUGCAUAAUUUGGGGUGCUAAAUGAUCCUUAAGUUGACAGGCUGGGAUUCCAGAUGAAGUCCAGUUUCCAUAAAAAUCUUGGUAUGAUUUCAGUUCACCUUCUUCUUCCAGUUUUUCCCGACCUUUCAAGAUCUUCUUUUGCCUGUAAGUCUGAUCACAGAACUAUAAACAUAUAAAUAGACAAAUUACUUAGAAUAGAUCAACGUUUUAACCAUCUAGACCUGCAGGGGAGAGUGACUAAGGCACAGUUAGUAUUUUAACUCAGUACAUGGUUUGUAAGGAUAAAUUCAAUGUUUUUUUUUUUUUUUAACUGUAACUUACGAUCCAAAGGGCUUCUAUUGUUCAGAAUAUAUUGAGGUAUUAGCUAAACUAUGCCAAGCAAACAGAAUUUGCAUGUCCCUGGGAAGAGUGGAUGCCAUGCUAGAAAUAUAAAUUACUGAUGCCUCCUGAAUUUUCACAUGUUAUUCCUUUCUCCUUCCUACUAACAGAAAACCACACAAUGGCUUUACUUUAGGCAAUCGAUAUCAUGGUUAAGUCAUGGAUUUGACAUCCAGGAUAACUUAAUUGAUGCAUUAUUGAAGUCAUGACUAAAUCAUGUAAAUCCAUAUUCACCCAACAUCCAAGUUUAUUCUCAUUCCAAAAAAUUAAACUAAAAAUAAUAGCAUGAAAUAUGAAGAGACGAAGAGGAAUUUAAAUAAUAUAAUUUCUCUUUUCUGUCGCCAUUUUCCAUUCCAGAGAAGUACUCAGGAAGUCUUAAUAAGUUCAAGUGUAAGGUAACUUUUACCCUUCCCAGCUCUAAUUAGGUUUCGCUGUCCCUCCAAUCUAAUUUAAGAUCUAAUAUGAGGAAACCACACUGUAUUAGUGAAAGGAUCACAAUAUCAAGAUUUUCCAACUUCAAUUCAAUGAUAUAACUUUUCUUGAAUCCUGGACAAAAGAACUUAGAACAUCAAAAGAUCAUAGCAGGAUUCUAAAAAACAAAGAUUGUAUUUGGUGCUUAUUGAGUCUAAAAGUUUUCCUGGAAGAAAAGGGUAAAAAUCAGUAACAUGUCUGGUUCAGUAUCAAGAUUUUGAAAAUAUCAAAAGGAAGGAAAAAAAAAGGUACCUUGUUUGCUAAUUCAUUUGGAAAAGCACCAUUUUCCUCUGUCAGUUGAGAGUUAGCCGCUGUGUUCUUUCCCACAACAGCCAAAUCUGUCUGCAAAAGCACAAAAAAAUAAAAUAAAAAUAAAUGCUAAGCUUCUCUCAGCUCCUGCACUUGAGCAUGGGGCAUUAAUAAGUGAACUCAUUACUGAAAAUUGAGUCGCUAUACCUGCUCCUUCAGUAUAGGCUUGUUUUUACCUUCAUCAUAUUCUACAUGAUCAAGGCUUGCCUGAGUAUUCUGCAGACCAUGAGAUGCAGGGUCGUUCAUUUUUCCAUAGCCAAGGGCAAACAGCUGGUCCUCUUCUCUCGAAGCCACAGAUAUUGGAAAGGGCUUUACCGGGCUGUUAGUUGUACAUUUUGAAGAAGACCAUAGCUCAUCAGCAUUACCAAGAUUUACAUUGCCAAAUAUUGGGUCAUCAUUGCUGCAAAAUCACCACUUGUGAGGAUAUUGAGUCAGAUGGUUAUCACUGUUCUCCAACAGAAUCAAGAUAAAAUAUAAGAACAUUAGUCAAGAACAGAAAUGCAGGAAAGCCCUUCCACAAUUGAACAAGCUCACCAAUUCCUUGCAAAUCCAGUGCUGCUAUAUUACAUUCUUUCUGCCAUUUAUACUUGAAAUUGAGGAUAUUGUGCUGCUAAAAACUGGCAUCCUUCAGGUUCUUUUCCCAAUUAACAAAAUUAAGCCAAGGAUCAAAAACCAUAAAUUUUCAAACAUAGUCAUUUUUUGUUAGUGUUGCUUUCAGCAGACAGCACUUAUUUGGAAAAGGAUAUAGAUCAACAACAGAAGAAACUACAACUAUUAAAAGAGUCUGGUUGUUUUUCCUUCACAACAACACUCUUGUACUACAUGAACUUUUUCUUCUGAAAUGAAAAUAGACAGUGAGCAUAAUUAUUUUGUUCGCGAAACUUUCACUUCACAGUCAGUAAUAAGAAUUUGUUCAAAUUAUCAGAAUAAUGAGAUAUACAAGCUUCCAUAUCAGGGUGCUGCUGACCAUCUUUCAUUUAGGUGCAGAAAGUAAGAAAUGGUAACUGUGCUUUACCUAAAAAUUCGAUCAAGAUCAUCAAAGCUUCCAAUGCUAGCCCAGCCAUAAUCAGCAAAAUCACCUUGCUCUUCACCUUCAUGAGGAUUUUGAAAAAUCUCAGUGUCCUUAUCAAGAUGAUCUGUCUCUGCGUUUUAAAAAAAAAAGAAUUAGAAUGACAGUAGCAUGUAAGAUACUAUGCUAUGAAAACAUCACGCAACUCGUCACCCUAUCUACAUUUUUUCCUUGUAAUUGAAAUCUCAUCACCUGCUGAUGAAUCGAGUUUGGUAAUCUCAGUUAGAUUGUUAGAGAUUGAAGUUUCCAAGGAAUCCUGCUCAGUUUUGGCAGCAUCAGGUGAGGACAAGUUAGGCCAUCGGUCCAUGUCAAGUCCUAAGGAAGAAGUUCCUUCACUUGUGUCAACAUUCGAAAUGCUCUCCAGCUUUCUGCCAUCAGUAUCAACUUUAGCCCCAGGUGCCUUCUGCUCACUAGAUUUAAUGGUGCUAGCUUCUUCACUCGAUUCCUUUUUCUUGCAAUAAUCUUCACUUGCCUCUGGAUAUGGCACGAUAUGGUCAUCACUAUCUUCAUCCUCACCCCAUAUUAUGUUCGUAAGCUGAAAAGAUAGUGAGUAAGCAUCAUCACUAAAUGUGGGAUACAUGAGAAGAAUGAAACAGUCACAAGUUAAUCUCUGGGUAACUUAGCAAGACUAUUUUCCCCAACAUAAUAUUCUGAAUAAUACACUAAUUAAUCAGUUCAGUUCCUUGUAAGGUGUGCGUGGGCACAUAUGAGCACACAUGUGUGUACGAGAGUUGCUAGUGUCAAUGAGUUGGGAACCAAAUAUUUAAUUGAGUCAUGCAGAAAAUACUAAAAUGUUCUAAAUUGUGUUAAAAAUAAAAUAGAAAGUAGAAGCCAUUGGCAUGAUUCAUUUAAAAAUUUCAACAAAAUUAAAAAAAGAAAAGAAAAGAAAAGGAGGAGAUGGCCCAAAGCAUGCUCUCAAUAAGAUGAAGUAAGACCUAAAGCUUCAUUGCAUGUACAGAGCACUUUGAAAACUUCAGUCUGGACAUAUAAAACCAAGGCAAAUUAUCUUCUUUUUGGAACUUAUUUCUUCACAGUAAGAUAUAACAUCUAACGCUACCUGCAUCACUUUCUCAUGGUCCUCCCUGACUCGAGUGAUCAUAAACCUUCUCAAAUCCCAUUUAAAGAAGAUUCCCUUUCUCACUUUUCGUUGGUAUUAUUUGACACCAAGAUCACAACCAAACAUUACCAAUAAGUGUGUCACCGGAGAAAGAAACUUAGGUGCCCUAAUACCAUAAAUAAAACCUAUUCAAUAAAAAUUAGACAAUAUUUUAUAGCUGUACAUCUAUAAUCAAAGUAAAGGCCCAAAACUCUGAAUCCUGAAUAUGUGAAUCAAAGUAUCUAACUGAUGCACCAUCAGCAGUCUCCUAUUUGACUUGUGAUUAAUGACCUAGCAGUUCACUUCAACAACAUUAUUGAAAGGUCCCUAGUGAACGUAAGAUUGAAUUUCAGACCCAGCAAGAAGAAGUACAUUUUCCAGUAGGCAUGCAUAUCACCUUUUUAUCAAUAUCCAUGGAAGACAAACCAAGCAAUAUCAAGUUUUUUUCUGCUGGAUAUCCAAUAAAAAAUACCUCAUAGUGUGAACAUCUUUAAGAAGGAGGAUAUCACAUUGCACCCCAUCAACUGAUCCACAAAUAAAUUUGCAUCUUUCCAUCAGUUCCAAGCUACUUUGUAAGGAAAAGGGAGGGAAGUGCCUUCAAAGAUACCUUCUUCAUAGCUUCUUUAGAUAUGAAUCCACACGACUUUCGUAAUCACCAAUCACUAUGCGCAGCUUCUCUUAUCAUCACAAGCUCCAUCUCUUUCCACAUCCUAACUUCAUUCGCUGAACUCUUCCCUCAGUUCCCAAGAAAAAAUAUAUUCUUCCUCCUCCAGCCCUUUCCCUACAUAUUUCCACCAGCUUCAUAGCAAUGCAGCCCGUGAAAACGACUCCCAAAUUAAAACACUUGAGAAGCUCUAAUAGUUUUCCACAAAGAACUACUUUUCUUAUUAUUUCUUCACUCUAUGUCAGUGUGCCACAUUCAAAUACUACUGAUCGAUUCUUCCUCGUCACAACCACUCACUUUCCCCUAAAUCCCAUACCACAACCACUCCUUGAUCUUCAACUAAAUCAAUAUCUCUCAUCACUUAUGAAAACUCCAUAUAAUUUCCAAAUGAAUCACACCAUUUGAACACUUUGCCAAUUCCUAAUUCCUUCAAAAUUUUAAUCCAUAAAAAAAAAAAACUGCAAGUCAUACCUUUUCACCUCAACACAGUUCUCCUUGUAACUAAUCUUCCAAUAUAACCAUACUCUAAAACUAACCCAUAAUCCUAUAAAAAAAAACCAUUUCUUCUUCAAAUUAGUCCUAAAAAACUUCAAAAUACAAGUAACUAUCCAUUUUAAACAAGAUCAGUGAAAUCUAAAAGCAACCCACAAAUCCAAUUCACAAAUCAACUGCAUAUUCCAAUAUAGAUAAAGGAAAAAAAAAUCAUUUAGUUACCUCUUCGUCGUUCCAAUCAAACAUAGCUAAAGAAACCAGAACAGGUCACAAAACGAAAACCCAAUUCACAUAUUAUAUCUUGAAUUAUUUCACACAUCGCCAAUCCUUCAAAACCUUCACCAAAAAAAGAAAAAGAAAAAACAUUAACUUACGUUCAGAAAAAAACAUCAAAACCCCUUAACCCUAAAAACCAAACCAAGACAAAAAAUUUACAUGCAAAACAAGAAAACAAGAACCUUAACAGUUGUUAAAGAAGCAACCAAAAGAGUUUUCCAGAGACUGAAACAAGAGCAUAAAAGAAAGGGAAAAGCCAAAGGGUUGUAGAGCACGUGAGAAUCACGUGAGUUUGAUUGGCUAUUUGACUGACACGUGUGUUUACGACAGUAUCUUAGUGUGUGGUUAGAAUUUAAGGAUAGAUCUAAUACUUGAACGUGAUUGGUUAAUACGUUAGGAGUUUGAUUUGAGUUUGAUUUGGGUUGAAUUUCAUGUGAAUUUAGAGAGAUUUGGCGGGCGGAUCUAAGUUGUGGCUGUGGUUGCUUCGAGGGUUGGUUUCGCGGGUCGGUUUCUUGGGCCCAUGUUGACCAAGUGGUGUUUUUUGGGAUAGCCACGCCCACGCUUUUGGAUUAAAAAAAAAAAAACAGGAGAAGAAUUAUGAGAGUGGAUUAAUUAUUAAUUAGGUAAUGAUUGAGGAUUAGGGUUUAAAGUAGGGGAUUAGGCCGUUUGACUCUUGACGUAGGCACUAUUAGGGGUGAGCAAAAAAACCGAGAAAACCGAGAAAACCGAACCGAAAAAAAAAACCGAUUAAACCGAUUAAAAUUUUGAAAAAACCGACCGGUUCGGUUUGGUAUCGGUUUUAGGCUUAUAAAACCGAAAAAACCGAACCGAACCGAAAAAAUAACCGAAAAAAACCGAGCCAAACCGAGCCAAAACCGGAAAAAAAUGAGCCAAAACCGAAAAACCGAGCCAAACCGGAAAAACCGAGCCAAGCCGGUUUUUCCCCUAAAAAAACCGAACCGAACCGAACCGAACCCGGCCGGUUCGAACCGGUUUCGGUUCGGUUUCGGUUCGGUUUCGGUUCGGUUUCGGUUUUUUUUUCCUAAAAAAAAAAAAAUUCGGUUUGGUUACUUUUUUUGAUAAAAACCGAACCGAACCGGUUUUGCUCACCCCUAGGCCCUAUGCAUGUGAUUUGUUGUUAUUGUGCCAUUUCAUUAAAUUCGUUUAAAAUGUUUACAGACAAAAGAUACGUAUAAAAUUUAAAAACGUUAGCUCUUUCUUUUUUUAAAAAAACAAAAUUAAAGUCUCACAACUAACCUAUAGAAACAUUGUUAUAAAAUCUAAGGUUGCUCAAUGGGUCAAUUUGAAAGUCUGCACUAGUUUAAAUUUUAAUAAAUAAAAAAAAAUUGAUUGAUUCAGUUAAAAAUCUGAUUUGUUCUAUUAACUUGAUUUAAAUUUAAAUUUUUUUUAUGUUUUUUUAUAUAUCAAAAUGAUAUUUUUUUAAUAUAUUUAAAAUUAACAAUUUUGAUAUGUAUUUAAACUUUACCCCAUUUUAUAAUUACUGAUCAAAGUAUUUUAAAAAUCAAUAUAGUAACACUUCCUAAAAAUUAAAAAAAUAAGAUUUAAUUUUAAAUAACACAUAAAGUAUUUGAAUAUAUCUCAUAAAUUUAAAAACAAAUAAACAAAACUUUCACAUCUCCCAAAAGAAAGAGAGUUUAAACAGCCCUGCUUAUGUAAGCAAGCAAGAAAGAAAAAGACUAAAUCAUGAUUAAUAUAUAUCACCUCGUUUAUCUUCAUAUCAAAUAUAUCCUAACUUGUGUAGACGGGUGUGAAGAAUUAAGCUAUAUUCUAACAUCCAAAUUAACUCUUUUUUUUAUAAAAAAAACUCUAUUUCUGAUUUGUACAAAAUUCAAUAAUUUACAUGUCAAUCACUUAAAACCCAAUAAAAAAUACUUUAAAAUAUAAAAAAAAAAUAUAAUUUUGAAAAGAAAAGGGGACUUUCAAUUAUUCAUCAAAGAAUAAUUUAGACUAUUAUAUAUCAUACAAUUUAAUUUAAAAAUCAGUCAAUAAAAAAAAAUCCAAUUUAAGUUUGAUUAACUUAGCAGGUUAACAUGUAAAUAGUUGGCCUGAUUUUGAUGGAGUUGAUUUUUAAAAUAAUGUAUGGAAAACGAUAUCAUUUUAAAAAGGGUAAUCCACCUGACCUAAUCUGGUUCUAGAACAAGUUUAAUUACAUUGACUCCAAUAAUUAGCCUUGAAUGUAGAAAAACGAAGAAGGGAAGUAGAACAAAACUGGGCUGAGAGGCCUAUGGACAUUAAAUUGAUUCUAGUCUUUAUUAAUGGGCUUGUGGCCUCAGCAUGAAAACUGGCAAAACAGUAAAAAAAUUAUAAAAAAAAAAGAGGAGAAAAAAUCAACCACGACUCCACUGGGGAUCGAACCCAGAAUCUCUGGUUCCGUAGACCAGCGCCUUAUCCAUUGGGCCAUGGAGUCUUUCAUGCCAGUGUUUCGAUUCCUAUAAUAUAUUAAUAAAAUAUACAACUCUACCUUCCGAGCCUGUACUAGAGACAGCGAGGGUGGCCAACAACUUCAACCACUUACAAUUUGAAAAUGGUAUUCUGGAUGUUGCUUCACGGGUAGGGCUUUACUGCUCAUCAACAUUUCCAAUAUCUUUUUCCAUCUACACGAUGCAUUUACAAGAGUUACGUUAAUCGGGUAAUUAUGUGUACAUUUUUGAAAAAAUAUUUUUUAAUUGAAAAUAUAUUAAAAUAAUAUUUUUUUUCUAUAUAUUUUAUUUUAUUUUAUUUUUGAUAAUAACACAUUACAACAAUUUAUAAAAACUUUAUUGAAUUUAUAUAUAUAUAUAUAUAUAUAUAUAUAUAUAUAUAUAUCAAUUCAAUAAAGUUUUAGUUGAAAAACUAUUUUUAAAAACAAAUUCAAUAACAAAAACAAACCUACCAUAACCAUUACUUGUACUUUUUUUUUUCCACAGGUUUGUUAAAAAAAAACACCUUUUUUAUUAUGUACUCGAUCGUCGAGUGCUACAAAUUUAAUUAGCUUUCUUAAUGGGAUCGAUUUGUUUCUUUGCAUAGGUUUGUAUUCGUGUCUUUCAUUAAUUAGAUGAUAAAAAAUUAUAAUUUUUUUUACUAAUAGGAUCACUGUGCAAUUUUUAUCUUUUCUUGAACUUAAUUAUUUAUCAUCAAUCCAUAAAUAUCCUUACAUGAUCACACACUACUUGUACAAGUGCGUAGAUUCACAACUAACUAAUGAGAUCCAUGCAUGAAUCACUUGGAUCGAUGGUCUUGGGAUUUGAAAAAAAAACAAAACAUGCAUAUAGUUUCAUCGAUCAUUUCGGGUUUAUUACCAAAGUAAAACUGCAUGCAAAAGCUAGCAUCAGAAAGAGAAGAGAAGACAAAAUAUUUUUGCUGUGGCAUUCACAUGUUCAUGCAUGUUUCCAUGGACGACAACUGCUGAGAUCUGCAAUCCAGCACUACUUGUAAAUUCAAACUAGCUUUCCCACCUAUCUCUUCACACGUUGCAACCUUCUACUAGAAAAAAACACCAGAAUUCACACGUUAAUUAUCCACCUGAAAAUGACUCCUGGACACGUAAUCACCGUUUCUUCUCUCUCACUCUUGACACUAUUUUUUUUAAUCGUUGAAGGGUUAAAGAUGUUGAUAAUUAUAGUUUUUUUAUUCUAGUUAUUAAAUAUUAAUUUAAUUAUUUGGUACGAGAAAUUUACAUCCCAAAACCUUAUUUAGAGUUUUAAAUUAUAUCGAUGAAAUUUAAUUAAUUUAUCUAAGUUUUUAAUAAUUUGGUUGAGUUGAUCGGCCCGACUCGAUUGAAACAUAAUUGAUUCAAUUUCUGUUAGAAAAUAAUAUAAAUCAUAUUUAAUUAUGAUCUCACCUAAUAGUUUAAGUUAUUGGAUAUAUUAAGAUGAUUUUUUGAUAUAAUAUUAGAGUUUUGAUAAUCAAGUGAUUACGAUUUGAAUCUCAUCAUUUCUAUUUAUUUGAUAAAAAUUAAGUACAAGAUAGUGUAAAACAUCUAUAUAAGUUUCAAGCUCAAAAGCUUUUACUUAAAGAGAUAUGUUAGAGAAUAAUAUAAAUCAUAUCUUGUAACCUGACCUUAUAACUUAAGUAAUUGAGUUGAGAUGAUUUUUUUUUUAACAAUUUUAAUGAAUUAUUUUUUUAAAAAUAAAAUAAUACUAUUUUAUUAAAAAUAUUAACUCAAAUUUACUCGAUAAUUCAAUAAUUCAUAUUUAUUUCUGAGUGGAUCUCAGGCCAGGUCUGAGUAGUAUACUAUUAUAUUUUUAACAAAAUAAUUAAAGUAGCAUAAAAGAAACAAAGUAAUUAACGGCUAAACAUGAUGCGUGUGACCCUCUAGGCUAGGCGAUACUUUCAACACAGUAUCAUAAGUUCUCUUGUACCUGUUUGCAUGUAUAAAUAGGAAGCUAAUGGUGGUAUAAUCUUACACUAUUCACUCACGUUUCUUAAGAGAAAGUACUCAAGAAAAAAAUAUUCAACAAUGGCUAGCCUCAUUGCUCCUGACAACCAUGUUCCUAGUGAAGAUGCUGAAGCCCUCUACAAGGCCUGUAAUGGUACUUCUCUCUCCUUUUCUUUCAUACUAUAAUCAUAUAUUAUAUACUCGACAUGCCAACAAUUAAGAAAUAAUCUUAUAUUAUAUACUCUACAUGCCAACAAGUAUGAAAUAAUCAUAUAGCUGUUUGCAAUCACCAGCAAUAUUUAAAUUAAGAGAGGAUUAAUUAGGAGGAGGAUUUCCUGUGUCUAUAGUCCAACCUUAAGAACAUACAGCUGCCUAACAGACAACUUAAAUGUUAACAUGCCUGAAUAAGAUAUCAAAUUUCUGUAAGAAAUGGUAAAAAGUGGUUGUGCUGUAACAAUCAUGAGAAAAUAUUCUAUGAAAAAGAGGAGUAAAUAUUUUACUUUUAGAGAAACAAAAGGCAGGGAAAGGGAAAAGGAAAAAAAAAGGGAAAGUAUUAAUGACAGUCUGAUUUUCUUUGUCGUCAAUUUUUUAUUUGAAAGUGAAGAGGUUGGCGUGAAUGAUUUGUCAGCAUGAGUUGUUCUUUCUGCUUUAUUUUCCGGCAAAAUAUUUAUAAUUUUUGUGAUGGGAAGAUACACUGGACGACUAAGUUAUGCCUUGUUACGUCACAAACUUGAUGCAUAAAACCAGGAAAGAAAAAUAAAAGUUUCUCUCCAAAAUGAAAAAGAAAGAAUAAAAGUAUUUUUUUUUUUGCAAUAACAUAAAAUCAUAAUUAUUAUACUGGUCUAGUUUGUUGAGUUAAUAGAUAUCAACCUUGAGAUGUUGGUUUAAAGGUUCGAGGAUUUGCUCCCUUUAAGAUCUCAAUUUUAAAUUUUAUUAACACCAAAUUUUUUGAUUUAUUUUGGUAUAUGUAAGCUGUAAGCUAAUUUAUGAUAUCAUGUUUUUCCCAAAAAAAAUUGAUAUAAAUUUACAAUACAGAUAUUGAUUCAGACUAGUUUUUGGUUAAACCAGGUGGAGUUAAUAUUAUAGAUUUUAAAAAAAACUGUUUUAAUAAAAAAAAAAAUUAUUGAUUGACUUGACCUAAAUUUCUCGUACGGCAACUAUGCAUAAAACUCUUGUGCGCCUGCACCAAAAUUUUUUCUCUCAUUCACCCAUUUUGCCUUCAAAAAUGGUAUGAAAGAAAAUAUUCAUUUACUCAAGCCAACCAUGAGAGAUAAGUAAGAAUCUAAUGGUGGAAAGCAGGUGGUCAUGUUGAUUAAUGUAUUCAUAAAAUUUAAAUAGUCCAAGAAAUCAUUUGAUUACCACAUUGUUUUCAACGUAAGAGUGUCAGAAAGUGGUACUAUAAAUAUGAGAGCAUGAACAAGUCUCCUUCACAUUGAGUUUUCUAGCUAAAGAGACAAAAGAGAGUUAAUUGCAAUGGCUUCCCUUGUUGUUCCUGAAAAUGUUUCUUGUGUUGAUGAUGCACAAGCUCUCCAAAAGGCUUGCCAUGGUUAAGUUUACAAAUCGUUCUGUCUUGUAUAUGUACUUUCCUUUGUGUUUUUCACUGAGAUAAUUUGUACCCUUUUUUGUCAAAAGAAAUCGGCUACUGAGUUCAUGUUUUCUUGUUUUGAUUCUUGAAUUGCAUCAGGAUCUUGCUCGCUUCUUUUGUGAAAAAUUUUAUCCAAAUUGAAGUUGUGAUCAUCAAGUGAUUUUAUGCAAAAGGAAAUAUCAAAACUGACAACGGAAUUUGUCUCUGCUGUUUGUUUUUGCUAGGCUGGGGGACUAAUGAGAAGGCUAUAAUUUCAAUACUGGGGCAUAGAAAUGCUGCUCAAAGGAAGCAAAUCAGGCUAGCUUAUUCAGAAUUGUUUCAAGAAGAUCUUGUCAAGCGUCUCGAGUCUGAGCUCAAUGGAGACUUUGAGGUAAUUGUCAGUAUCAUGGUUAUGAUAACAGAAACUUUAUGUUUAUACCAGUCUUAUCUGUCAGAGGCAGGGCACAUUUGUUAAAGGGUCUUGUUCAACCAGUUGUGUUUUGCAAGAGAUUUGAUGCAUAUUAACGUUUAAUCAUAGUCAUUAUGUUCUUUCCAACCCAAGGAUUGUUGCAGAAUGGGAUGGAGUGUGAUUGUCGGUUUAUAUAUAUGCCUGUGAUGCUAAUUAAGUUUCAUAAAUUUGUGAACAUAGAAAGCUGUGUAUCGAUGGGUAUUGGAUCCAGAAGACAGAGAUGCAGUGUUAGCAAAUGUGGCUAUCAGGAAAUCUGGCGAUUACCAUGUGAUUGUAGAGAUUGCCUGCGUCCUAUCUUCAGAGGAGCUCUUGGCUGUGAGGAGGGCAUACCAUGCUCGGUACAAGCAUUCCUUGGAAGAAGAUCUUGCGGCCCAUACCACCGGUGAUAUCAGGAAGGCAUGUUACAAUCAUUGAUAUAUUGUGAUUAGGCCAUUCACAAUUGCCUGAUGGUUUGUUAUGAUCAUUUUGCAGCUCUUGGUUGGAUUAGUGACAGCUUUUAGGUAUGAAGGAGAUGAGAUUAAUACAAGAUUAACCAAUUCAGAAGCUGAUAUUCUUCAUGAUGCAAUCAAAGACAAGGCUUUUAAUCAUGAAGAUGUCAUUAGGAUCCUGACUACCAGGAGCAAAGCACAGCUCAUGGCAACUUUCAACCGCUACAGAGAUGAUCAUGGCUCUUCCAUCACUAAGGUACAGAAAAAAAAAAAAGAAGUUCAAUAGCUUGCUUCUAGUUACCAAGUCAAAUGUUUAUAGUUGCAAGUUGUCGUGAGGAGCACUGUGAAGGCCUCCAAGUUUCUUCCCGCUCCUGAGGCCUGUAACAGAAGCUUUAACUCUCUGAAAACAGAACUUCCAUCUACAAGGUUGAGUCUGAUUAUAAAAAUGGAGCAUUAAUGGUCAUUUUUGUUUAAUAGGACUUACUAGAUGAGCCUGCUGAUGAGUUCAAAACAGUGCUCCGUACAGCCAUUCGAUGCCUCAACGACCACAAAAAGUACUACGAAAAGGUGAAAUUUUUUACACUGUUGCCUUAAAUUUCAUAAAUGAAAGUUCAAUGGCCUAAAACAUAGUUGCCUUCUGCUUAGAUUUUGCGCAAUGCCAUCAAAAAGGUUGGGACAGAUGAGGAUGCACUCACUCGUGUGAUUGUCACAAGGGCAGAGAAGGACUUGAAUGAUAUCAAGGAGAUCUACUACAAGAGAAACAGUGUGCCCCUUGAUCAGGCAGUUGCCAAGGACACUUCUGGGGAUUACAAGGCUUUCCUCCUUGCUCUGCUUGGAAAGGAGGAAUAGUUUUGUUCUUCUUUCAGCAUUUCAGAGUUUUCAGUCACAAUUCAAUAAUGGUUUCUUAUGUAGAACUUUCUUACUGUGAGUCUUUUGUUUUCUGUGGUCAUGUUCUUGAGUUCCUACCUGGUCCGUGUGACAUUAUGUAAUCCAAUGCUAUGUUAUCUGCAGUUGAGUGUUUCUCUAAGUGGCUGCCUGUUGGCACAUUCAGACCAAGUUUCAUUGAUGCACUGUAACUCUAAGCUUCCAUUUGAAUCAUCUUUCCCUAAAAAUUUAAGUCGGGCUAAUUGGUUAAAAAAUACCCUGACCUUCAAGUAACAGAAGAUUAGUCCCUGAUCCUUUUCUUUUACCAUGAACUUGAUCCUAAAUCUAUUUUUUUUCAACAAUGUAGUCCUUCCAUUCAUUUUUCCAUCUAUCUAUCAGCAUGUGUGGUCACGUGACCGUGUAGAAGGAUGACACGUGUGCCUCCCAUGUGGUCAAAUUUGAUGGAAGGACUACAAUGAUGGAUAAAAAAUAGGUUCGGACCUAAAUCAGAAUACAAAAAGGUUAGGGACUAAUCUCCUGUUGACAGAAAGUUCAGGGUAGUUCUUAACCGAUUAGCCUUUAUGUCAAGCAUCAAUUUAACUCAUGGCCUCUGCAGGGAUUGCAGAAGCAAGCAAAACAUUUCCAGCUAUAAAAUCCAAUACCCAUCUAGAUCAAAUAAAUAUGAUGGAGCGGUAAGCAAAAAAUUGCCCACAUGUAUUGUUGCCCUUAUUCAGCUCCAUCUACCAGUAAAUCCCCGAAUGCUUUUUUGAUAUUGUAAUGCAAUUCUUUUAAAGGGUUCGCAGUUUUUGGUGAAUUCUAAAUGAUGCUGAAAGGACAAAAAUAACUUUAAAAUUAUUUCAAAAACAUUUACUUUUAUAUAAGUUUCUAUCUUUUAACUAAACACAUUUCUCUUUUUUCCCGAUCUUAUAAUACUAACCAUACUUGGUUUGCCUUUUACAUGGCACUUGAGAGUUGAUAAACUUCUUUUUUUUUAUUUUCUAAACAACAAAAGGUAAUUAAACUGCUUGUAGAUUUCAACAUGUUUUUGGUUCAAACAAUUCAACAAUAUUCUUUCUUCAAUAGCAAGACAAGCAACGGGGCUGAGAGCAACAUUUGUAGACAAAAUUUGGAAUUGAAAGAUAAUAAUCCAAUAUAUUGAAGCAUGAGAAAUAAGAGCAGCUGAAUAAGUUGAUGGAUUUUAAACCUAUGUACAAGCAUAACAUUCCACCAACUACAACAAAAGUGCUGAGCUAAUUCGGAAACUGAAAAAUUGUCGCAUGUUAUUGCCACUGCUGUCUGGCAAACCAUAUCUUGUAAUAGCCGUGAGACUAAACUGGAUGAGUAAGCAAAUGCUAGCAGAUAUGCUGACCAGGAAUGUUGAUAAGGCCAAGUACAACAUGCAAGCUUCGUUUCCAGACUCGAUGCUCAACUAGAUUUGAUAUCAUCUCCAAACUUUGUAUCAUAUGCACCAGAAGACUCCCAUAGAAUUUUAUACUAAGCACAGAUCUUGGCUCUCUGACUCUCCCUAGAGCCUGGAAGCCGCCUCAACAAAUAUGAAAAAUAGAUGAGUCUGUUAUCGAAGGGAAGGGUCAGAAAGAAAUCGGGUUAACUACUAGCAUCAUAUGAAGAAAUGAACAAUAACCUGGAAAUUGAUCUUCUGACAAAAGACAUCGAGUCUUGAUGCAUAUGAACCAUGCCUCGGUCUUUGAUGCUCUAUGCUACCUUAAGAUUCCCGUUUCCUGCUCUGACUGUUGAAGCCAGGCAGCAUGGACUUGGAUUUAGAGUGAGCUCGACUUAUGAGUCUCUGAUGCAAUAAGAGAAAACUUGAAUAAGAAUCAAGGAAUUCACAGGGAUAUAUAUGAUAUGGACAUUAAAAGUAACAAGCAGCAAAAUAUGUCUGACAAACCUGUAGACAUAAAGCAACUCCAUUUCUACGUCCGCCUCCACAGCUGGCCAAUAGUAAAUCUUAACUCAGACAUACAGUAAUUAAUCCACUUGAGUAAGAAACAUAAACCGAAGGGAGAAAAUGAAAAUUAAGAUCAGCGAUACCUCAAUGUGUUGAAUGGAUUAAAGAAGAGAGACUCUACCAGUCUUCUGGUUCAAUCCAGCGGCCAUCAAUCUUGAUGUAGAGUAAAUGAGAAAUCUUGGGCCAAUCUUCCCCUUUCUCCUUUUCACACCUUUUUUCUAGCUGAGGGCAUCCACUGAUUUCAAAAGAAUAAAGGGAGGAUGGAAGCCCCCUUUCAGGUAUGGAUUGGAGAUUAGGGCAUGUGUCAAUCUUCAAUUCUCUAAGACAGGUGAGGUGUAGAAGCCCGUUGUAGUCCAGAGAUUUCAAAUUUUCAAGGGACCGGAUUUCAAGGGACCGAAGUUCUAAAGGCAGCAGCAGCCCGUCAGGGAAAGAUUCCACAUCUUCAUUGUAAGCAAUUAUUAAUUUUGAAAGAGAACAUUGAAGAAGCAAAUCCCAUUGUGCACGGCUUGCAAUGAGUUUAUUGCAACUUUGGAUGCAGAGUGUUUCUAGAUCAAGUGGCAAACGCCCUUCUGGAAAUGACUCAAGUUCAGGAAGUCCUUUCAGUUCCAAAUCCACAAGGGAAAAAAGGAAAGGCAUUUGCUCAGGCAACGCCUUUAAAUUUAUGCAAUCAAGUAACCUAAUCUUUGUCAAAUUCGGAGCAGAUAACCCUCCUUUGGGAAAACAAACCAAGUUAGGACACCCCUGGAUUUCCAAGAAACGGAGAGACCUGUUAUAAGGCUUUUCAUAUGCUGAAAGAGAAUUCAGAUUCGGACAAUUCUUGAUUUUUAGAGUCUGUAAGUUGGAGAACAACUCUAGCGGGAAACACUCGAGUAGAUCAAAAUGAUCUAUUUCAAUAUUUUCAAACAUAGAGGAUAAGCAACCCAUCAGCUCCAAUUCCUUUACCAACGAAUCUACGGAGUCCAAUCUGCGAAUCUCGAGUUCAUACAACUCAGAAGGCAAUUUCUCUAAACGCAGAUCCCGAGAAGCAUCAUUUAACCAAAAUCUGUUAAUGAUUGGAUACCAAGGAAAUGGGCCUCCAAGCUGCUGACAAUCAAGGAUGUUAAGUUCUGUUAAAGAAGGAAGGUGAUGAUUCGGCAAUGCCUUCGUUAGGCUGAUGCAGCCUGAUAUGUGAAGCUCUCGAAGAAGAGGGAAAGCUUCCAUGUCCUCAUCAGAAAUCCAUUCAUUCCAUUGUGGCAUGCUAGCAAAAGUUAAAAUCUCGAGGGAUCCAAAUGGCUCCUUCAAGGAUGUGCAGCUUCCAUAGAACUCGUGACCCACCACCACAACUCCUUCAAAUUCCUGGAUGCAUAGUUCCUUUAAAGACCCUAGCUGUCCAAGUGGAGGUAAAGAGGUGCAAUAUGCACAUUUGAAGAGAUCCAACACUACUAUAUUUGAGAAAGAAAUGUCUGCUAUCCAAUCUGGAAACCUUGUACCCCCAUAACCACCAACAUAAAGACUAGUCACACCUGUAUGGGGCUGUAAUUUAUCAAGAACGUCUCUUUGGUGCUGUGAGUCAUCAGCAUCGCCAUCCCAUCUCAACUCCAACGCUUUAACCUGUUUCAUACCCUUCAAAUUGGCUUCCAAAGCAUCUUGAGCGUUCACAACAUUUUGAAGACCCCAAAUCGUUACUCCCCCUUGUAGAUGUUGAAGCUUGCCCAACUCUAUAAUGCUAGAACCACCCUGUCUUCCCAGAAAAAAAUCACUCAGUGUUUGGAGCUUUGUCAAUCUAUCCAUCUGUGAAGGCAUCUUCGACAGCUUUGUUCCUAAAAUAUCAAGAUUUUGCAAGUUGAUUAACCUUGCCAUAUCAGCUGGCAACUCCGUAAGUUUCUUGCAUUGCUUCAAGAUUAAAGUUCGCAAGUUAUACAAUCCACUCAUGGAUGCAGGUAACCUUUCAAUUGCUGUUUUCGUAAGAUUCACAUGUCGUAAUUGCUUCAGAUUGCCAAUUGAAUUAGGCAAUUCAGCAACCCCUUUGCAAUCUUCCAAGAUUAGCGUUUGCAAAUUGUAUGCAGUACUCACAACUUCAGGUAACUCUUCUAUUGAUGUUCCCCAAAGGUUCAGAUAUCGCAAAUGCUUUAACUUUCCCAUUGAAUUAGACAACUCAGCUAUACUAGAAAUAGCGAGACAAGGAUAGCACUCGUAAUCGUCUAAGGCUUGGUAAUAAAUCACGUGUUAGGCCAUCUUCAAACCGGUAGUCUUCCCACUGCUUUGCCAACGGUAGAAAAGUGCGCAAAUGUUCAGCUCCAUAGAUUCCUACGAAUUUUUUAAGGGAAUCAAAUGACUUUGGUACAUAUGAGAAAUGACGAGCCUUCGCUGCAAUCUUGUUUGAAUCAUCAUCCUCCAACAGGAAGCAAAACUCCCCCGUCACAGAUUUGGCCAAAUCAUUAAUGAGGUCGUGCAUAAUAAACAAUGAUAGAUUGUCACUAGAAUAUCGUUGAAAAAAUGACCUGGAAACAAGAUCAUCAAAGAACUCGCCACCUACAUCUUCAAACUCCUCCUCUCCUUUGAGUGGGACAAGAAAACCACCCUCUGCCAUCCACAAACGUACUAAAUCAUCCUUGUUGAAUCUAUAAUCUUUGGGAAAUAGUGCACAAUACGCAAAGCACUGCUUCAGUGGGGCAGGAAGGUAAUAGUAGCUCAGUCUUAAAGCUGGAAGAAUCGGAUCUUUCGGCAAAGUCCACAUGUCACUCUUCAACACUUUCUCCCAAUCUUUUGCGUCUCUUUUGGAGCGUAGGAGACCCCCCAGAGCUUUUGCAGCUAAAGGUAGGCCAUUGCACUUUCUUACAAUUCCUCUGCCAAUUUGUUCCAAGUCUGGACAUGCACCAGAACUUCCAUCAUCAAAUGCCUGUUUUGCAAAAACCAACCAGCAGUCGUCUUCAGUUAAUUUCUGCAGAUGAUGUGUUGGAACAGUUGACUUGACUGAUGCUACGCUAUCAUUGCGUGUUGUAACGAUGAUCUUACUCCCUUGUCUCACAGACUUUAAAGGUGUCAAUAAAGAAUCCCACUGAUCUUGAUUCUCACUCCAAACAUCAUCUAAAACAACCAGCACUGUUUUCCCUGCUGUUCUCUUCUCUACCUCUUUGUGAAGCUGAUCUGCAGUCAUGGUAUCACAAUUCAGUGAGCCGGCCUCUAGAAGCAUAUCUUUGAUUAACUUGAAAACAUCAGAUUCCUCUGAAACAGAGACCCAUACCUUCAGAUCAAACCGCUCUUGAACUCUGCUAUCAUUGUAGAUAAGCUGAGCAAGAGUGGUUUUACCAACCCCACCCAUACCCACUAUAGGAAUCACAUCUAGCUUUGCAUCUUCAGAUAACAUCAACUUCAUUAUGGCUUCCUUAUCGUCAUGCCUACCAAAAACCCCAGAUCCAUCCACCAGAGAAGUUGUUGGUAUUUUGUAGGACAAGGGUUGUUCUCCAAAACCCUCUUUCAGUCCAAGAGCAUCCUUUUGCUGUACUAAAUAUUCAAGUAGCUCAAGAAUGUCCUCUAACUUAGCUCCCAUCUCUUCCUUCUCUUCCUUCUCUUCCUGGACUGUAUUACGAGAAGAUAAAAAGCCUCUAACCUGAUCAGUGCUGGUUUGAGAGCCAGCUUCAACCUCCAGUCUCAAGCCUUCAUAAGCAACCCCAUCCAAGAAGUCCUCUGCUUCAUAAACAGCAUCUUUGAGCUCGACAAGCCACUCUUUUACAAACGAGUCACUGAUCUGCUUCUUUUCAGCAUCAUUGAGCACCUUAUUAACAGUAAUCAUCAGUAUCUUCAACUUCUUCAGCAGUCUAUCAUUUAGUUUUUGGCUUUUAAAGAAGUCAACAACCUGGCGAGAAGCCAUUCUAUCAAACAAAACCUGGAGGGAAGCCGAAAGAAAAGCUCCACCUACCAAAGCAGCAGCCAUGGUUUGAUCUUCACGUAGUACUGUUUGCAAAACGGGUGCAGUAAGAAUCAAAGCAAGAAAUGGUGAUAGAGAAAAUGAACAAGAAGAGAGAUUAGGAUUAACUUUGCUUGACAAACCAAGAAACUGCCUUCUCGUUUCUUUUUAUUUACUAUUAUUAAACCAGAAAGCGUGUUUUCUUCUGCUAAUUUCCAUGUCGGAUCCCUAUGGACGUUAAAUAUUAUCCAAGCAGUUCAUUUGGUUAAAAAGGUUUUGACUUUGUUUUGGUUUCUUGCUUGGAUUUAUGAGCUGGAACUUCGGAGUGAAUAUCUAAGAUAGUUUAUUCUCUUAAAUACACUGGACCAAUGUAAAAGUAUAAUAUUGUAAGAUGAUUUAUAUUAAAGAAUCAUCUUAACCCAAUAGCUUAAGCUGUUAGGUGAGGUUUUAAGAUAUAAUUUAUAUUAUUCUCUAACACAUCCCCUUGAGUAAAAGUUAUUUAGACUUGAAACUUGCACAGAUCCAUAUUACCUUGUGCUUGAUUUUUAUCAAAUAAAUAAAGAUGAUGAGAUUCGAACUCGUGACCGUUUGGUUAUAAGGCUCUGAUACCAUAUCAAAGAACCAUCUCAACCCAAUAGCUUAAGCUGUUAAGUGAGAUAUCAAGAUAUUAUUCUCUAGCAAUUAAAAAAAAGUAUUUAUUUUCUAUUGAUGCAUAAACUUGAUUAGAAAAUACUCCUUGCAAAGUCAACAUGUCAGUUCAAAACCAAAUACAUUGAAUAAUAAUUUAAGAGAUUUCGUUUGCAAGGAGCUUAUCAUUUUAUGAUCAAGCCGCGUUUUCCAUAUUUCAAAAGGCAUUGGGUUUGGAUUCAACCCAGCCAUGUUUUAAGCUUCAACGCUACGGCUAAUGCGUAUCUUACAGGAAUAACCAGAAUGGGGUGGCCCUUGACUCGGUUUAGGAGCUGGAUCAGCAGGUCCAUGGUCCAACCCUGGUCAGCUCUUUUAAGGAAAAGACUCCAUCUUGCUAUCACUCGGUUCAUGUUCUUCGUUAAACGCAAACACUUGGUGAGUACCUCAAGAACUCUUUCAUUAACACUCACACCCCACCUCUACACUAAACUCAGCAAACCUCAUAAAGAACAUGAGUUAGAACGAAUCAAUAGCACCAAACAAAAGAGUUUCUUAUAGUGAGCCAAACAACCCGACUGAGACUCGACCAAUCAAUUUGAAGAAUUUGUUUUUAUUCAAAACAAUGCUGUUUCGAUUUUUUUUUGAAAAUUUAUUUAGGUUGACUUGCUGACCUAGAAGAGAGGAGAAAUUUGAAUCUCACUACAAAAAUGUGAGCCAAAGUGUAAAUGAGCGUAAUAAUUUUUCGGAAAACUCAGGUGAAUGUACUCGAAAGUACAAGAGAGAGGAAGAAAAUGAAUUGCAAUGUUAAGAUAUCACAAUGAAGAAACCAAUGGCUGCGAGGAAGUAGACUUUGAUGCCAUGAAGUUUGCUGAUUGUAAAGUGGGCUGACAAUAGGCACUUCUGGCAUUCUCACAAUUUAUUUCCAUCUUACCGAACUUCCUAUCUAGUUCAUCAUGUUCAACCGCAUCCUGAACAUAAAAAGACAAAGCAUUUACGUUGUCAAUAAGAUUCAGCAUAUAUAGCUUAGUUGGAAAGCUACUCCAUUAUGUAAUAAAAAAAUCAAAUUAUGCCUAGACAAUUUGAAUCCAUAUCAUUUCAAUUUUAUUUGGCUCCGAACACCACUUCCUCUGCCAGACAUGUUAGCCAACCGAUUGGACAAAGGCCAUUGAGGAAAAAUGUAACUUGACAUCGAAAACCAUAUAAUCCAAGAUGCUUAGAAGUGCUAGAAAGCAAUAUAAUUUUUUUUUUGAAAUUUCACAGAAUAAUUUAAGCUUUUUUUACUGAAUUAAUUUUUUAAUUUGAUAUCAGGUCCAAAUGAUCAGGAAUUUAUAUCUGAGUAUUUCUAUUCUAUCUAAUAAAAUUAAACAUAAAAUAGUGGUUAUACAAGUUUAAAAAUUAAUAUAAAAUUAUUCUUGAAAUUCACCGCUCGCAAACUAUUUCUUUAACUGAAGCAGAGAAACGAGACAACGGAUUUUAAACAACUGCAGUAUAAUGAUGUGGGAAACAUUAAGAGAACAAAUACAUACCUUAACAGAAUAGUGGCGAAAUGUAGGAAGAAAACGUAUCUUGCAGUACUCAUUGAACAUUAUAGUAAGCAGUAAGAGUGGAAUUGUGGCUAUGGAAGCAGAAGGUUUUGACUUCAGCCCAAAAAGACCAAUCAUGGUGAUUUGCAUAAGAAUGAUUCCGACGAAUAUGUAAUGAUGAACGUAUGGCCAAUACUGUCCGCAUGUAUCAUAACCAGUUUCGUAAACAUCUUCAAUCUGCUAACCAUGUUGGAAAAAAAUCCUUGAUAAGCAAGCGAAUCGACCAUACAAAGGCAAGGAAAGAAAUCAGAAACUUAACCUGGUUGACAUAUACAACGUAGCCUAGAUAGAAGUAGCCAACAAGAAAUGGAAGCAGCAAAGGAGCGACAACUGCAUAUACCAUACCAAUGAUUAUUGAUAGGGAGACUGAAGGGAUGAUUCUAAAAUAGAGCAAUGAAUAGAGGUAAGGAUUUUCCUCGUCUCCUGAUCCGCCAACUGUGUGUGAUUUCACGGAAUCCCAAACAAGCAAGCCCGGCUGAAGGAUUUCCAAAGAAAAUCCUGACAACCCAUCUGUUAAGAUGUAUGUCACGAAAAAAUCAGCCUGCAAAAAAGAACAAAUUAAUUAGCAGUCAAGCGGAGCCUGCAAGUUCAUAAAUUCAUAUUAGCUAAGAAUUGUUUGCAUCAUAUGCCAGGGAAAAAGAGAAUUGUGGUAGAUAGCAUAUAAACUCAAGAAAAAGCUUCAAAUAAUACACCAACUAAUUAGAUUAAGGCAACCUAGCUUACUUGAGAAGAGACAGCACUGGCAAGAUGACUAGGAAUACUCCUAGGGUGGGUAAAAUACUCUCCAAGUUCAUCCAGUAGGGAUCCUGAUAUCAAGCUCAAAAAGAAUACAUUUCCCACGAGAAAGUAGAAAACCAUAUUGCAAGCUUUAAUCUCCUCCUUGCUCUUCGAAAUCGAACCGCCUAAUUUAGCCAUGCCAAGCAUUGCAAAGGGAACAACAUAUAUAAAGCCUUUGAGAAUGGCACUUGGAAGAUACCCUGUAAUAAUGGAGCUUAAUCCUGGUCUAUUGCAGAACAAGAACAAUAUGUCAGACAGUUAUACAGAACUCUGAGAAAGAGUUCAAACAUUCGAUUAGUAUUCUGUUAAGUGAUUGCUUAAAGUUUAUAAUAGAUGCGAAAACUAAUUAUUUCUUAAAGCAUAAUGCCAAAAAAACAAAAUUGGAAUUGGAAUCCUCACAUUAGCUCCAUAGCCAUGGCUGGGGGGAACCAUUUCUUAAGUUUCUCAAGUUUAGCUAUUCCUUGAACAGCUGUAACUGGGACUGCAAAGAAAAUUGUGAGGAGAGAUGCUGCAACAACGACCCCGAUUUUGCAAAGUGGCAAAAUCUUAAAGGGAAUUUCCAGACUCCUCCAAGAUACAUCCCUUGGUUCUGGAGCCAUUUCCGUGAUCCAUAUGAGUGGAUGUGAGUGCUGUUGAGUUUGGGAAACUAAUGCUGCACCACGUCGGGACUUGAAUGUAACAAAGGCAACAGGCAACUCCUAGAAAAAUGAAAACAACUCAAGUUUUAAUGGUUAACUUAUAACCAAAUGUGAGACAUGAAGCAUGUAAACUUUUCAUGAAUCGCAUUUAUGAUAUAUCGCAGUUAAAGAUGCAAAGUAUAACGCAAGGCAAAAACAAGGCAUGUAUCUGCAUGGCUGUUCCGAAUACCAUUAUAAAUUGAGCUUCUAGAAGUCCCCACAGUUAAUACUUGACAGAUGAAACAUAUUCCAACUUCAAACUUGAUACAAACAUCCAUGUAAAUUUCUCUGAAGUUACCUUUCCUUUCAGCAUACUUUCGUUCAGUAAUUGACGAAUCUUACGAACAAUUUCUUGCUGCUUUUCCUUAAACAAAGCUAUUUUCGCAUCAUCUUCUUGAGAUACAUCUAAGAGUAAGCUUUCCUUGUCGCGUUUCUUAACUGUUAGCUUUCCUCUCAGGUCCUCUAUCUUUCUCAAAACAUAUUUUGCUUGGUGCUGCAUACAACAAUAUCAGAGGAACCAAGCAGAAUUGAGAUGAAGAAUGUCUUACAAUAAGCAAAGACAACUAAAAAUCUUUCAGCGUGCAAUAACGAGCAUGCUCACUUGAAAGAACUUAAAUCAUUAAAAGCAUGGGUUGAUGAAAAUGUUAUUGAUAGUGCAUAACAUUGGUCACUUUUCAAUACCUUCUAUGGCAAACUUUGAGAGAAAUUUAGAAACAUUCUACCACGUAGGAAAAACUUUGCGCAUUGCAUACCUCAGCCUAAAUUCAUAGUUUCAGUUGCAUAAAUGCCAUAGGGGGCAGAAAAAAUAGAAACUCCCCUGAGCUACCAGAGCUUGACAUCUAAUAUCAAGUGUCAAGCAAACCUCAAAGGAUAUCAUGUUUCCAUAGUAAUGUAUUUUUUACAAGAGCUAUAUCGUGACAUUCUAAGGCAUAUAAUAUCUUUGAUUAUCAUACAAAGCAUAUAUAAUAACAUAGAGCAGCUAAUCUGCCGAGACUGAGAAUGAAAUAGAGCCAACGCAUUAGUGUACGAAAUUCCAAGUUGUUCAAACCUUACCAACAGAUCUUCGAUAUCUUUUCCAUCAUAUAUCAUCUGAUAAGAACAGUAACUGUUAGGAUGAUGUUUAGAGAAGAAGUGAUCAACAGAGCACCCAUAAGCGUUGUGUUCAUUGCAGAAGGGAACUUGCCGAACAAGAACAUUAAACCGAUCAGGUUGAUGCCUUAGGUUCCGAAGUAGUCGGAUCCGUUUAACCGAAAUUCCGUCAUAUUCCUGAAGAUGAAAUGAUGCAGGAAAACACCUCAAAUUUCAACUUAUCUUGAAUGUAAAAGACCAAGAAGCAACGUUAUUAUCGCAAUGAUCGAUCCACCAUUACAACCUGGAUAGUUCUGUCGAUGAUAAACAAUAACAUGCAAUAAGUGGAUUUAAAAAAAGUAGUAUUCUACAUUUGUGAAUAAAUAAACCGAAAAACUAACCUUGUACAGCAGAUAUAAUCCAUAAAAUGAUAUCAACCACAAGCACGUAAAAUGCACCCAAAGCCUGUGGAAUGAAGAAAACUUGGUAAAUCAAUUGAGUAUUUGAGUUAUAAAGCAGUCAAUUGGAAGAUAAGCUUAACACUAAAUGCCAGUACUGCUAUUCAUAUUCAAACACAUGUAACCAGUAAAAAUUUAGACAACAUGAAGUAUCUUGUAUGCAUACUUGAAUGCUUCAUAUCUAAAUCGUAAAAAACGUAUCAAUUCUUAGAAAUUCAGCAUGGUGAAAGAAGUUCAUUGAAUUUGCAAGAUGACAGGUUUCUUUCUUUCUUUCUUUUUCCCCCUGCAGAAACAGCAGUUUGUAUACAAACUAAUAGUUGCUUAGACAGACUUCAAGUUUUAGACAAACAAUAUGCAAAGUAGCAAAAUAUUCUACCCUCUCAAACCUGAACAACCAUAAGCAAGAUGGGAAACCCAACCUGUUCGAACCUGCACUAAUAUUUGAUAUUGUGAAAGGAUCCAUGGAAUGGUAGAUGCUAGAUUGUUCAUCUUGGUCACCGAAAUUGAUUGGCAGAAGUACCACUAAUCCAAUAAGAGAACAAAUUCCAAAGAAAUAUAUCCUGCAAAGCAAACCAUAAUUAGAAAAUGAGUAAUUUUCAAGAGGAUAUUCAAGAAAUAGAUCCUCAUUCUUGGAAAACAAAAACUUCAGAAUUCAUUCCAAUAUGAUAAUAUGCAUAAAAACCAAAAUAAAUAAAUGUGAAAGGGUGCUCCAUAAGAUCGAAAGAUUGCUCUAAAAUCUUUCCUGUUUAGUUUAUUUAGUAUAAAUCAGAAUUUUUCCAAGUUUUCUUAUCUUGAUUCUGUCAAGAAAGUACUGAAAUUUUUCCCAGCACUUUCUAAUUACUUCUCAUGCCAAUUCAAGAACAAAAAUUUUCAAAUUUGUCAAGAACAUAAUCGAGUCCAAGAAACAUUACAGACUGGAAUUCAUGGGCAAAGUUAAAAACACAAAAGAAGCAAACUAACCCAAAUUUGAAGAGUCUGAUAAUGAUGAGAGCAUCAAGGCCACCAAUAUCAAGAACUUCAUCUUCAGUGACUCGAAAAGCACGAAGAAUCCAAGCAACUGAAGGGAGAAAGCGGGAAAGAGUGAAAGACUGCUCAAAGUGAACAUGGUGUCGUUUGGAGAGGCGACGAGCGUAGUAAAUGGAGGCAUUAGAAGGUUGUUUCUUGAAAAUGGAGAAGAGGGAGAGAACUAUGAAUGCCAAGCCAAAGUUAAUGGCUGCCGAUGCAGUAAGACUUUCUGGAUUCAUUUUGAUCACUCAGAUUCAGACUCACUACCAAUGGCCAGAAUGGUUCUUAAGGAAGGGAUGGGGAGAGAGGAAAGAGUGCAAGGUUUGGGUUGUACGUGGCAUGGAUGCAUGCAAAGGAGGCAAAGUGGAUGGGGAUGAGCGUGCGCAACUGCCUUAGCUUGCAUGAAUUUUAUUAGUUUUGAGAUUUUGUGUUAAUUAAGUUUGGAAUUAUUAUGAGAAAAAACCUAAAAGAAAAUAUUAUGAGAAAAAACCACGUGUAUUAAAUUUAGUUUAGCUUAGUAGGUUGAUUUAAGAAACUUAUAAUUAGGAACCUGUUUCUGAGUUUUAAAUUGAAUUAACUUGUUAGUUUUUAAAUUUUUAUUGAUUUAGUUAACUAAUUAAAUUCGUUAAAAUCAACUUUGAUAAUUUUUUUAAAAAAUAAAAUGAUAUUUUUUUACUUAAUUGUUUAAUUCGAGUUUAGUGAUUGUGUUUAAUUUAAUAUUAUUUUAAAUAAAAUAAUUAUCUUUUUUUCUGGUCAAAAUUGUCAUCGUUUGUUUUUUUAUUUCUUAAAAUAAAAAAAAUGAAAAUGAAAUGAAAAAGAAUAUAAAAUGGAUGAAAAGAAUGAAGUUAUAAAUGAAUAGAGAAAUAAUGUUUAAAUAAUAAUUUAUAAAACUACAAGCACCAGUAAAUUAUAAGGGACAAAAUUAUAAUUAACUCUAAGAUUUAUUCAUUUUCUUUACUGCUUUUUUUGUUAUUCGAUGCCAUUUAAUGCUGAUGGGCUAAAAAACAUGUUUGGGCUCAAUUGAUCUGGCAAGAUAGCCCACAUAAACUCUACAAAGUGGACGAUGAGGCCCAUAAUAAUUUCUAUAUGGGCCGUAAUGACCCAAGAAAUUGAGGUGGCUUAAGAAGUUAAAAUUGGUGGACCAGAGAUCACGCGUGCUGCUGCUGUGAUGCUCGUCCGUUUAUAUUAAAAUAAUCCUUAUCAAAUGCUACAUAUUUUUCAACUUUUUCUUAUUUUUUUUAUAUAGUUAAAUAACUCAGAACUUUUCUGAGUUUUGGAUUUUUUAAUAUCUUAAACUAUUUUUUAAAUAAAACUCAGGCUUCUCUGUCUAAGUUUUCGUCCACUCAUUUUUAAAAAAAUUUUAAAUUGCAUGUUUUUAUAUAUAUGUCAUGUUUCUAAACUAUCAUCUACAAUAAUAAAAUUUAAUAAAAAUAUCUUUUAUUAAAAAUAAUUUAAAAUAUUCAAAUAUUCAAAUAGAUUACUAGCUACCAGGUUUUUCUUCUUCUUUUUUCAUCAUAAAAUACAAGUAUAUAAACGUUAAAAUAAAUAUAAAAUUUUAUUUUUAUUUAUUUUAACGUUGAAACUUAUCACUCACACUAAAAAUAUAUAUUUAUAAAAAAAUUACUCUUUUUUUAUGUGAAAUUGAAUAUUUGAUAAUAUUUAAGGAGUAUAUUUACUUUCCACCAUGCCUUCAAAGGUAUUUGACUUGGUAGAAAGCUAUAUAAAAUUAAAUUGUCAUCAUAGCAUGAUGUAAUGGAUUAAAGAAAAUGAAAAACUUAUUUCUUAGUUAACCCAAAAUUUUGAUUAGUAUUCUAACAAAUUAAAAAUAAAAAUAACUCGUUUUAGGGUAGACUUUGCUUGAUCUUGUGACACACGGGUUAACGUUGACCAGUCCAUCACCGAGCCUCAGCCUGGGUCAGUUCUGACGACGAUGCUCUCCAUAGGCAACCACAACUGCAAGGGAGUGGCUUGACCUGGAUCCCACAGAGGCAAAAGUGGAUAAGGAGAAGAACAAAGGGAUGGCAGGGCAGCCAUGAAGGAAAUCUUUGGAGCUUUUAAAUGCAAUUUCGAGACAAGCAAUGUAAAACAGACCGGAAACUGUGUUGUUGUUUUCUCAGUUGACUUGGUCUCCUCUAACCUCAUUAAAUUUUACCAGGAAAAAAAGAAAAAAGAAAUAAGAAACUUACCGGAAACAGCAGCGGCCUUUAACGCAUCAGGGAAGAAGUCAGAACCCUUGACACCGACCCUUUAGAUACCCUUCUCCACAACACUCCAAACAAGAAAUUAAUCUCCAAUCCCUUCACACUCACCAACUAGAUAUUUUCGCCUAUAUUUCGACGGUUGUCCAAAAUGUAAAGGAACACGACAAGUAGAUGAAACCAAGAAACACUAGUGUUCCAGGUCCUCGGUCUUUGUUAACGUAUAUUACUUGUAGAUCCCGUCCAAGAAGAAUUUAACCAUGGAGGUGGAAACUUCUUUUGUGGAAUUUUCAGUCAGUCUUCGCAGUUCUUGAUUCUCUUCUUCAGGUUCAUAGUCUUAUUCGUUUCUUUUACCUCUGGAUUAUGAAUUUUCUUGCUUUUGAAUUCUUGUUCUAGUACAUAAGACUUGCUGUGUACACGUUUGUGUGUGUAAAUAUAUAGACAACCACGUGUGUGUGUGUGUGUGUAUCUUGUUGUUUUCAGGCUCAGUUUCUGUUCAGUUCUUUUGAUUUCUUAAUACCUACACACUUCCUCUGUCAACUUCUGUAGAUUUCUUGAGUUUUGGUUGGUCACUUCUAUAAUUACAACCCUUAAAUACUCUUUCUCCACAUACUUGAUACGAUAAAGAAAUGGAAAAUCCUGAUAGCAGAAGCAUUUCUGAGAUUGAAUCAGAGCAACAAGCCUCAACAGAAGAGGUGGUAUCACUUGCUAAGAACUCAGAAUUCGAUAGAGAAAUAUUUACUGAAUUUGCAGUUCUACUAGACAAGUUCACACCGGUUCUUGUAGCAAUAAAGGAUAAUGAGAAACUCAUGGACAGACCGCCAGUCAAAAAGGGAGUUGAAUCCAUAGAGAAAGAGCUUAAUCGAGCUAAUAAAUUAAUUGAAGGAGCUUGUUCAAGAUCACCCAUCAAGCAAAUGAGGUUGUUACUCAAGAACUUGGGAGAUCAUUAGGCCUUGUGCUUUUUGCAAGCAUUGAUGCAUCCACAGAAGUUAAACAAGAUAUUGCAGCAUUGCACAGAGAAUUGAUGAAUGUGAAGUUUGAUAUCAGUUUUACACCAAGUCCAAGUCCAAGUCUCGGCUCUAGCCCUUGUGUAAUUCAUGGUCAAUCCGGGUUCGUAAGUGAGCAGGGCUCUUUUAUUAAUGAAAUUGAGGAAAAAGAUUAGUCUUAGCAUUGAUGAUGUAGUGUUACAACUCAAGUAUGGUAAUGAUGAAGAAUUCAGGCUUGCACUUUUGGUCUUAAGUGAUUUUAUUAGGGAUCAGGUAAUUGAUAAAGAGUGGAUCCAUGAAGAAGAUAUUAUUCCAAUUCUGUUUAAUCGGCUAGGCUCGAGCAAGCCUCACAACAGGUUAACUAUCAUCCAGAUACUGAGAAUUCUCGCCUUGGACAAUGAUGAAAACAAGGUGAAUCAUAUGAGAAAUGUCUUAAGUUUUCUACAUAAUUUUGGUUGCAAGUUUAAGAAUUUCUACUUUGUAGCCAUCUCACAUUGUCUGGUAAUCUGCAGGAGAAAAUGACAGAUGGAGUCUGCUUGUCAGGGUUGGUGAAAUCUUUGGCACGUGAUGCCGAUGAAGGGAGGGAAGCUAUAGGUCUGUUGUCAGAACUCUCAGAUAUUUCUGCAGUUAGGCGACGAAUUGGAAGAAUUCAAGGAUGUAUUGUUAUGCUAGUCACCAUGCUUAAUGGGGAUGAUCCAACUGCUUCUCACGAUGCAGCAAAGUUGUUGAUUGCACUGUCAAGCAAUACUCAAAAUGUGCUUCAUAUGGCUGAGGCUGGUUACGUCAAACCUCUAGUUCGUUGCCUGAAGGAAGGUAAUAUUAAAGCUUCCUUUCGGUUAAUGCAUGUUCUGUAGCAUAGUUUUCGUGUUCAGGACUGUGGAUGUAUUUGAUGUUGUUUGAUGUGCCUUUUGAGUGAAAAGGCAUUUGGGAUUUUUGCGAGUUGUGUGAAUUCUCUAUUGAAAAUCGAUAUGAAGUCUGAACUUGAUUGCUACCAAUUUUUUUCCUUUCAAGUCCCUUGUUGUCUAAAUAUAAUCAUCUUUUUUUUAUAUAGGCUCUGAUAUGAGCAAGAUCCUCAUGGCAACAGCAGUUUCAAGGAUGGAGCUCACAGAUCAGUGCAGAGCCUCCCUUGGUGAAGAUGGGGCAGUUGAACCCCUUGUCAAGAUGUUUAAAUCUGGAAAACUUGAAGCCAAGUUAUCUGCUUUAAAUGCAUUACAAAAUUUGUCAAACUUGACAGAAAAUAUAAAACGUUUGAUCAGUUCAGGUAUUGUAUCACCCCUGCUCCAGCUACUGUUCUCCGUGACAUCUGUCCUUAUGACACUCAGGGAGCCAGCUUCUGCAAUACUUGCAAGGAUUGCUCAAUCAGAAAAUAUUCUGGUUAAACAAGACGUGGCCCAGCAGAUGCUCUCGCUUUUGAAUCUUUCCAGUCCAGCGAUUCAGUUUAAUCUUUUGCAAGCUCUAAACAGUAUCGCAUCCCACUCUAGUGCAUCCAAAGUAAGAAGAAAAAUGAAGGAAAAUUGUGCAGUCCAGCUUCUUUUACCCUUUCUGACAGAAAGCAACAUCAAAAUCAGAAGUGCUGCAUUAAAUUUGCUUUACACCCUUUCUAAAGAUUCACCAGAAGAGUUCAUGGAACAGCUUGGAGAAUCCUAUCUUAUCAACAUAGUCAAUAUCAUCUCAUCAUCAGCAUCUGAGAGUGAAAAAGCUGCCGCAAUCGGAAUAGUAAGCAAUCUUCCUGUUAGCAAUAAGAAAUCAACAGAAGUACUGAAAAAGUUACAUUUUCUGCCCAUUCUGAUCUCACUAAUGAGUUCAGGUGCAUCAACAUCAACAAAAACAUGGUUAGAAGAGAGCAUUGCAGGCGUCUUAUUCGCUUUACCAUUCCUUCUGAUAAGAAAUUGCAGCUUCUUUCAGCAGAACUAGGGGUGAUUCCUAUCCUUUUGAAGUUGCUAGCAAGCGAAUCAUCAGUAGCCAAGUGUAGAGCAGCGAUCUCACUCACACAACUAUCGCAGAACUCAGUAGCUCUUCGAAAGUCCAGAAAAUCGCGGUGGACAUGUAUGCCUCCUUCCGCAGACACUUUCUGCCAAGUCCAUGAUGGCUAUUGUGUCGUUAAAAGCACAUUUUGUUUGGUCAAGGCCGGUGCUGUCCCUCCACUGAUCCAAAUAUUGGAAGGUGAAGAGAGAGAAGCUGAUGAAGCUGUCCUCAACGCCCUCGCAACUCUCUUGCAAGAUGAAAUCUGGGAGAGUGGAAGCCUCUACAUGGCCAAAACGUCUGCUGUCCAAGCCAUAAUAAGAGUGUUGGAAUCAGGAACUGUAAAGGCUCAAGAAAAAGCACUAUGGAUAUUAGAGAGAAUUUUUAGCAUUGAAGAACACAGAUCACAACAUGGAGAAUCUGCUCAGGCGGUCCUCAUCGAUCUUGCACAAAAUGGCCAUCCAAGAUUGAAAUCCACAGUUGCAAAAGUAUUGGCACGGCUUCAGCUAUUGCAAGAACAAUCUAGUUACUUUUAAGCAGUGUUAUUAAAUCGAUCCGAGUUGGGUUUCAAAAAAAACCAAGCAACAGUUGAUUCAAUCAAACAUAGAUUACCGGGUAGAUCAACUCACAACUCUAUUAUAAAAAAAAGAAAAAAAAUUCAAAAUUAUGUUUUUUGAACUUGUUUUUUUUAUAAUUAAAAUAACAUUGCUUUAUUCAAUUCGGUUUAAUUCAUCCAACCCGAUUUAAAUAAUAAAUCAAGGUUUAAUACCUCUGUAUUAAAGAGAGAAUUUACAUGGUGUGAGUUGUCAAUUUUUUUAAUGAUUUUAUACACAUUAUUUUAUUCACUUGUAUUCCCUUGAUGUAUUUAGAUAAUUUUUUUUUGUAUGAAUGAAGCAAUUAUGUUUUUGAUACUAUAGAAAUUGUGUUUCUGAUUUCCGUAUUUGCAUGGCUGCCAUUCAUGGAAGUACUUCCAAAAUGCUAUGUCCAUGUCUUAUGGACAAAAUUAAAAAAAAAAUCUUAAGAAAUAAAUUUAUAGUUAUAAAUCCUGAUCUAACAGAUAAACUUGAUAUUUAAUUUAAUUUAGGUUUUAUUUUGAAUUAGAUAUUUUUAAAAAAUUAAAAUGAUUUUAUUUCAUAUAUCAAAUUCAAAACAAUGUGUUAAUUUGUGGAUUCAGAGUUAACCCAACGAAUCUACUUAUAGUUUAAUUUAUAAAUAUUCAAUAUUAUCACACACUCGAGUUCGAAUCCUGUAAAGUGUAAACCCAUCUCUAAUCUUCAAUACGACAUGUCGUUUGCAUAAGACAUUAGUAAAAUAGAAACAGUGUCGUUUAGACCCGCGCCAUCUUCCUCCUCUAUUUCACUAAGCAAAAACCCUAACUUUCUCUCUCUAUCUAAAAAUGCUCCGUCGAAACAUCCGAUUAAGAAGAGAGUAUUUGUACCGAAAAAGCUUAGAAGGCAAAGAACGUUUACUUUACGAGAAGAAACGCAAAAUCAAAGAAGCCCUAGCUGGUACCAAUCCUCUUCCCUUUUUUAUUAAUUAAUUUAAUAAAAAACAGAUUUUUUAAAUUAAUUUAAUAAUUUUUACAGAGGGAAAACCGAUUCCUACUGAGCUUCGAAACGAAGAAGCCGCUCUUCGUCAAGAAAUUGAUCUUGAAGAUGAAAACACCGCAAGUAAGCCUCCUUUAUAUAUAUAAUAUAUAUAUAUAUAAUUUCUUAUAUUUUUUUAGUUAAUUAUUUUAUUGUUUGCAUUAUUUUAGUACCGAGGAUCAUAUUGAUGACGAGUAUGCGAAAGCGACCGAACGAGACCCGAAAAUUUUAUUGACUACGUCGAGGGAUCCGAGCGCUCCUCUUACUCAGUUUGUUAAGGUAAUUUGUUAGGUUUACGCGUUGAAUUGUGUUGAAAAAAUUAACUAUGAAAUAUUAUGUUGUUUGAUUUGAUUCGAAUGGUUGGCGGAACCUUGCUCAGGAAUUGAAGUUUGUGUUUCCAAAUGCGGAACGAAUCAAUCGUGGUGGUCAGGUUAGUGAAUUAAUCUGUUAAGUUUAUGCUCGGAGCUGUGCUCCUCCCUUUCAUGGUGAGUCUGAUGUUUUUGUGGGAUGGAGCAGGGCAGCUACUGGUAUAACUAAUAAUUUCUCUUUCAAGAGACUGACUUGGGGUUAAGAAGAUGAUUUGGCAUUUGUGUGUUUCGCAUUUAAUGAUUUACGUAGAGGUGGUGAAGAAAUGUGUGGUUAAUAGAAUUUUGUUGUGUGUGUAUAGAGGAAGUUGAGUUUUGUUAAAGCCUGCGAGUCUAGAUUUUCUUGGCUGUGUAGGAGAUUGAUUCUGUUUGAUAUGUUAGUGACUUUUUUGAAAAAAUGCUCAUUUGCAGGUUAUAUCUGAGAUUAUUGAAAGUUGUCGGGCACAUGAUUAUACUGAUGUGAUUUUGGUGCAUGAGCAUCGUGGUGUGCCAGAUGUUUGGUUAUAUGCCAUCUACCAUUUGUCCAACUGCUUACUUUGAAUUGCUCAAUGUGGUAAGUAGUUUGGUUAUUCUAACAUUUUUUGGGAGUAUUCAUUGGGCUAAUGUUUUGGGGAAUUCUGUAUGCUGAUUAAGUGUCCUUAUUGUAGGUUACUAGACAUGACAUUAAGGACAAGAAAGCCAUCGGAACUAUGCCUGAGGCCCACCCACAUUUGAUUCUUAACAAUUUUAAAUCCAAGGUAUUAAUUUCUCAUUCCCUGAAUGUCUAUUCUUCAGUAUUGGAGUUUGACUUCUUCAUGUGCAACUUGUGGUCAUUUGAAGAUUUGAUAGACAAUUAGCAGCCUUGAGUUAGCUUGUUGCUUUUGAAAGAAAUGGAAAUUGUGCUAUUUAACCAGUACAUAACCAAUUCAAACAAUUGCUUUAUUACUUAAACGUUUUAACCUGUGGAUGGUUCCAUUGUGGAAUUUCUUUUGUUGAUAUUGACAGCUGGGAGAAAGAACAGGAAAUAUUCUAAAACAUCUUUUCCCUGUGCCGAAGCCAGAUACAAAACGCAUCAUUACUUUUGCAAAUCAAUCUGACUAUAUCUCCUUCAGGUUGGUUCCCUGUUCAAGUCCAUAAAAGAUUCUUGUUUCAAGCCAAAUGAGGACCAUUUGAAACAACUUCCAUGAUGUCUUAUUUUAUGCCAUUAUAUUGUAAUUGCAUGGGAUAUCCACCUUUGCUUGGAGUUGCUUGGGAUACCUGUCUUAAGUUCAGCUUGUUUAUGUUCGUGAAAGAGCUCCAAGUAGACCUCAUCAAAUAGCUUAUCUACAUUGUUCAUUUUCUAGCCCUGUUAGUGUAGAGGUUUGCUAUGAGAAAAUUCAUAGACAAUCUUAUGAAGCUGAAACAUCUCAAAGAAAAGGAAUUUAAGUGUUUUUGUGGAAAACAAUGUUUUUUUUUAUUUUUAAAUAAUUCUGUGAUGAUGCUUUAGUCUUAGCUUAGCAAAUGACAGGAGGCAGCAGUCAUAAGCAAUUUGCCUUCUGCUCUACUAGCUCUUACAUCACUUUGUGUUGUUGGUAAUAGCAAUGAUGUUUGAUGUUGGGAAAGUAUUCAAAUUUAUCAGAAAAUAUCCUGAGUUUACUAACAGAGUGUAUAUUUAAAGAUUGAAACUUUGAAAAAUAUUCUUGAAUUACUUGGCCAGCAACAUAACAUGUAUCAUGAUAAAAAAAGUAGAAAAAAAAAAAUUUGUAUUGUUACCAAACAUGGUCAACCUGGUUGCUGAAUAGGAAGAAUGUAUAUAUGCACAAACCAUUACCUGGAAUAUUAUUUUCCUGUCAUGUGUUUGGUUAUCUCAAGUCUGAACAUUUUCUUCCUGUUGGCUAUUGUGUUUUCUGUUUGCAAGCUGUUAAUUAGUGAAAUUCAUCAUCUUUUUUGUACUGAACUGAUCACCUUUUCUUUUUUUCUUCCUAUGCAAUAUGCUAUGGCUGAUUUUUUUUUAUUUGGUAUUGUUUAGGCAUCAUAUUUACGAAAAGCAUGGAGGCCCUAAGUCUGUUGAGCUCAAAGAAAUUGGUCCACGUUUCGAAAUGCGGCUUUAUCAGGUAUCUCUAAUAUCAAUUAGUUCAAUUUUUGACCGUGCGUAAGAUUUCUUGCCUCGAAGUUAGAAAUGGCUUCCGUGAUAUUCUAAUUUUAUUUUUCCGUGAUAGAGAAAUUGUAGACAUCUAGAAUCUGAUUGAUAUCAGUUAUUGGCAAAACAUUAUUACAUCACUUAUAUAGCCUCUGCAAUGCCUUCUGAUAUUAUUACUAAUCGUCAGUGUAAUUUUUGGAUUAUUGAUGUUUCUGUUUCUACAUUGGCUCUGCAGAUAAAGUUAGGGACAGUGGAUCAGACCGAAGCACAAAAUGAAUGGGUGCUCAGACCAUACAUGAACACAACAAAGAAACGGAAGUUUAUUGGAGAUUGACAUGAGCCUCAGGAACUAAUAUCGAACUUUGUACCUUCAUUUCUUCUAUGUCUUGGCAAUUUUGGUAUCAAAUAUAUGCACGAGCCGAUUUAUAUUUGCUCCUGUUGAAGUUAUUUUCCCAUCGAAUGAGUAGAUAUGUAUCCGUGCUCUCUCUCGAACACUUCAAGCCAUUAACCAAGACAAAUUUUCUACUGAAUUCAUUGAGAUUUUUGUAUUUCAGCAACAAAUGAUGAUCGUAUGGCAUGAAAAAUAGAAAAUAAAUGCCCUUGGCAAUAUUGAUCUGAAAAGGAGACCGGGAUGGUCAAUUUCCAGCACCGGGUAUGAUGGGAUGAUAUUCCUGAAUUCCAGGGCACAAGAAAUAAUGAAAGAGCGGGAAAAAAUCAACGAUGUUUCACAAAACGACUUCAAAUGACUGGCAGUGAUUUCAAUUCUUAGAAGAGUUUUCCGUGACUAGGUUAACUAGUUGAUAUGAAUAUUACAACAAAAUCCCUUUGCAAGCAAGAUUUCUCUUUUUUGCACUGUACAGUACAGAUAAACGACUCCACAGAGUGCCCUUCAUCUUCUUCCUAUCAGAUACACAUACUGCCAGAAAAGCUAAACAGUUACUUGCCAGUUGGCGUUACUCCUCGUCUCUAUCUGCAAGUUAUUGCUUACAACUUGGGCGAUCAAGUGGGGAAAGUAAAGGCUACUCCUCCAUGCUUGUUUCCCCGUUUGCACCACUUUUUGGUGGCAUGCCAUCUUCAUCAUUUGGGCAAGCUUCGCUCACCUUUUCCCCAUUCAAUUGGUUAUCAGGUUGCAAAUCCCCGUCUUCACCACUUGGAAUAUCAUCCAUCUCUUUUGAUUCCUUUGCCUGGUUGUCUUCACCACUUGGAAUAUCAUCAAUCUCUGUGGAUUCCUCUGCCUCGUUUUCAUCUGGUGUAUCAUUGAUUAUUGCGCCCUUUGCAGGAGCAGGUCCAUCAGAUGGAUACGCAAUGUAGUGCUCAUGCUGAUAGCCCAUCAUACGUGCCUGGAAUCAAGAUUAACCAUGACUUCAAUCACUGGAACUUUAUACAGCAGACUAAGAUAAAAUUUGCAAGUGGAUUUUAAUUGGCAGCCAACAACAAAGCGGAUGCACCGCAUCACAGGCUGGAAAAGGUUUCUUCAUCUUGCAAGAUCAAGCUACUUUAUGCACGUGACUUAGCAUAUUAUAAGCCCAAAUGUUUACAUUUGAAGUACUUAAACAUACUUUACCAAUAUUGCAAGCCUGUCACUGCUUUGUGCGGUACUUGGUGCAACUUGAAUGUACCUCACCAUCACCCAACAGAUGGGAGUGACAGUGCCAAUGUCUUGGAGGUAUUAACAAGAAUAAGCACGCCCUUUUAAGAAUAAUGCAGAAGAUUUUCUUAGGAGAAGAAAAUGAUCGGAUAUGAAAAGUACAAACCAAAGUGCUCAAAACCAAAAGCCAGAUUGAUAUCUCUGACAAUAAACUAUUAAAGUUCAGACCGGGUGAAAAUCUGAUAACUUUAAAAUAUCUGAACAAGACAAAGCCAAAGGUCUUGUCAAGUUGAUCCAUCACAAACUACAACUUGUUAGGCAAGAGUUGAUUCACACCGUGUGUGUUUGUGUGUGUGCACUGGCGUUUGCAGGUGUGUGUAAGCUUCAUCAGCCUAAAAUGCUUUAUUCUUUACUCUGCAAUAUGCACAACUUUCACCUAACAUGAGGCAGGUUGCCCUUCAUAUUUUAUUAAGGUAUCUUUAACAAAUCAUUUUCAUAAAGGAACUAAGCAAGGCAUUCUCCCAUUUACUUACCGGGCUGUGCUAGUUUUGGGUGUGUGGCCACAGUAUAAGUUUAGGUUUUAAGACAGCCAAAUUGUCAAGACUGUUCCUCAACUUAAUGAAUUGAAGAAUCAACCAUAAAACAAGACGUGAAAGGUAUAUGAAGCAAAGAGCUAUAUACCUGAUGCAAUUGAUUCAUUUUAUCCAUUACAAUGUGGCCCAUCUCCUCAACGCUGCUAACAAAAUAAGGAUGUCCAAUGUCUUCAACUUGCCGCUCUGUAUAUGUCGAAACUUCACCAAAAUUCAGCGCAAGGCGAUCAGGUCUCUGAAGCAAAUGUUGAAAUGUAGGCUGCAGUUCAUAACAUUGUUCAAAAAGAGAUCGGCGGCAAAAUACAUAUAGUCCAAGUCGGGCACGGGACAUGGCAACAACCAAUCUUCUAACAUCACGAAGGUGACCCACAAAGCGAGAACGCACUAGAGAGAGCAAAAUAAAAUCAUUUUGCUGUCCUUGAAACUUAUCAACAGUGGCAACCUGUACAUGAGCAUUGAUGAUGAUUAUAAUGAUAUUGAAUAAAUACAUACGUACGUGUAUAUAUAUAUAUGAAAGCCUGCUGCCUGAAUUGCAACAAUGGUGUUAAGAGUAACAAGAUGGCAUUGGUGCAACAAAAGAUGCCCCAUGGAUGGAGAAUUGGUCAUUCCAUGUGCACCAACUCACAUGUAUAGCUUUUAUUUGGCAUUCAAGCAGCUAGAUGAACCUCAUUCUAAGCAAAAGUAUAUAAAUAUGUGAAAAUCAACCUUUAGAAAAAUUACUCAUUUUUCAUGUCAUUAUGCCUAGUUAAUGUAAGAGAAGCAAUCAAGCAUCUUACCUUGCAGGGUGGGCCUAUAAAGUCAUAAGGGACGCAUCUUCUGUUGAUAACAUCACGAAUAAGAAGUUUUUGCCCAUUGUAAGUGGUCAAUAUGGAGAUCUUGUUUGCAGGAUAACCAAGCAAACGCAUGUAUAUAUAAACACUAACAAUGUAUUCAGCCUCUCCCUCAUUUUGAUAGAACCAGGGAGAAGGAGCAGUCUCACCUCUCCCAUGAUAAUCAGGCACGUCCACUAACUGGUAAUCAUAGGAGAACCCAGCAUUUGCAUUCUUAAAGAUAGCCCCCUCCUUUACAUAAGGAAGGUCUCCCAAAUCUCUGUAUCUCCAAUUGUAAAGCUUAGCUAUGCUUGGCCUGGCUCUACCCUGGGCAUUGAGCUCAAUAUAAGGAAUACCCAGCCGAACAAACCUAGUGAAUAAGCUCUGAUCCAUGUGGCUAUACUUCUGAAAAGCCAUGUUUUUCACAACAGGAGGCAACUGGUGAUGAUCACCAAUCAGUAUGCAGCGUUUAAGACGUGCGUGACCAUCCUCCUGCCUCUGAAGUAACAUUGGUAUGAAAGUUUCAAUCUCCAAUAUUUGGGCACUUUCUUCCAUCAGCAAGUUGUCAUACUUAAAACCCAACUGGAGGAAGUCCUUUCUCUUCAGAGCUGCAUGUGUACAGGUCAUUGCCACUAUCUUUGCCUGUUUUGUCAUUAGGUAAUUUGCUCGAUCAGCAGUUGAUUUGAGCAAUUCAAAAGCCCUACACUCUUCUAGUUCUUGGAACAUAGUCUUAAGAUGACGAAAGCACCCUUUUGCUGCCCGCAUGUCUUUCUCAAAUGAUUGACCAGUAAAAACUGGCUGAGGGGUGUUGGAGAAGAACUCCUUAAAAGGAAAACGGUCCUGGACAAGUGUUGGUUUAUCUUCGUUAUCCGCACAAGUAGCAAGGAAUUGCCCAACGUGAAUAUACAUGCAGUAACCAAAAGUAUCCAGCAGUUUCACAAGUAUAAGCUACAUCCUCAGGAAGUUGGAGAGAUCUUGCAAGCCUCUCCACUUCGCUAAGCAAUUCCAACCGUCGAACAAGCAUUGCAUUGACACGCCCUUGCCUACUGAAGUCAAGAUCAGUUGCUAGUUCUUGUUCACCUUGACCAAGUCGAAGAAGAUACCGUGCUGGCACAUCUCUCUAAGAAAACGAUGAAAACGUUCCAGGCAUUAAGGCAACAUAUACACGAAAUAAGCUUUUCUAGAUACAGAACAGGCUUUAAUAUCAAGAACACCAGUGAAUGCUCCAUAUCAAGAGUGCAAAACUCAAGGGAUCAUAUUCACAAUAACAACUAUCUAAAUUACUAGUCUUUAUGUCAAUAUCCACGUGAAUAUAUUUCAAACCUAAUACCUGCAUUAUCUUCUCAAACAGGUCAUUCAAGGCCUGGUUGGAAUGGGUGAUUAUUAAUGUUCUCUGGGACGGACAAUUAUGAUAUAGAACAUUCAUGAUUUGCACGGCUGUAUCAGUCUUUCCAGUACCAGGAGGCCCCACAACCAUGGUUAGUCCUGGCUGGAUACCAGACAUGAUCGCUCCAAUCUGCAUAAGAAAAACAAAUGCAAUCAUUCAAAUAGAAAGUAAAAGCAUGUUUCUUAUCCAUCAUUAUCCACUUCAAUGCUUGUCAACCUUGUAAGUGAAAAAAGAGACCAUGGUGCCAACAUUUAGAAGAAUCUGUUAGAUUAUAAACCCCCAAUGUAGACACAUAAAAGCUUAAGAAAAUGAUGGACGUCAAAAGCAACAAAAAGUUCAAUUAUCCAGUAAAUCACAAAUAGUUGAACUGUUUCUCAUUGCAGAAGUAAUGUGUUUGAAACUUGGAUUUGCACCCAUUUUUACAAACAAUAAAAAGCAAAGAGAGAAGAGAAACUAACAAAGGAUUCCACCCAUUAAAUAAAUACCGAAAGAUCCCACAGACUAUGUAAAUGAGUUGCCAUUCACCUGUGUCGAUGUAAAUCUGACUGAAUUCUGGUUUGGCUGAUCUUGAGGAUAAGGUCCUGGAUCAGGAGGAAUGUACGCCUCAACAAUAAGUUCUUCUUUUUCCCUACCAGAAUCCACCAUAUUGAAACCAUUUUUGGAAUCAAUAGUAGAUUUCUCAUUCCCUGGAAUUGCAUGAGUGUAGCCCUUCAAUUUUUCUGGAAGCCUAAUUCGAAAAGGAGGUCUUGGAUUCAAGUUAGCCGAACCAUCUGGAUUUACAAAACAAACCUGCAGAAAAGAAAGAUGAGUACGUUGUAAAUUUAUGUUUCUCUUUAGAAUGAACAUACUAGGGAAAAUCAGCAUUCACCACACACCAUCUUUUUAAGGCAUUAACCUCCUUAAAAUGUGUUUUAUUGUCUCUAAACAACAGAAAUUUAUGUGACUUAGAAAAUUUCCACCUGUAAAAGGCAUUGCCAUUGCAACCAUAUAGCUCAUGAAUGAUCCCACAAUCAAAAAUUUCGCUGUAGACUACAGAAAUGCUUAAAACUCAUGGAUAAUGAAGGACUACAAGAAUUAAUGUCUGAUUAUAGUCUUAAAUUAUAUUCAAUAUUUUUUUGCAGUACUAUAUUUGCUAAAGAGCAGCCAAAAGUAGCUUUUAUUUGGAAUCUAAUUACAUUUAUAUUCCAUAGGGCUUCAUGUAGUCUACUUUUCCUGUCAUUAUAGGGUAUAGAUUUUUCAAUUUUCUUAUAGGUUUGGUACAUAUAUAGAGCAUCAUAUUUACACAUUUAAAAACAAUUGUAUGAAUACUGACUGAUCAAAUAAAACAAAUUAAAGGGAACAGAAAAGGAAGAAAGCUACAAAACCUCAUUUGCACCUUAUGAUGAUAAUCAACUUAAUAAAGUGUUUGGAAGGAAGGGAGAUGACUCCCUGAUGUGGACAGCAAAAGAAGCAAGAAUGAUGACUUUUUAUAGGCAAGGGUAUUUCUGUAAUUUUCAUUUUAUAUGGGAAAUCUGAAAAAUUGUCUAAGUCUAGGUUAUUUUCUAUUUAGUAUUCUAUCGGUUCUAAAGUAACUAGCUUCAUCAGGUUUCCUAUUCCAAACAGGAAUAGUUAUGUUAGAGGUUCAGGAAUCCAUGUCCUUGUUGGAUUUGGACAGCUAAAACUCUAUAAAUAAGCAUGCAGUCUAUCAAUAUUUUAGAAUGCAAUGAUAUCAAAUAAUUUCCAUCAAAGCUUUGAUUGCAUGACUCAAUCUCUUCUUAGGAGCGACUCUUAAGAACCAUAGGUGUGACUCCUACAACCUUUAAUUUCCAUCAAAUCUUUGAUUGCAUGACUCAAUCUCUUCUUAGGAGCGACUCUUAAGAACCAUAGGUGUGACUCCUACAACCUAUCUACAUCCUUGUAUUCCUUCAUAAAUUCACAACAAUACAGCCCUAAACAACUGCUAAAAGUCAAGAUUCAGAAAAGCCCCUAAGCUGUCCUGCAUCACUUCCCCUAUCUCAGUAUGUUAGCAAGAGCCUAUAUAUGCAAAUAAAAGGGGAAAUAAAAACCAAAGUCCAAUCAUAGAAGCAAAGAAUAAGCAAUACGAACCUGGUGAUCUGGGAAACUCUCCUUUAAAUGGUCUGCAUCCAAGAAAGUAUCUUUGAAAUCUACUUUCUGAAGAUGAUCAGGCAUUUUGGUCCAUUGUGCUGCAGAAGGAUCCCCAUAGCCCAGAAAAAUGUUGUGCAACCAGUCAGGAACAAUACAAUAUUCAUUCAUAAGAUCUCUUAUAGAUUCUAAGAUUGCUUUGAAGUUAUUUUCCUUAGGUUUCCUCCUCAUCAGCACAUUAAAUGUCCCAUAAAUGUCUUCAGCACCCCUCUCUGCAAUAUCCGUGACAUCCAUGUGGUACUGGGCUGUAUCUAAAGCAACGGUUACAGUUCUAAGUUCACCUUUUGGUGGUUUCCACUCCUCCCUUUUAAUUCUUCCUGUGAAAUCAUUCAUGAGUGUUCCCUCCUCAUCACGGAUCUCAAUAAUUUCACAUCCCCGCACAUAUUGGAGGCCAAGCCUCUCUGGAACACUGGCCUUCUCAGCUUCCUCGGCACUUAGAGGCUCAAAUGAUGGGCGAACUGAAAGUAAGAAUAAAACAUCAUGCUCCUUCAGAGCAUUCCAUUCAGAUCUUAUUCGUGCUUUAUAACUCGAAAUGCUAAAAGUAAUUUUUGCUGUCACAGAUGAUGGCUUGACUUCACCAAUAUUUGGCUGUUUGACCUCGGUGAUCUUAAAUUCUUUUAUUGGCACAGCCAUUCUUGACCAACCACGAAAAGCAGUCUCUCCCUCAUUAUUAAUGUAUGGAAGGAGAUGUGGUGUGGCUUCCUGAAUAUCUUCACGAAUCUCAUAUGUUGAUUCAAGCCGGAAGAGAUUAAAAUUUCUUAAAAGGUAAUCAUGAAGUGUUAAAAACUGCAGAUUAAGUUUAGGAAGUGCCAGACAACCUUCUCCAGAAUAGUUAAUGCUAGGCACAACACUCUCAUCCCACAUAAUCUGUUCAUUUGGAUAAAGCGGAAGAGCAUUUAUUGCUUCUUUUUGAGACUGCUGUCUCUCAAAGAAGGAGACCAUGACUUCAAUAAGAAAAUCAACUCUUUCAGACCAGGGAUCUUCCGCGGAGACCAGUUUGAGCUGGUAAAAGAAGUUAAAAUGUCAGUGAGUAGAUGUCUACUUGUUCCAGUAUCAGCACACUUGCACAUUGAUCAAUGCAAAAACUAAAAUUCAAAAAGAUCUGAACUUUUCGCACUACAACAUCUACACUUCAGACUUGAACAGACAUGUGGCAACAAAAAAGCCAGCAAACUGACAGCUGAUUUUUGACAGGCUGUCUUUUAUAUACAAAAAGGCGUGGUGGGUUGAACAAGUUAAAACAUUCUCGUUAGACAUAACAUAGACAAAGAGUUCUUCUCCCUGUGAUUGAUUGUCUACCUCUGCAGCUUUUACAUUCGAUUUAUAGAAGGAAAAAAAAAAGUAUUAUGAUUAUCUAAGAAGUCAGUGGCACCCCCUUUUUUCUAUCUGAUUUGGCGUUAGAACUUUAUAUGUAUCGAACUUUUAGCAUUUUCCUUGCAUAUAUACUCCACUCAAUGAUAUUCUUAGUAUAUUAGCUAUCAAAAGUUUAGGACUUUGAUUUCAUGAAAAUAAUAAAGCUAUGAAGUUCUACUUGAGUUCCAAUUACCAAUUAAACAAGCAGCAAUUUACUUUAGGCAGUUACAAAUAAGUUUGAUUGAAUAUUAAUAGGCGCAUUGCACUAUAAGUUGCAAACAACUCUAUACCAUAGUAAAGACCAAUCAAAGUAAUAACAAAUGAGCAUACAUGGAAGCAUAACAUGAUGACAAUAACCAAUUAUGAAAUAACACUAGCAUGGAGUAGAAAAAUCAGCUGAGAUAAAAUGGAGAACAUUAACCUAGUUGGAGUAUCAUCCUUCACAUACCUUACAGCAAACCAAGUCCUUCAACUCUUCGGGAGAGAGCACAGACAAUUUCUUGGAGAGAUCAGCUCGCUUGUGGAUUGCACCAACGUUAGACAAUGCAAGUUCUCGCAGCUACAACCAAAGUGGGUUGUUUAUAAAAUUAAUACAAAGAAUAGAAAUCAAAAGAUAAUUAAUGUCACAAGAAAGAUCAACUAUAAAAAGCUGCAUCCAUUUGCAACAGACAGUAGUUAGAAUUUCAGCAGUUACAUAUGAAAUACCUUGGGAAUUUUCUUAAAGGCAAGGAGCUGGAAGGCUUGGAAACGCUCAUAAUGAGAUCGAACCACUUCAUCAUCUGUUAAUUGUGUGCCAUAAUAAUCAUUAAUCUCAAACCGCUCAUAGAACUGCAGCAAGUCAACCAGUUGAGCAAAGAGUUUCCCUUUUUCAUGUCUGUAGAGAGCACUUAAAUGACAUUUCGCAACAACAGCAACAUCAGCUACAAGAGGCCUCAGAUACCUAUACAUGGUAGAAAAUGAAGAAAAGGGAAAAUAAAAAACAUAGAAUGAAAUAAACUGGUGUAUGGAGAAUAUCAACAUCUUGAAAGCAUAAGAUGCACUUGUAAAGCAAGAUUGGUUUUGAAUUAGAAAAAUUCAAGACAUGAACUAUAUAAGAACCAGCCUGUAAUAAUAAAAAAACUUGAAGAAGAAAACAAAGCUAAGUGAAAAUGAAACAGAGAGAGAGAAAGAGGAUGAGAGAGAUGAAUAUACCUCCUUGUUGGCAGUUGACUUAACAGAUCAAUUAGAAACUCCAUAAACCUCUCACAAUACAAGACUGCAGCAUCAUCAAUUUCAUAUUCAUUAGCAGAGCUUUUCUGGGGAAAAACUUUGAAAUCAAGCACCUAAGAGAGGGAUAAAAACAUAAUAGGUUAGCUUUGAAACAUGUUCCAGGGGAAAAAAACAGAUACCGACUGCAUUGUGUUUUAAGGUAAGACUUUACAUCAAGAAACUCUUCAGUGAAAUUCCUCAAAAACCUCACUUCAAGCGAGGUUGACGGGUUGAAAACUUCUCCUCGUUUAGUUGCCUCUUCAGCCUCUUUUCUUAUGGUCUUUCUCCAUUUCUUAAUCAAUUUAUUAUUAAGACAAAGCUCCAUCUGCAACCAAAAGAAACAAAUUAUAGGCUUAGUAGGCUAAACGGCAUACAAGCAAGACUGUUAGCAAAAUAGGAUUACACAGAGCAUAAAAAUCUCACCUGAAAGCGGCCAUAUGACAAACUGUGCCAUGACUCAAAACUUGCUAAUCUGAGGACCGUCUGACUCACCAUUUCAUCUUCCAAACUCUAUGCGGCGAAGUUGUUAAAUGACACAAGAAGAAAAAUUAAAAUUAGAGUAUGAUCCACUAUUCCUCAACAGAACAAAUGAGCCAUUCCAAAAACAAAAGGAAAAAUGGCAUUCAAUAGAGAAGAUCUACAUGAUUUCUAGUGCACUUUGGUACUCAACUGCGACGCAAAUGAGCCAUUACAUGAUGCUACAUGGGGAUGCAUGGUAUGCCAAAUUCCAUCAAAACAAAAAAACCUACCAGAGGAAUUAUCAAAAUAAAAGGAAAGGGGAAAAAAAGAACGUGUAGGAAAGCAGCACACCUGAAAGGCAUUAAUCAUGAAAACUAGGUAAUUUGUCUUCUCUGCUGUACUCAACUCUCUCCCCUGAAACAGCAUUUAAAACAUCAUCAAUCAAUUUAACAUGGUAGUUCUGAAGCAUCACCUGCUUGUACAAAACAUCUCAUAUGAAAUUAAUUAAGAACAAAACCCAAAUAUAAUUACCAGCAGAAUUUGAAAUAAAAAUUGUAACACAGUAGACCUGUUUAUUAGAAUUUAAUUUUUAGUAUGUCCCUCCUGGCAAAGUUUUAACACUGGCAAAUUAUAUGGUCAAAUACUUAAAGAAAAGGUCACGAACCUCCUUCAGGUGAAGAACUCUAUCAAGAAAUCUUUUGAAGACAUCCUUCCGGUCAUAAAAGCAUGACCAAGCUGCCACAUUUUCUCGAAACUGCAAUUUACAGAGACAAUAUUCAUGAAAACAUUAAUUCUUUCAUCCAAUUAAAUUCAUACUUGAUAAUAAAAAAUAGAAAAAAAAAUACGGCAUGAUUGCUAUAACAAAAGAAUACACCAAAACCAAAAUUUCCUCUAAUCACAUCUUCCCCAACUUUCGUUCUUCAACCAUCAAGCACAACAGUAGCAAAUGAAAGAUACAAAAAUAAAUAAAUAAAAUGCAGGGUUUCACUAUGAACCCAAGUCCUCACUUGACAAAACCUAGUACAUCUUCUUGACUUCAGCUGACUCAAAUUUUCAAUUCAUCAAGCUUCCACUCUCAAAAAUUCCAUCUCAAGAUCAAGUUAAAUUAUACAAAUAUAACACUUCAAAUCAACUUAAGAAUUACCUCCCCGUUUCCAAUUUCUCAUAUAUUUAAACAAACAGAAAAAUACAAAAAACCCAUUAUUCCUUUCUCAUUUUCAGUUUCCACAGCUAGCCCCCAAAAAACCCUAAACUUCAUUACUAAUUCACAUCCAGCGAAACACACACAAGCAAUAAACCUUAAAUAAAUCACUAACCUUCUCAUUAAUCAUAAGAAUCAUAGACAUGACAUGCUCAAACGUUGCCGUUUCAGGAUCAAAAUUGGGCCAUAAAUAAUUCUCCAAAUACUGACUAACUUCCAAAAUCAUCACUCUCUGCAAAGGCACAGUCUUUCUCCCUUCUUUCACCUUCAACUCCGUCUCAUAUAUCUUCUUCACCAGUUCCGCAUCAAACCCCCUCCUCUCCUCCUCUUCCACCACCAUGUCUCCGCCAUCCGCGACAGCAGAAGUGGUCGUUUUGAGCCAGUUUGCGGAGGCAAUCUUGGUCAAUCUGUCGCGUUGAAUCUCGGAGAGAGUGAUUGAGCUGGGGAGAGUUGUUGAACCGGGUUUGGAAUCGGCUGAUUUGGUCUCGGUUCGGGUUGCAGAGAGGUCGAGUGGGUACUCGGCCACGUGGUGGCGCUUGAAAUCGUAAGCGCCGGUGCCGUAUACUUUCGUCAUUUCUUAAGUUACUGAGACGAGCGCGAAAUUUAGGUUUUUUUGUUUUCAAUUCAAAGGUGACAUUAGGGAUUUUCAGAGUAUACAGAGAGAGAGAGAGAGAGAGAUAAACCCUGGUGGAUUAGUGGCGGUGAGAUUUCAUAAAGGUAGAGAUGGGUAAUCGGGUUUUACUAUUGGGUAGUUCUUAUUAUGGGCCAUUUUGGGGUCUAGGGUUCGAAUAUAAUACUUGGGCUGGGCUUGUGCAUGCUUUCUUUUUUGUUUAUAGUAUUUGUUUGUUUUAUAGCUGUAAAAUUCAUACCGCCGUAGAACAACCGGAGGCUUGAUUAUUUGGAUUAAAGAAAAACUUGAAAAACAAAAAAAAUAGCUGAUCUCAUAAAAAAAAACCUUGGGUUAAAUUACUGAUUUGUUCGACUACUUGUACAGUCAGAUCUUGUAAAAAACUUUUUACUAAAAGGAACUUUUUUAAAUCAUAGACAAUUAGUAAUUAAAAAUAUAUAUAAGAUUCUAGAUUUUCAUCAGACAAUUAAACAAUACAAUUUAUUUUAGGUAAAAUAUAUUUAGGAUGCUAAUGUCUUUUCUUGAUGCAACUAAUCCCCGUACUUAAUCUCUAAGACUAUUUAGGAUUUUUAAUAACAAAAAUACUAGAUGGCAACUCUAUUUUUAUUUUUCACUGAAAAAAAUAAAAAUUCUUUGUUUGUUUAUAUUUGACAGAUAAAUACACAUUUCUAAAAAUAAACGAUCGCUGCGAUGCCAUGGACGUACGACAAUCGAUUUAAUUACAAGAACAAUUAACCAAUAAAAAUAGUGCAAACGGGACAAAAAAAAAUCCUAGGAAAACUUUCCCUUUUUCCAGGGAUAAUAAAAACUGAAAAAAAAAGUAUAAAAAGAAAUGUUUUUUUUAUAUAUAAAAAUGGAAAUUGUUAGUGAGAUGAGCUUGAAAACUCAAUUUCCAAAGAUAACUAUCCUUAUCUAACGGAAAUUCAAAAAACCAGACCUUAAAAUAAAUUUAGAUUUAAUUUUUGUAGAGUGGUAUUAAGUAUUAAUAUUAUUUUGAAUUAUUAAACUUUUUUUGUAGUGCAAUUAAAUAAAAAAAUUAUUGGAAUCUUGGAAGGUUUAUUAAAGAAAUUUUUUUAAGAAGCUAUAAAAUUUUAUGAAGAAUUGAUAUUUGAUAACAACAGUAUGAUCAAGUUUCAAGAAGUUAAACAAAUAAGUGAUUUACUUUAAAUAUUAUUUCAAUAUAUGGCUACUACUUUUAUUAAUUUAUAUAAGAGAAUGAUUUUGACUCUGCGAAGAGAAAAGUCGCCUUGUCUCAUACAGGAUUGUUUGUAGUGACUUUAAGCUACUUAUAGAGACAGCCGUAAGAAAAUAUAAGGAAUACAAGAGAUAAAAUAUAAAAAUCGCCAAUCAUCAUGAUAAAACAAAAACAAAAACAAAAACAAAAUUCCUCAAUAAUUUUCUUGCACCAUGCAUGAAUGUGUCUUGUUAUCGGAGGUUCGCUAUACAUUACUCUCAAGUUCUAACCAAAUCACCCUAAUUUUCUACUAAGAGUAUUAAUUGGACAAUUUUUGAAAAUCAGUAGAAACGAGAGCAAUUUUACACACAUGCACGCACUACUAGUAAUAAAAGCAUACAACCAUCACUGUGCACGCAUGUUACUCUCGUGAUGCUUUACAUGUUUAUUGGAUUUGAAUGAUGUUUAGUGGACAUGAGAUUAGUCGUGGUACGUGCAAGCUGACCCGGACACCCACAUAAAAAAAAACAUACAACCAUCUAGUAGUUAGUCUAGUAAUAAAAGCUUGAGAUCAAAAUAUUUGUUCUCUCUGAUGUUUCAGGUUUGAGCUAUGAUUGCUAAUGUGAUGUCACUAGAUGACUUAUAUAAUCACUAAUUUCAUGGCCUGUGAAAUUAUCGAGGUGCGUACAAACUGGUCCGGACACUCAAUAAUAAUAAAAAAAAAACACAUGAAGCAACAAAAUUAUGUAACAAAAGGAAAAAAAAAAAAAAGACAGCAGAUUAUAUAUGGCAUCAAUAUUAACAAAACACGAAAAUAUAUAUAGCAAGAUUAGCUAAGAAUUAUUCAUUUAUUUAAAGAAAACUACAAAAAGUUGUGUUUCUAGCAAGCAAUUUAUUUGGACUCACAGCAACAUUAUUAUCUUAUGUCAACCAGUCGAGUCUCUUUAUAUAAUUCUUGUUAUCAUUGCAGAAAUAGAUCCCGUCGUCUUCUGUCUUCCAGUAGCAGGAUUUAGUAUGACAACAUGUGCUUGAUUCCAUGCUAUCAGUGAAAACAUUCGCAAAUCGAUGCUUUUCGGCCCAUUUGAAAUCACAAUGAAAUAUAGUUUUGCCAAAGGUUGCGAGACCGAACUUGGAAGUUGAAGUCUCCUCCGAUAUAGAGAGUAUGGUUUCCAAGGUCAUUGUCCUGAGACCAGCAAUGAAGGCUCAGUGGGUUCUUAUUGCUGCUAAAGCCAUUGAUUAUAUGAACCCUAAACUUGAAGCAAAAAACUAAUUUAUUAUCAUUGAAGGGUGUUGGUUUGGACCCCCAUGCAAGAACAGGGCAAGAUAUUGCUAGAAUGAAAAGGAGAGGGAAGGAAGCGCUCAGGCUGGAAGAUGCCAUGCUUGCAGGUAUUUUGUGUAUGAGCCACUUCACGGUGCUGAAGUUUAUAUAGAAAAGUAAUGGUGGUGAGGAUAAGACACGUUUAUCAGCAAAAUCCAUCAUUUCUUUUUAAUUUUACACUUACCUUUCAUGGACGCCUUUUCAUUUGUAAUCUAGAAGAGGAAAACAUAAAUUAAGAUAAACACCAAUCAAAAAAACAAAAAAGAAGAAGAAUGAAAUGUAUAAUUAACAUAUAUAGCUUAAUACCAAACUUUUUUUUCCAAAUUAUUAAAAAUUAUUGAUGUUGACCAACCAUGUUUAAUUAGAAUUUAACCGGGUCAAUCGUAUCAUAAAAAACAUAAUCAAGUCAAUUAGAAUUCACAAAAUCAAUUGUUUUUGAAUUUAACUUGAAACUUGAUUCAAUUUAAAAAAUCAAUUGUUUGUGAAUUCAACUUGAACAAAUCAACAACUUAUACAUGUAUGCCUUUUCAUUUGCAUCAUAAAAUCUAAAAGAGGAAAACAUAAAUUAAGAUAAACACCAAUCAAAUAAACAAAAGAAAAAAAAAAAAAGUAUAAUUAAAAUAUAUAGUUAGAAAUCUUAACGCCAAACUUUUUUUUUCCAAAUUAUUAAAAAUCAUUGAUGUUGACUCAAUCAUAUUUAAAUAAAAUUUAACCAACAUGUCACAUAAAACAUAUCAGGUCAACUAGAAUUUACCAAGUUAAUUGUUUUCAAUUCAACUCAAAACUUGAUUCAAUUCAACUAUUGAAUGUAAACCUCUAAUUGAAAAAUUUCAUGGUGCUUGUAAAAUUCAAUGGAAAAUCUUAUCACGUUAAUUGAAUAAUAAGAAAUAAAAUAAAAAUAGAAGUAAGUACGUAGUUGGGAUGAGAUUUUUAAUUAUUAAAUAAUGACUUUUGACAUUAAAAAUGAAAAGGAGAUACAACUUUCAAGUCGUGAGGAUCCACUUAAAAUUUUUGGUGUUCGUUAAAUAAUGAAGAAUUUACUCGAUGAUGAAAUGAGUUGUAAAACCCCCACGUAAAUAUACCAAAAAUAAUAAGAUCUCAAAGUAAUGGAAACUCAGGAUAAAAAAUAAAUAAAUAAAUUUAAUAUAUAUGGAGGAGAUAAUUUCUAUAAAUAAAUUUAAAAGUGUUAUUGAAGUUAAAAUAAGAAUUAUAAAUUUUUAUUUAAAAUUUAUAACGUCAAUUGAACUAGUAACGAGUUUGAGUUUUGAUGGAUAUAAGAAUUUGAAGAAUUUAAAAUAAAGAAGUAUUUUAGAAUGAGAAAAUAAUUCCAAGAAAUUAUAAAAAGGAACUGCAUGAAAAGGAUGUUAGUGUAAACCCCAAUAUAAAUUAAUAACGUUAUCGUGAAAUCAAAAUAAGUCUGUAAACAAAAUAUAUGAUAAUAAAAUAAAAUAAAUAUAUUUUAAAAUAAAAAAAUAAUCCUAGAAAUUUAAUAAAAAAUUAAUACAAAGGAUGAAACAAGAAAUUUAAAUUUAGAUAUUGGGUUGGGUUUCCCAAUACACAGGGUUUAAAAACUCUACUCCUUCCUAGCUAUAUCUAGAGCGAAAGCUGCUGGAAAACUAGCUGAGAAAAGAGAAGAGAGAAAAGCCAAGUUUAACACCAUAAAAUUCCAGAGAGAAAGCAUGAUUUAGGCAUGGUAGAUCAGUGAUUAACAUAAUCAAUCACAAGAUUAAAAGAGGAAAAUCACAAUAGCACUGUCCAUAGAAUCCUAACUAAUUUCCCCAUCAGUCACCCCUCUUUAAUUCUCCUUGAUUAUGGAGGACUUUAACCUUCUGCUCUCUUCCUACGAGUAACAUAACAUGUUGGGCUUGCAAGUCCUUGAUAUCACGGGGCCGAGCGAGCGCUGCUAGCUAGUUCAUCCCGUCCAGUGCCGAAACCAGUUUGCCUGACAUUUUCUGAGAGCUUGUGUGAUUGAUCAUACAAGUAGGCCUUGCUUGUGACUCGUCAAAGUUUCAGCUGCUAACUAGUAGAAUUUUGCUACAUGAAUCAUUAAUUUCCUUAAUAAUGUUCUAUUUUGGGCCUUUGAGCAAUACCUUCAAUCACUUGUGAUUGCUCACCUUAUAUUUGUGUGUCCAUUUUACUCUCUAUAUUAUCUCGGACCGUAUCUCUUUUGUUGUUCUUAUUCGCAGCCUUAAAAUAUGUUCAUUUCUGCAGUCACCGGAGCAGCUACAGGCCAUUAUCUUAUAUUUUAUACUAACUCGACAGUAUAUAAUUCUUUUAAAUCAAAACUUAAAUCUGCAGGUCUCAACUGAUCUUCUAAUUAAUCCCUCGACUUAUUAAGCAAUGGUUGCUUGGCCCUGUGACAUUUCUUUAAAGUAAAAGUUUCUCGUGGUAAAUUAUUGCUAGUAAUGUAGCCGUCAGGUUUCCACACAUAUAUAGCCUUGUAAUAAACUUCACCAAAUUCGGCCCUCGCCAACUUCUCAGCCAUAUUUCUAUUACUUUCUUGGCUUUAUUUGCAUUUAUGAAGCUACCUGUGACCUCUCUUUUCAGGGAUAAAGCAACCACAUGCUUAUGCAUCAAACAAAAAGUGACUCUAACCUGAAGAUGUUACUGUAUCUUUGAAAGGUAAUCUCACUCUUCUUUUUCCUUUUUCUUUGUUUUCUUAAAGUUGCUAUCAGCUAAGCUAUGUACCUCACUAAUAAUUGAUUAGUUUCCCUCGUUGCCAAAGCAGGAUUAUAAAAAAGAAAAGAAGAUAACAGUUGAGAAUAUUAUUAAGAAAAUGGCUAAAAAGAGAAUAGCCUAGCAAGCAGAAGUUAAAGCUGAAAAGGAAAGAAAAAAGAGGAAGCAAUAAAGCUUUAGAAACCAGGAUUAUAUAUUAACCCAGUUGAUUAGGAAAUCAACUUUCAAUCCAAACUAAGGAAAAAAGCAUUCUCUUUUAAGCUCUUAUUUGGUAUUGUGUUUUAAAAAGAAAUCGGGUAAAAUUUUAAUUUUUUUUACUUAAAAUUAAUAUUUUUAAAGUUUUUGGAUUGUUUUGAUUUAUUAAUAUCAAAAAUAUAUUUUUAAAAAAAUUAAUUUAAUAUAUUUACAAGUAAAAAAUAUUUUAAAAAGUAACAACUACUGUACUUCAAACCAAACACCCCCCAGAAGAAAAUUAAGAAGCCUCAUAAUGAAAUGGACGUCUUGUUUUUGUUUAUUCUUUGGUUUUUAUGCUGCAAGUAAUUAAACAACAAUAACAUGAGCUUGAAAGUUGCUCCUUUUUUGAAAGAACCAAGAAAGAGUAACAAUAUCUUAUGAAUGGAUUUCUUUUAUAGCACAACCUGUAUUAAAUUUAAAAGGUUGCCUUAUUUAAUAGCGCAACACUUUAAAAUACAAAAAAAAAUAAUAUUAAUUAAAGUGGUGAUCUAUUAGAAUUAAUGCAGCCCUUGCAAAUACAAAAAACAUUAAAUUGGGUUGCGCUAUUGGAACACUUAAUAUAUAUUAAGGGUUAUGCUAUUUCUAGUAGUACAAUCCUUUAAAUUAUUUUUACACAGUUGAUUUCAUUUUCUGAUUUUUCUUCGUGUAGAGCCAAAGAUUGGCUAUAAGCCAAAUUUUACACAGUUGGCAUGCAUUAAAGAGAACCAUCGAUCGAGAUGAGAGGAUAAUAAUAAAACAAACAUUAUUUGAAAAGACAGAAAAAAGAAGAAAUUAACAUGGGAUAUUUCACGGGGAAUUUUGGCACUUAUACAAGGAUGUGUAGCAGAAUCAGGCUAAGUACAGAAUGUGACAUGCAUACAACUAAGGUCUGUCUUCUAGUUUUUUGCAAGCUCACAUGGUGCAUGCCAGGAUAACUUGCUUGCCCUAGCUAGACCUGCAAAAGCAAGCAAGAAGCCCAUGUACAUCUCCUGUAUCCUUUUAUCUUUUCCGGCAGAGCAGAAAGCUUGCAAACCUUGCCAUGGCGGCAUUGAGUAUUUUUGGACUGCUUACUCUCUUUAGCCUUGAAAAGGUUCUUUGUGACUGGAAACAAGGCAUGGAACAGCUCUCUGUAUAGAGGUCCACUGGUGUCUAGACCACGCUCCAUCAUCAGAGAAUCCAGGAUUGAAAUUUGUCCAGACUAGUGCGAACCAGCGACAAAGGAUUGCCAAUUGUCGGGGGGAGUCUUGAGGACCCAUGUUGAUCAAGUUUUUUUUCUUUCUUUCUUUCUUUAAUUAUUAUCGAUUUAUUUGUCUAAUUUUAAUUUGGCAGACAAAAAACUAAUAUUGUAUUUUGCAAAUUUGCCACGAUCACUUCCUGACUGAUCUUGUCUUGCAUCUAAUCUUUUUCAUGGAGCUUCAAGAAAUAAAGUUCAAUUGAAUUUUAAUGGUUGAUGUCUUAUUUUCUACUAGUUUUCAUGUAUCGAAAGUACUAAAUUUAUAUUUUUAAUUUGAUAAUUAAUAAAUUAUUGAUAUAAAAAAUAAUCCGAAAACAGAUUUCUAGACAGAUGAACAGCCAUUAAAAUUUUUAUUUUUAUGGAUUAGCUUGAAGUUUGAAUCUUUUAACAGAUAAAAGAUCAUAUGUGCCAUUAACCAUGGUGCUAUCCUCGUCAAGCUUACAAGUUCAAUGACUUGUGAAAUUAAAGACUGCUUCGAGGUAGUAAAUUGUUGGACGGUUGAAGCUUUUAAAAUUUAUCAUUUUAUUCCAUAUAUAUAUAUAUAUGUGUGUGUGUGUGUUAUAAAACUAGUCUGAUACAAGAUAAUUAAUUCAUGAUUUAGUUGACUCAAAUUAGUCAAAACUAAUAAAUUGAUAAAAGAAAAAACUAAAACUUAGUUGUUUAUUUUAUAAAUAAAAUAAGAAGUCCAAUUGACACAAUAAUUAAAGCACUUUUUAAAGUCAAAACUCAGAUAUAUAUAUAUAUAUAUAUAUAUAUAAUACCUUGAUUGUAUUUCUCUUUCUUUCCAAGCAAGUUUAUUAUAGAGUAUCUUAAUUUCUUUUUAAGAUGGCGGACACUUAUUUUUCAAGUCACUUAAGGCAUACGUACCCCAGAAGACCUCUAGCCUUAAUCCAGAGCUUGAUAAGUGAAUCAUAACCAUCAAAUUAUCAACGUUGACAAGUCCACAUCAUACCAUUUUAUAAGUUACAGUGGAAUUAUGGAUUCAUGAGCCCAUUAAUACAUAAAUUAUAUGAACAUUGGUAAGAGAUUUUUGGUUAACAAUGUCUGAAACGAAACCGCACUGCUAGCAGCCAUUGCAUUAGGAGUCUCAAGAGCUGUGACCUAGCUAUACCAAAAGAGAGGCAAAAAGGGUAAUCAGUGUCGGUGGGAGUCUACAAAACGUGCAAAAGUAAAGGCACUAACUUGUAAGGUGAUUCACAUUUAGGAAAAGUAACUUGGGUUUCAAGGACAAAUGGUGCAACUUUACCUUGGCUAAUCAAAUGUAAUUUGACAUAGCAAUUUAGGGUUCCUGAGAUUUUCAUAAUCUAGUUUUACUGGAAAAUGAUGCAAUUUGGUUCAAUGAUAGAGAGCAGGGAGGGACAAAUUUCUUGUAUGGAAGUUAUUGUGAGAUUAAUUUCUUGUUUUGUAGUGCCGAUAACUGUAUCCGCGUUAGUAAACAAAGCUUAAAUACAUCAUUCAAGUCUAAUCAAAUAAUUUUUUUUUUUUAUAAUUUAUUUAAAAAUCUAUAUAAUAAUAACAAUAAUACGAGAAACAAGUCCGCUUACCUACCAAAUUAAACCUCAACAAGUAUCUUGGGCCGUUUAUUACACAUCAAAAGUAAUCUGAUCCCUUUAAUUUUAAAUAUUUUAUCAUUUUGAUCAUAAUUUGCAGGGAAUUUGGAAUGACAAAUUACUCUUACUAAAAGUUAGUUAGCACCUAGCUACUAGUCAAGCUAAAAGAUACAAUGUCAUGACCACUUAAUUUAUGAUUGUCAAGCUUCGCUUCGUCUCAUGAAUAGGGGGAUUUGGAUAACCAUCGAACUUACGUCAAGCACACAGAUAUGCCCCAUGCAAAAUUGUCUUCUUGAUUUGAUCUGAUCUAAAUCCUAAGCUGAAGUCCAACUCAUUUUUAAACUCACCUGCAAAUUUUCAAACUUGGCCAUUUUUUUCCAAAGGGUCAGUUGAACUUGUCCAUAAAGAGGCACAUCUUGAAAGACAUGAAGCCUUGUAUAUUAAUUUUCGUAUGAAAUUCACCCUACGAAGCAGACAUUUUGAAAUUUGAAUUUCCCAGUGGGACACAAAUUCAAGAUAUUUGUUACAAUGUUUUAAUCACAUUUAACUUGGUAUUCUUUGAUUAGUAUUUCAUGAUAAAAAGGACAUGUAUGUAAAAGGGAUACAAAUAUAUUUGAUUGGGGAGACAAAAACAAAAAUAAAUGUCUCUAAAAUAAUUUUAGAGUGAAUUUAUAUCUUUUUAAAACUAAAAUGAAGAGAAAUAUGUUCAAUUUGAUCUCAUUUUUCUGAACAAUUGUUAACAAAAAUAAAGAGAAACAUGUUCAGUUUGAUCUCUUUUUUCUGAACAACCUUCAAAUAAAAUAGGCACGGGCCGGUGCCUUACAAGCAAAGAUUUUAUCAAUUGCUUCAGGGUCUCAUUUUUUUAUUUUCCUUAAUGGCACCAUGCUUUUUUCAAUGGAGAUAGAGGAAAGGAGCGUUUGUAAAUGGACCUUUAGGGCAAGAGCAGACCCCACCAAGCAUCCCCAUUUUGCCGACCAUUGCUUGUCUUUUGUAAAGUUCUACCGCCCAAUCCUGAUAUUGAUGGCUUCCCAGUCAACAGGUGACUGAUAUAAAACAGGAAAAAUUCUCUACAGUAUCUCUGUACAUAGAAUCCCAAUGCUACCCCUCAAACCUCUCUCCUUGUCCCAAGAAAUGGGGUCUCAUGGAUUUUCUUCAAAUACCAUCUGAGGAGAAUUCAGAGAAAAACUUGUGGAGAAGACUCCGUUAAGGGCCAUUGAUGAGUGUUGUAGCUAGGCAGCAGGGGACAAGGCCAUGCACUGGUAUGUGUUCAUGGCAUUCGUGUAUUUUGAAGAUAAUGAAGGGGGUAGUUAUGUCAUGAGAGAAAAGAUAGUGGGUUAGGGCAUCGAAUCACCAAUCCUAAUAAACAAGUCAGUGCCAUAUGCAGUAUUUCCGUGACACAUGGCAAUAGAAAAUACCUCUGAGUGAAGGUCAGCAUCAGACUCUCAUCUCAGCCUUGUUCAAAUUUGUUCUGCCAAAUGACCAUUGAGGUAAAACAAAAGGCCAGCCCCCUGAAAACCAAACGAAACUUAACAGGAAGAAUCUUUAGUUGUUUGGUUGUCAAGAAGGCUCACUUCUUCCUGUUGGAGUACAAUCUCCAAAAAAAUCCACAAGAAAGCUAGUUUCCUUCCUAGACUAGAUCUCCCCAUCUCUAAGAAAAGUAACUUAAAUUCCCAUCUAGAAUUCAUGGUGCUGGCUUUUCUUUGAAGAUGGUGCAAAGAAAGGUGCCCAACAAGCUUGGUAUUCAAGCUGAUCAUGUUAAAUCCGAGAAGCGGUUGGGGAACCUGAAACCAAGUUCUUGUCAGCAUCAGGAUGGCAAGAAUAGAGGACCUGAUAUGAAGAAGAAAGCGAAGAGGUCAAGAUCAAUCAAGAUUUCAGAUAUUGAGAGCUUGAAAUCAUCAUCACCUUUGAGGAAAGCCAUAUCACAGCCUGGAAAGCUGCCUCCUCUCAAUGGUACCACAACUGUAGCAGCACCACAGAAGCAGCUUAUGAUCAAAAUAACUGAUGGUUCACCGAAUUAUAUGAAGUCAACCAGUAGUUCAGAGGCAAGAAAGGAGCGUUCCCAGGUGAGUCCCUUGAAUACUCAAACAGGUUCAAAUGGUAAGAGCCUGCAUUACAGAAACUCUGGGAAUUCGAGAUUUAGUCCUGCUUCUGGUAGCAAACCAGCAAGAACUUUAUCAAAGACAUCUAGUUUGAAGCUGGUGAGGACUCCUAGUUUUAAGCCAACGAGAGGUACUGCGAAGAAAUGUUCUAGAGUAGCUCUUUGUGCUGAUGUGAGUACACAAAAAGCUACCUGUUCUUCAACCCUGAAGGAUUCGAAGUUUCCUGCGUACCUCAUGCUUAAUCCUGGGGGUACUGAAGCAGAGGGAACUUCAGUCAUGAAGGUCUGCCCAUACACCCACUGCUCUCUUAACGGUCAUCAUCACAAACCUGUAACUCCGCUGAGGUGCUUCUUGAAGGCAAGGAGGCGUUCGUUGAAGGUCCAGAAUAGUAUGAAAUUGGAGGAUUUAUCCCCACGCAGAGCCAGGUCAUCUGGCGAUGGAACAGAAGAAAUUCAUGGCGGACUGUUGGAUUUUUCUGAUGACAAACCUGUGAUACAAGAAGUUGGAAAGGAUUUCUUUAUUGAAAUCUACGCUAAAAAUACAGAAGAUGGGGCCUAUGAAACCGAAAAGAGGACAGAGAAUGAAGGCAAGACAGCAAAUGUUUUUUUGGGAGAACCUGAAGGACAGAUUAAUGAGUCCUGCUUUUACGCUGGCCAUGAAGCCGCGGCUGAACAAGACAACAGCAAUCACGUUUCUGAGAGCUCGUCAGAUGAAUCACAAGAAUCAGAGAUUGAUUUUGAGGAAAACUUUAGUGAUACCAAUGCAGCAGAGAUCAAUGUUGCAGUGGGUUUCCUCAGAGAAGAUGAAAAGCAUGGGGAUACAGACUGCUCAUUGACCUUCUCUGAAGGAGAAGCAANNNNNNNNNNNNNNNNNNNNNNNNNNNNNNNNNNNNNNNNNNNNNNNNNNNNNNNNNNNNNNNNNNNNNNNNNNNNNNNNNNNNNNNNNNNNNNNNNNNNUAGGCCUAAAUCACAAGACUCAUUCCUCGCAAUUGGUUUGAAGCUGACAUGUAAAGAUAAAAAUGCUGUUAGUCUUGGCGCUCUUCUUAAUAUUAUAAUAAAUAUUUUCGUGGAUCUUAAAGUUAUAGGAAUGAAAAUUUAACCUAAACCUGGUUGAAAACGAUAAGUGAGUUAUUUUUAAUCUACCUUCUCUAAUGGAUAAUGGAUAAAAUAAAAUCCUAUACUUGUAUAAAAAGAAUACAACUCAUGAGUAACCAUUGUCAUCCUCCUUCCAAGCUUUUAGUAACUGAAAAUAAUUUAAUACAAACAGAGUAGAGGCACAGUUAACUAUUAGAACAUUUAAGUGCGAUUAACAACAAAUUAGCAGCGAUUAAAUUUGUCUAGAAGGCAGACUUAAGAUUAAUGAUGUAUUACGUCAAGUACAAAUUCAUGAAAUUGAUCAGUACUUUGUAAUAUAAAGCCAGCCUUGAGGCCUUAACAGUUCGCGAUUCAGUUUUGGAUGGUAGAAGUCCCAACCACAAACAUAAACAGGGACAUAAUAGAGGCUUGAUUUUAUAUGGUUUGAGAUUUGCUACCAAAAAAAUAUUUGGCUUUAAAUACAAAAUCUCUCUAGUUGAGAAUCAAUCUUAUGGUUACAAAAUGGAUGGUAAGUCAGUAAGACUUUCCACAAUGAAUCAAGCUCCCAGCACCCAGGAAGAGACCAAAAAUUGCAGCACUUCCAACUGUGGUUUGCCCAAUAUACCUUACUUUCAAAAGUCCAGGAACCUGUAUGUUCAAAAAGCAAAAGUUAGAACCAUCAGGGAUAUCAGUCACCCAACUAGCGGCACAGUGAAAAAGUUAUUAUGUGUCUAUCCUUAAAUCCUUAACCUGUAUGGAGGACUUCAAUCAAAGAUGAACGAUAAAGGUGAUAAAGAAUCAAUAGAGGGAUAGAAAGGAAAACGACGGAGAGCUGACUUAGUUUUGAGAGCCUAGUAGACCCUGCAGCUUGAGUGCUGAAAUUUUUCUGUUCAUGACAAUUUCUAAGAGCCCUGAUUUCUUUUGAAUUCAAGAAGCACCCCCUUGUGUAUUUCAAGGAUAUAGCGAAUGGGUUCUAAAUAACCUAGUGAACUCAAGGUUGUCUACUUGUUGCAAGGAAAAUUCUCUCCUGACAAGCAAGACUCUGCACUAACAAAAACCUAAGCCUCCCAUGCUUGAGAGCCCCAUUGGAUUGCAAAGGCACCAAGAAUUAACAGCAGAAAAAACAAAGUACACAAAUAUUGCAUUACAUGAGCUAUUGAGAACUUCUCAAGGCUUGUAUCUACUAGCAACACUUGAAUGAAAGGACAAGGAGGUAUGACUUGGCAAAUUAAACUGCUGGAAACAUUCGUUCCUCUUGGAAAAUACAAAGCUACUAGAUUAAUAGACGACACCAAACAACAUAUGCAUACCAUACAUGCCAUUUCCACCAAAAAUCCUCGAUGUUCUGUCUUACAAUUGUACAACUAUACAUCUACAUGAACUCCUGAAGUAAAUUCCACAUCUCUUGCUAGUUGUGUCGGUAAAAAGUCUAGGAUUUGCAAUGACAAAAAUGGAAUACCAAAUUCUCUUCCUAAAUAGCCAAACUUUGACGCAAUGACAACAAAGUAAUGACCUUUUUCUGUAACAAAAGCUAUCAAAUACUCAAGAUGUCUGAUUUGAAUAUAGAAGAAAAACAAAGAAAAUCAAAGAAACCCUUGAAGGACAAUACUACAGUGGGAAGGAGAGAUUACCCUGUUCCUAAUAGCCUCAUAAGUCCCAUAAACAGCACCUACACAUAGAACACAAGCAAUCAUCAAAAACCCAUCAUUAAUUUGUUAAAAAAAAACAAAGAGAUUACAGAAUAGUAGUAGUUUGAUAAAGGAAAAAAUUUCACUCCCAUAAGAAAAGCAAACUUGAUCCUUUUAGUACCUAAAUAGAAUACUGGGGUUCAGGGUUUUUCUUUCUUUUGAGAGAGAGAAUGAGAGAUCUUAUAGGAACUUACCGACUGCGCCGCCAACAGCACCUCCAACUGCAACGCCAGCGGUGACUCGAGCCAAGCAGCUGUCCCUGGCCAUUUGUAAUCGUGAUUGAUGAGAGAGUGUUGGAGCCGGCGGUGAUGGUGAUGGCUUGGGGGUUUAGUUGUUGUUGAUUUGCCUUGUUAAAUAGUUUGGGCUCAAAGAUUAAAGUUGGCCCACGUUAAUGGCUUAAAUACUAAAAAAUAAAUAGUAUUAUUUCUAAUUUCUUUUUAUAAUUAAAAAUGUUGCUUUAAAAAAAAUUAAAAUAUUUGUGGUGCGAAAGUAAAACCCACUGCUCUAGGUAGCUCAAGCUGUGUUUGGUAUUAUAGUAAUUAUUAUGAUUGUGAUGUGAAAAAAAUUAUUUUAUAAAUAAAAAUUAGUUGAUAUUGUUUUGGAAAAAUAUAUGUUUUAAUUAAAACUGUAGUUAAAAUUAAAAUUGAACAAAAAAUAAUUUAAUAUAUUUGGUUAAGAAUGUUUUUCAAAUUGAGAGAUUAUAAAAUAACUAAAAAAGAUAUAUAUUAAUAUUGAUGAUUUUUAAUUAAAAUAUUAUAGAUUUAACUAUUGUUAUUAUAUCAUGAAAUAAACAAUACUUUAUAAAAAGUAUUUUUUAUUAUUUCAUUAAACUAUAUGCAAUUUCAUCACUUACGAAAUCUAUCCAAUAAAGAUUACAGUUUUUAUGGUUUCCUGAGCGUACAAUAACAUUAAAUAAAAUAUCAUCAGGAAUAAAAUUGGGAUUGCGAUUAAAUUCAGCAAACACUACGUUAUUAUACGAUCUUUUUUUAAUGUAAUUAUGCAGUAGUAUUGAAUUAUAUACAUUAGUUUUUUAAAUAAAACAUAAUAUUUAAAAAAAAAAAUUGGAAAUGACGGAGUCUGGUGGAGAACUAAUGAUCCAGUGCUCCCCACUGAUCAUUGGUCACUAUUAACUUCCCUUUUUCUCUAUUUCUGCUCUUCUUCUUGCGCAUCUCUUGUUUUGCAACAGAGCAACUUAAAGUUGCUUCAGCAAAUCUUGCGAUUUAACCGCCAAUUAUAAUGGGUCCCACAAACUUUAAAUUGUGUUCAUACCGUAACCAAAAAUAUAUAAAUAGCAUAAUUUUUUUUUGUAAAUGUAGUUGCUGCAGCGCUAAACACGCACUAACUCACGGAUUAAUGGAUAAAUUUAAAUUAUGAUUUUUAAAAAUAAAAAUAAAACACCAUUAAUUUGGUUAAAAAAAACUAAGUCAAAGUAAAAUCCAUUAGGAUCAAACUUUGGACAGAUAAUUACUAAGUUGGCCUAUCAAGUUAAGUUUUUAUAAUUAUAAUUUUAUCAAAAAAAUAUGUUUUUAGUAUUACAGGUACUUUAUAAAAUUAUAAAAAUAAUUUUUUUUUCAAAAUAUAUUAACAUAAUUUUUUUAAUUUUUAAAAUUAAUAUAUUAAAAUCAUUAUAUAACAUUAAAAAAAUGUAUUUAAAACUUUUUCAAAAUAAAUACACUUGAAAACACCGUACCAAAUACUUUCUAAACCAACCUUUUUCUAGGAUUGGAACAUUGGAACCCAACAAUAAAAAGAGGAACAAGGGGAGCUAGCUAGUGCUCGUGUCUCAGCCUGAAAGCUAGCAUUAAUAAACCCAUACAAUUGAAGCAUGCGGUAGUUCUCUGAAUCAUUGCUCUGAAAGUAUAGUUGUGAUUGUUUUUUAAAAUAUUUUUUUAGUUAAAAAAAUAUAUUAAUAAUAUUUUUUUUAUUUUUUAAAAAUUAUUUUUAAGAUUGACAUAUUAAAAUAAUUUAAAAACACCAAAAAUAUAUUAAUUUAAAAUAAAUAAAAAAUUUUAAUUUUUUCAAAAACACUUUUUAAACACAGAAAAUAAGUGUAGAUCUAAAAAUUCCCGAAUAGAUCAACCUUUCAAACUGCUGCCGAAUCCAUGGCAGACAAGAGAAAAUCUGGUGAACUGAAACAUCUUAGUAACAAGAGGAAAAGAAAGCAAAAGCGAUUCUCGUAGUAGAGGCGAGCAAACUAGAAGCAACCUAAACCGUGAAAACGGGAUUGUGGAAAAGCAAUACAAGCAUCGUGCUGCUAGGUGAAGUGGUGGAGUGCUGCACCCUAGAUGGAGAUGACAAAUGCCCUCAAAUAUAAGACGUGCAUCAAGGUCAUCUAGCAGAACAAUUUCCAUACAUAGAGCUAGGAAUGAGUUUAGCAAUGUGUGCUGCCUUUUUGCCUUCUCUUCUACCUCUAAAAAGAAUCAAAAUUGUCUGUCUGCUGAUAAAAUCCUAGCAAUGUCCUUCGAUAGCGUUGUCCAAGUAAAGACCAGUGGUCUCUUUGCCCCCUUCAGAGUUUUUGGACAAUGCCUAAGCAAUCAUUAAUUCCUUCUAAACAAUCCAGCAGAACCUCGAAUACUUUGCAAACUCCAAAAAAUGCAACAAAGCUCGAGCUUGAGCAAAAUCAACUGCCACCUGCAACAUGAUAAAAUUCACGCAGCCCCCUUGAUGAUCCCUGCAACCACGUACUGCAGUACUCACCGUUCACAAACUUCAACCCACGUAUCAUAGAGCAUCCCCUGAAACCACCCAUCCCAUACAUGUCAAAACGAAGAAGAAAUGGCAGAAGAUGUUGAACAGAUAACUCAGGAAAAUGCGAGCUUGCUCACCCCCUACUUUCCAGGUUAGCCUUGUUCAGAACAAUUUUCCUUAUCUUAAAGAACUUCGUGGUUCCAUAGAAGAUUCCAAGCCUCCAUGUUUUGCAGUUGAUCUGGAACAGUAAAAUGCUAGACCAUUCAGAAAGCUGACAGUCGAUUAUCUCAUGAUGGUAACAGCUGGUUUAUCUCCUGUAAGUUCGACAAAUGAAAGAUUGUAGCAAAAGAUUUGAGGAAGACAAAGGAGAAGGAAGAGCUUAUGACUAUAUUAUUCACAUCAUGUAAGACUCGAUGGCAAAAUAAAAUGUAAAUGUUGUUAAUAAGAGGGUACUGAUUUCUAUUGUUCUAAGGAAUUUAAAAAAAUGCAAGGAAUUAUUCUUUUGUUGUUUCUAAUUGCAAGGUUUGCACGCUAUAGAUCACUAGCCAUUGUUUAGACAUUAUUCAUGCAAUGGGACGAGAGAAGCGAAUGAUGUAGGGACCCAAUUGCUCAUUCGAGUAAUUAUGCUACAAUGAGAUGGAGCUAGUUCGUCAUGUGAAAACGAUUCAUUUCUUUCUAAAGAAUUCCUUGCCUUUAGGUCAAGAAAGAAUGAUCUCCAAUUUUCUCUCUUUAAGCUUCUUUUUAGCAACUUUUUCUCUCCCAUCCUCCCAAGAAAAAACUUUAAAAAAGAUAGAAGAAAAUGAAUCUUUGUAUCAAAACAUGUUGUUUACUGGUUACUUAGAGAAUGUGUUUAGUAUUGCGAUAGCUGUUGUGGUUGUGAUUUAAAAAAAAUUAUUUUUAUAAAAAGUACUUUUAGUUAUGAUUGGUUUGGAAAAAUAUAUGUUUGGUUAAAACUGUGAUUGAAAUUGAGGUUGAACAAAAAGUAGUUUAAUAUAUUUGGUUAAGACUACUUUUAAAAUUGAGGUUAUAAAAUAAUUUUUAAAAAUAUAUAUUAAUAUUGAUGGUUUUUAAUUUAAAUAUUGUAAAUUUAACUAUUACUAUUAUAUCAUAAAAUAAAUAAUACUUUACAUAAAAUAUUUUUUUAACAUUAGUUUUUUGAAUAAAAAACAAUUAAAAACAAAAAAUAUUUUUUUUAUUUUAUUAGGUCGGACCCGGUUCAAUGUAUUUUUAGCUUUGAAACGGACCGGUCCGGUCGGAAAAAAACCCAUGAACUCCACUGUUCAGGAAAGAAAACUCAUGAACAACAUUGUUCAUGAGUUUUCAGCAGCUCUUUGCUGCUUCUUGAAAACCUGCGGAAGCAACCAGGCAACCAAACGGAUUCUUAAUAGCUUAAAUAAAAAGAGGACUAAAAUGAACUUCAUAAAAAAAUACAAAAUAACCAUCUAUUUUAUUUGUGUUUUUCACUUUAGUUGUUUUUUUUUAACUCAACCGUCGUGUCUAAAAAAAUAUGUAAUUGAACUCUACUCUGGAUUCAAAAUAGCAAGAGAAAAGUUCAGGAAUUAAAAUGAAUUUUUUUAAAAAAAUCACUACUAGAAUCUAUAUUAAAACGUGAGAGAAUGAAUAGCAAUGACUAGAGAGAAUCACUACAGAAAACCUCUAGCUAUUUUAGUUUUUACUAUAAUGAUUCUAACUUUAAAUACAAAAUGCACCAUGUUAAAAAAAUAAAAUAACAGGAGACCUUCAUAUGAAAUUCGGGAGAUUAAAUACAAAUUAAUUUUAACUUUAAAUUUAUUUUGAAUUGGCUUGUCCUAAAAUCAAAAUCAAGUUUUUUUAAAAAUAAAAAUAAUUAAAAUCACAUAUUUUUUCACGUGUUUUGUACAUUCAGAAAAAGUUAAUAAAUAUAUACAAGUACUAGUCUUAACAUUUAAAUCUAAAAGAUUGAAAAAGUAAAUAUAUUUCUUUAAUUACUAUACCAGCUUUUUUUAUAAUAAAUAACUUUAUCAUAAACAGUAUUUUAAUCCGGUUUCGUUUUCAUACCCUGUAGAUUGAAAUUUCCCAGUAUUAAGCCUAUAAUUUUUUUUAAAACUCAAUCUGGCCCCUAAUGACGAAAGCUAAGUGCUGACCUUUAUCCUUUCAUCUUCUCAUGUUUUAAUAUUUUCAAUCAUUUAGAGGGUACUUCAAUAAUAAAAGUUCUAGAUUAAAAAGUUUAUUUUAUUUUGUGAUUUCAAGUUUAAGUUUUGUAUUUAUUAAUAUAACGAUUAUUGAAAAUUUACAUGAUAUUAAUUUUAAAACUUAUAAAAUUAGUUAAGAUAUAUGCAAAUUAAUCUACAUAUCUACAUUAAUAAUAAAAAAAAUAUAUAUAUAUAUAUAUAUUUUCUAUUCAGUAUCUUUUAUGUACACGCACUUGUAGGAUGUAGGAACGCAUCAUAACCUAUGAGCGCCUCUUGUUUUUGAACUAUAUUAAAGUGUAUGAAUUAAUAAUUUCUCAUUUAUCUGGAAAUUGCUCUUUUAUUAUUAUAUUGUUGGUGGAUUUGCUUCCAGUUGGCUGAUAAAUGUUUAUAUUUUUUGCAGAUUUUUUAACAGUUGUUAAUAAGGUUUACAGGCGUGAGCCUUGGAAAAAGAUUUGAAUCAAUACGAUUAUUCGGGUUAAUAUUGUUUUAAUAUAUUUUCAAAUAAAAAAUAUUUUAUACUCAAUAAUUUUUUUUAAUUGAAUAAUUAAAAUGUGAAAAAUCUACUCUUAUGAGUUUUUAAAAGACAAUAAAAUUCUUGAAGUUCGGCUAUCAAAUAAAAACUGAACUAGAAAAAGAUAAUUCUGACCGACAAUUAUGUCACUUAAAUAGUAAAUAAAAAUAAAGAUACAAAGAUUGUAAAUAAAUAUUUUUUUUAUAAUUAUUAUACCAACAAAGUCAGUGUGUAUUAGUUAAAUUAAUUCUAAAAUAAUAUGGUUGGGAAAAAAUAUCAAAAUAAAACAGCAUGAUUUUGAACAAAACUAAAAAGAAUUAUUGGAAUUGACUAGGGAGAGUUAAUAUGAUCAUAAGCUAACUUGUUGCAUUAUCAUAGUUCAAUUUAAUUAAUUUUUUUAAGUAAAAAGCAUACUUUAUCUUAAUCAGAUUUUAUGUUAUUUAGGUGAUAUUUAACAUCGUGGUUCAAUUAUAUUUUUAAAAGUUUUUGAAAUUUUUUAGUUUUAGAUUUUAUUUUUUUAUAUAUUCUUUAAUUAUUUUAACAUGUUAAUAUUAAAAUAAAUUUAAAAAAAUAAAAAAAUAUUAUCUUAAUAAAUAUUCAAAUACAAAAACUUCAGGAAAUAACAUGCGUACAAACAAUUACUCAGUCCACCUGUGAAGCCGGGGCUGAUAAUAAGCCUAUUUCUCUAUUAGGAUUAAUUUCCAUCAAUUUUAAAUUACAAGGAGCAAAACAAAAUAUUCCGAAAGCUACACGGAUUAGAUGCAUCUGCUAACACAAAUAUUAAUUAAUGACCUCACAUUUUUAAUUAAAAAUACCGCCCGCCGCCACGCCCCCACCGCACCCAAAAAAACCAUCAAAACCAACGGAAAAUUUCUCCCAAACAAGACCCGCCUCCAGUUCCUUGGCUUUCCGCUUCUCCCUCCCUCCCUUCCUAAUAAAAACCACGUUUUCACGUUGCAAAAUAAAAAUCCCCAAAUCAAAAGGCCCUAAUUUUAUUUAAAUUUGACAAUGGGUGAUCACGAUGAUGAUCCUUACCCAUACCACAAACUCUGCGGUUACCUCUGUACAGUUCUCACAUCACCACACCCACUCCCUUUCCUUUCUCAUUGCCAUCUCAUCACAGACGGAAGCCACCAACAAAUCAGAUUCAAAUCCCUAAACGACGUCGUUCUGUCUCCGCUUUCCAAUCCUUACGGCCAGAACGGCGCGGUUUCUCUUCAAGAGAACAGUAAUGCGGUUGGGAAGAAGACGACGAAGAAGAAGAGAAUGGCGAAGAGGGGGAGUUGUUUGAAGAAAAGCGGUAAUUCAGUGGCGGAGAAGAAGAGAGUAGGGAGGAGGGUAAUUGGGAUGGUGAAUGGUAGUGUGAGCGUGGUGCAUCAAAUUCGCGCGCUUGUAAUGCACAAGUGUGUUAAGAUCUUAGCGCGUGUGUUGCAUGUUGCUGAGAGUGACGGUGAGGUUGUUGAAGUGAGAGUGGUGGUGCUUGUUGAUGUUUAUUUGCCGGUUUCGGUUUGGUCCGGUUGGCAGUUUCCCAAGUCUGGGCCAAUUGCUGGAUCUCUCUUUCGGCACCUGAGGUUUGUGUUUUUGGGUUUUAUUUUCUGGGUAUCGUUUAUUAUAACGUGGGUUUGUUUUAUUUUUAGCUAAUUUUAGCUGUAAUGUAUGAUUUGGUCUUCUUCCAUGUGUGUGUUUAAGUAAAUGAGAUGGAUAAAGCUCCUAGCUUUACGAAAGGAGUAAUGUUUUUUUACUCAAUUUUGAAUUUAUUUUACAAUGUGGGUUUUCCUUUUCCUUUUUUUUUUUUUUUCUGGAUUUUUUCUCUAGUUUUGUUGCACUUGUCUGUUCACUAUUUAGCUAAGUGUUGAAGGCGUUUCACAAUUUAGUUUAGAUUGGUUUUUCUGAGUAUAGAUAGUGUAAUUUUGUGUUCAAGUAGCAAUAUGCGGCUAACCUGGAGGGUUUUUUUAUUUAUUUUCCUUUUGUACUUUAGUGGAUGGACUGUUGAAAUUACUGAUGGUCGUUAAGUUACAAAUUUCUCUAGCUGCUUGGUUUUAGACUUUUGGUUCGAGGAUGCAUAGGAUCUAACUUGGUUUGACAUUUUUAGCUUUAGAAUCUGGACACUAUAUAUAUAUAUUACGUUCUUGAUAGUUUAGUUUUCCUUUAGCAACGCAUCUUCUCUUUUCUUGAAUCUUGUUGUGGAGUUGAACUACUAUAUGUUUGGUUAAAUUGCAAUGUUUUAAUUUAGUGCUUUCUUGAUUUUUCAUUAGUUAUCUAUGCUGGUAACAUGGUUGAAGUUUGCAGUUGCAAUUGGGAGAAGAGGAGGUCCAUGCUUGUUGAUGGAGGAGAGUAUUUUAAAAAUGCUCUUGGAGAUCAUAGAAGCAUUUGGAAUCUUUCUGGUUGUCAUGUUCUUGGAUGCAAUUUGCAUUGUGAUGUCCCUGAUUCUUCAAGCAAAAAGCGUUUUGAACUUCACGAAAUUUUUAAGGGUUUACCCAGCACGGAAAAUAAGGAACAGUAUUACUCUUCAAGAGUAAAACCAGCGGAUAACUCUUUGGAAUCUGGUAUUUGGGAUUUAACUGGUGAUAUCUUGAUGAGCAUUCUUUCUGCACUUGGUCCAAAGGACCUUGUCAGGGUUGCUGCAACCUGUCACCAUUUGAGAUCCCUGGCUGUUUCAAUUAUGCCAUGUAUGAAACUUAAAUUAUUUCCUCAUCAGCAGGCAGCAGUUGAGUGGAUGUUACAGCGCGAGCGGAAUGCUCAAGUCUUGCCACAUCCUCUGUACACUAAUUUAUCCACAGAAGAUGGGUUUACAUUUCAUGUAAGUACUGUUUCUGGUGAAAUAAUUACUGGAGUAGCUCCAACUGUAAGAGACUUUCAUGGGGGAAUGUUCUGUGAUGAACCUGGCUUAGGAAAGACUAUCACUGCUCUUUCUCUUAUUCUGAAGACAAGAGGAACAGUAGCUGACCCACCAGAUGGAGUUCAAAUAACCUGGUGUACACAUAAUGGAGAACAGAGAUGUGGCUAUUAUGAGGUUGAUGGCAGAAACUUCACUCCUAAUAACACACCCCUGGCAAAAAGGGUAAUGAACCAGAGUGCACGCAGGGGACAGUUAUCUUUGGAUAAAUCCACUCUGAUGAAUGAUCCAGGUCAACAGAUUGAGGGGUUUAGCAAUUCUUGUCCAGUUAAUGGAAUGGAAUCGUCACCAGCUCCAUCUUCAGAUCAAACAGCACGUGUAAUUCAAUUGAGUCGCGUGAAGAGAAAUCUUCUCCAUGAAUAUGAUGAAACACCUGUUUUUAGUAACAAGAAAAGGAGGAAGCAUCGUUCUAAUGCCCCUAUAUAUGUCUCAGAGGAACAACAGCAUGAUAGAGCACGCAGGUUGAAUUUGAUUACUGGACAUUUUAGGGAUUUUAAUGAGACUUGGGUUCAAUGCGAUGCAUGCAGAAAGUGGAGGAAGCUUACAAGCAGUGUAGCAGAUACUGAUGCUGCAUGGUUUUGUAGCAUGAAUACAAACCCUGAACGUCAGAGUUGUAGAGAUGCUGAAGAAGCUUGGGAUGACAGCUGUUCCUUAACUCAUGUACCGGGAUUUCACACCAAAGGAACUUCAGGGGGGGAGGAGCAAAAUGUGUCAUUUUUCAUUAGUGUUCUCAAGGAGCACUAUUCCAUGAUAAACUCUAAAACCAAGAAAGCUUUGACUUGGCUGGCUAAACUUUCUCCAGAAAGACUUUCUUUAAUGGAAACAAUUGGUUUGGCAAGUCCGGUCAUAGGUACUGGUUCUGUAUCUGGUGGUGGAGAUUCCCGUGGGUUUCAUAAAAUAUUUGAAGCAUUUGGUCUUGUACGGAGAGUAGAAAAGGGAGCCAGUAAGUGGUGUUACCCACAGAAACUUGAAAACUUAGCAUUUGAUUUGGCUGCUUUUAGAAUUGCUAUCUGCAAGCCGUUGGAUUCAGUCAGGUUAUAUUUAUCAAGAGCAACCCUAGUUGUUGUCCCAGCAAAUCUAGUUGAUCAUUGGAAAACCCAGAUAGAAAAGCAUGUCAAACCUGGCCAGUUGCGGCUGUGUGUCUGGACUAAUCAUAAAAAGCCUUCUGCUCACAGUCUGGCAUGGGAUUAUGAUGUUGUUAUAACAACCUUCAGUCGAUUAAGUGCUGAGUGGGGCCCCAGGAAAAAAAGUCCUCUGAUGCAAGUGCAUUUUCUCCGGGUUAUGUUAGAUGAGGGACACACCCUUGGCUCUAGUCUGAGCUUGACAAACAAAUUGCAAAUGGCUAUGUCAUUGAUGGCUUCAAAUCGCUGGUUACUAACAGGAACACCAACACCUAACACGCCCAAUAGUCAGCUGUCUCAUCUCCAGCCAAUGCUUAAGUUUCUACAGGAGGAAGCGUAUGGGCUGAAUCAAAAGUCAUGGGAAGCCGGCGUUCUUAGACCAUUUGAAGCCGAGAUGGAAGAAGGCCGCACACGCUUGUUGCAUUUGCUCCACAGAUGCUUGAUUAGUUCUAGGAAGACAGAUUUGAAAACUAUCCCUCCAUGCAUCAAGAAGGUGACAUUCCUCAAUUUUACCAAGGAUCAUGCAAGAAGCUAUAAUGAAUUGGUAGUUACUGUGCGACGUAAUAUUCUAACUGCUGACUGGAAUGAUCCUUCUCAUGUUGAGAGUUUGCUUAACCCAAAGCAGUGGAAGUUUCGAAGUACCCUUAUUAGAAAUGUCAGGCUAUCUUGUUGUGUGGCAGGGCAUAUUAAAGUGGCAGAAGUUGGUGAAGAUAUUCAGGAAACAAUGGAUAUUCUGAUUGAAAAAGGACUUGAUCCCAUUUCAGAGGAGCAUGCUUUGAUAAAAUACUAUCUUCAGUAUGGUGGUAACUGUCUCAGGUAACUUUUUGAGCUCUUUUUUGCUUCACUCUGGAUAUUAAAUGAUAUCUUCUGACAUGGGUUUACCACCAUUGAUUUUGCACAUUUGUUUUUUUCUUCUUUCCUCUUUGCUGUUUAGAUGCAAGGAAUGGUGUCGUCUACCUUUCAUCACGCCAUGUAGGCAUCUUUUGUGCCUUGAUUGUGUUGCUUUGAAUAGUGAAAAGUGUACUUUCCCUGGCUGUGGUUACUCAUAUGAGAUGCAAAGUCCAGAAGUAUUGACCCGACCGGAAAAUCCAAACCCGAAAUGGCCUGUCCCCAAAGAUCUUAUCGAGUUGCAACCUUCCUAUAAACAGGCAAGUAUUUUGCUCUCAUUUUGAAAUACUUUUUUUUUAUGUAUAAAGGAUUCGCAGGAAGCGUUAUCACAUGUAUUUUUCUGGUAUUUGUACAGGAUGACUGGGAUCCUGAUUGGCAGUCAACAUCUAGCAGUAAAGUUGCUUACCUUGUACAGAAGCUGAAAGCAUUGCAGGAGGCCAGUAGAGAGAGUAGCUGGUCCAUUGACAAGGAUACUCAACUAAGUGUUUCUAGUGUAGUGCUUCAGCAGGACUGCUUUAGUGUUAACAAGGCAGCCUUGGAGAAAGUUAUAAUAUUUUCUCAAUUUCUUGAGCAUAUACAUGUGAUUGAACAGCAGGUACUUAUGAUUGCAUUAUGAGUUCUUAACAAGUGUGGCUUUAUCUUUUCCUCAAAAGUGUAAUGAUCCUGGGCCUUCUUUUCUUUGACCAGUUAGCAUUUGCCGGUAUUAAAUUUGCUGGAAUGUAUAGUCCAAUGCCUCAAAUCAACAAGGUAUUGAAAUUAGUUUGUCUUCUUUUUAUUUUUUUGUUCCUUUUCCUUUCUCUUGAUACAUUCCUUGGCUAUUCAGAUGAAAUCACUGGCCACCUUCCAGCAUGACACCACAUGUAUGGCUCUGUUAAUGGAUGGCAGUGCUGCAUUGGGUCUUGAUUUGAGCUUUGUAACUCAUGUAUUCUUAAUGGAGCCAAUCUGGGACAGAAGGUAGUAUUUUUUUCAAAUCCUAAACUGUUCAUUAUUUCUCUUUUCUGUUCUUACUAAUAGGUAUCUUGCAUCCUGAUUUCAGUAUUGUUAGCCACAAUAUCACGCUGCUAUAUGGAAAAAUAAUGGUUUUUGUUGAAUAGAAUGCUUGACACACCUCUCUCUGUUUCAACCUCUUUUACUCUCUUUUUUUUAAUUAAAAAUUCUUCUUUGUUGAAUGCUAUCAGCAUGGAAGAACAAGUGAUAAGUCGAGCUCAUCGGAUGGGUGCUACUCGCCCCAUCAAUGUGGAGACUUUAGCCAUGCGUGGUACAAUUGAGGAGCAAAUGCUAGAAUUCCUACAGGUAGAUGAUGUAGAAGCUCCUUUAUUAUUUAUUUAAUGAGAAUAUAUAAGCCAAACUGUUGAUUUUGGUCUGAUUGCCAUUUCUUUUAUGUCACUAUUUUGUUAUUUAACCUGUUAGCAACCAUUACUUUAAUGUCAGUAUUUUUCUGCAGCACUAAAGGAUUAGUAAAAGAUUUUAUUUUUCUUUUGCUAAAUCCCUGACUUAACCCUUCCCCUGCUUUGCCUUUUUUAUCACUUGCCCUUUUCAUCUAAUUUAGGACUCAAGGCCCAGUUUGAUUUUUUACUUGCUUUUCCUUUAGGAUGCUGAUGGUUGUAGAAGAGUUUUGAAAGAAGAGUCAAGUAAAACUGACCAUGCAGGUGCACGGCUCCACCGAUCUCUACAUGAUUUUGCUGAGAGUGACUACUUGGCCCACCUUAGCUUUGUGCAUACAGGUUCAAGAGCGUAAAAGGUAACGGAUAUAUUUUUUCCUUAUCUGUAGACCUAAUUAUCUUACUUGUAUGCUCUUAUCACUGCAAAUCUCAUUUGCUUAUCCUGCUGGUGUAACAAAAACUCCUGUUAUCUUUCUCUGUACAGUUCUUGUGAUGAUCUCGAGCCACCAUAUGUUGUGCUGAUGAUGAUUUCAUUCAAGCGAUAUAUGUGGCAGCUGAAUUCAAAUAAUUCCACUCCUCAUGUCUGAAAAACCUGGGCAGAUUAUUUUUGAUUCAUUGUUUCUCAAAGUAUAAAUGGCAGAGUUUGCCAUUCACAGCUGGGAACAAGUGCUAAUUGAAUAUUUUUCUCAAUCUAUUCCUUGACUAAUCUCUUAGGAUACCCCCCCCCCCAAACAAAACCUUGACCCUCAUUUUCUAAGAGCUUUUUUUUGGCUCCUGUUUGUCCAUUCUGUACCCUUGGGGAUGUAAAUAUAUUUGGUAGGUGGGAGAGAACUUGAAGAAACUCCUUUCAUUGUUUGUAACAAUCAUACCCAGUUAUGUACAGGAAUGAACGACAAAAUCAUGUUUUUCAAAGCUUCUGAAUUGAUUUGUUUUUCCACAAGAUAGAUGGAUGAAACUUUUUGCUAUUUAACCUUUAUUUGUAUCACCCGACAUGCAUCUAUGACAUAGACCUUCCAAAAUAUAAAGAUAGAUUGGAAGAUGCAUCUUUAUUUGUCUCUAACAUUGGCAAAAACAAAAACAUUAAAAAAAUUACUGUGAUUGACAGGAAAAUUCUCUACCCUGCACCAUCUUAGAAAGAAGGGAUAGGAAUAUUAAAUAUCUUUGAUUAGAAAAACAAGAAUAAAGAGGGUAUCACUAAAAAUUGUGUGUGUGCAGGUUUAGACCACUGGUGGAAUGGAACGAGUUGGCAAGUGCCGACCAAGGAUUGCAUGGUUUGAAGGACGACUUGCUAGUUUGACAUAUGCCCAGAAACUAUGGGACAUGCAGGCAACAUAUGACACGUAACAUGUAAAAAAAAUAAAAAAAAACUUCUGUUAAUUUGAAAUAUCAAUUUAGGGAAACAAUUACCUUUUUUUUCAUUAAAAAUAUAUAAUAUUAACCUUAGCAAUUUUAAUUAAUAUUCAAUCUUAAUAAAAUAUUAACUAAAAACAUUUUAAAAACUUUGAUACAAUAAAAAACUUGUAAUUAUAACUUUAUAAUUUUUUUAAAAUAUUUCCCCCCCAAAACUCUAUAUAUUCUUUAGAUUUUAAGAUUUUAAAAACUAUGGAAGAUGAAUUCAGUCUAUGAAUGGCAGACAAUCUGUAUAGUAUUUUGCUUCUGAAUUUACAAGGCAGCUGUGUUUGAUUUUGAAGCCAGCGACCUACUUAAAAAGAAUUUACAUACCCCUAGCGAGUUUUCACACUUCCCUCAGAAAAAAAUUUAUAGGAAGAGAGAAAAUAUGGAUACAUUUGUGGGAAGAAAUCGAAAGCAAAAGAUUGAGGGGAGAAAAAAUUCCACCCACCUCCACCCUCCAGAAAAAAAAAUCGGCUUCCUCCAUAUUCCAAUCUCGAGCAGAAAUUGAAAACGAAUUUCAGAUCUCGCAAAGAAUUGCACUGGCAAAAUGUGAGUCAAGUUGCAUAUUAGACGUCGCAGGUCAUUGAGUUAACCCAACCCUUCCCUUCCAACACUAACAAUAGACCUGUCACCCAUGGGAACGUUGUAUUGCUGGUAUACUCUCGCUCUGUUGGCUGCCCACCAUUGUUCUGCUUGUUUUUCGCUGAACCGCUUCCGACUGCAGUAAAACGAGUUCAAAAUACAAUAGCAUAAGAUUUCCAAUAAAGACAGAGCAAUUAUUGAUUUAGUUCCCCACUCGGAUGCUUCCAACAGUACAGAAACCUGUUGGUCCAAACUCAUCUAUUUGCAAAAGGUGGGCCUGAAAGCAGCCAGGAACUCUACCACCUUAGUUAAGGACACAGGGCCACAUUACAUUAUUGGAAAAUAUCAUGGGCCGGUAGUUACCUUGUUGAAGAGGGGGGAAGCAAAGCAAUCACAGAAGGGGGGCAGGUGGGGGAGAAGUGGAAGGGAACAGGAUAAUAGCGUGUGAUGACUUAAGAAUACCUGAAGCGGACACGUUUGAGAUCCUUCGCACCUCCAUGCAAGGAAACAAGGGUAAUAUAUACACCUGGUUCGUCUUGUUCAACCCAUUCAUCGCCAUUAGUGGGUUCAACUUUAGCUAUUCUGUUCUUAUUCCUCACUGUUGUUUCUAUCUGUGUCACUUCGGAGUGAUGUGGAGUCUGAUUAGUAGUAGUAGUAGUAGUACCUGACACAUUUGAAAUUACCAGGCAGUUUGAUCCUUUUGAAUCUUGUUCAUGACAUGCUGUGGGACUACUGAGCUGCUCAAGAAUUCCAGGAGAAACGUCCCAUGGAGUUGUGUUGCUAGAGCAAUAAAAAGAGGGCGAGUUGCUGUUUCUUGAUGCUCCAACAGGUACCCUUUCAGCCACUUCUUUCAACUAUAAUAAAAAGAUUAAUCACACAUAAAUUAAGAAGACAGCUGACCUAUUAAAACACCUACAAAAUUUUAGUAUGCUCAUGAGCUCCCUGUCGAUCACCAUUCAUACAGCAAGGACACUUCCAACCCGAGUUUAUGUCAACCUUAGUAUUUAGUACGACACAGGCAAUUUAAUUUAUUUUCAUCAGGCAACUCAUUAAGGCCAGCAAAUCUCUAAGGUGGACAUGAUGAUGCACAUCUAACGGUCAAGUCCUAGAGAUUCCAAAAUACAAUCAUAUAAUACCAAAAGCAUUGUGCAAAUAUUGUCCUCUAAACCUACUUUUCAAGAUUCAAACAAACUUUGCUCAUGUCAAAUCUAGGGCCAGUUUAGUCAAUGCAAGAUAUCAUAUAUUUAGCGCACAUUUCUAAACUUUCUUGCCUAAGUUACUUGUGAUGUAAAAUUAGUUAUCUACAGUAGGACUAGGAAGUUAUUAACUCGAGUUUUUACUUACUUGGGCCGUGAGUGACUUAAUUACUUCCUUUGCUGCCUUGCACUUAGUAGUUUCCUCCUCUGCGACUGCAAUAGCCUCCUUCAACUGCCUGGUUGUUCUUUCCAGCUCAACAUCCUGAAGCUGAGCUUUAUUUGUAAGCUCUUCAACCUACAUUCCACAAACAGUCAGCCAUAAUCAACCAAUGAAGUGGCCUAAGCAAAGUACUUUUCAAGCACAAUGAUAUGGCCAGUAGAAAGCCACUAAAGACAUAUACUGUUGUUUCAUUAUGGCCAUGCAUCUCUAAACUGGAUCUUAAUCUAACCAAAUCAUUGACAAUAGUUACAAUGACCAUAAGAGGUUUCAAAAUUAGACCUGUCCCCAGCACAGACCUUUGUUAAUCGUGACAAAAAAAAUAUUGCAGAUCACUUUGUCCAUGUCCACCCAGGGAAAAUUAAGCAUAAAGAAGCAAGCAAAGAAACUCACAACAAACUAUAACCAAAGGAUAAAAUAGAGACUCUCAAUACAACAACAAAAGGAUUUGUGCCACAGGACAAGACAGUUUUUCUCUAGUUGUUAAUAAGGAGACUUGAUAUACUUUAUAAUUUUAUGCAGUAUCAUACCGCAUGACAUAUACACUUCCAAUCUUACCAAAAAUGUUUGAGACAAUACAUGUUCAGCCACUGGCAAUAAAUUUCUAGGUUAAUGCAUGGCGGCCUGGGUACAUCUAUUAUUGCUAAAAACAAGAAAUUUAGGAACAGAUUACUGAAAUCAUACGAGUUAAUUUAUGUCUACCUGAGCUCUUAAUUUUACAAUUUCUUCACGCAGGCUGUCAUUUAACCUCCCAGCACCAUCCACAGCUAGUUUUGGCAACUCAUUAGCUGAGAGAGUUGGGGUUGGUGUUGCAGCACGAGGGGGACUAGAUCGUCUUGAUGUUGGAGAUGUUGCUCGAGACACAAUUCUUGAUCCAGGAAGAGAAGCUGAGAAAAAUUUCUUGGAGGAUCCAAAUGAUUUAGAGUUAUUAAAUGUAUUGCGCCGAGAAACAUCAUUUCCAGAGGGUGAAACCUGAAUGCUAUUGGAGUUUGACUUCCUGUUUCUUCUGGAAGAUAUACUUUCCACCUCUUUAGAUGAUUCCAUAGAGAAGUUUCUUCCAAGCUUAGCAUGCGAUUUUGAAUUUGAAUUUUCAGUCUUUUCUGCGACUUCAUUUAGUCCCUGAUUGACACUUCCUCUUCUACUAAGGGCAGAGUGAACUGAAGAGUCAGUUUCAGAGCUUCUUCUAAGUUUGCUAAGACAAUUAUCACAGACACGAUAAGGUUUGUUAGGAUUUGGAGCCAUUGAAGCCUUGAGAGACUUUUUAUUACUACAUGAAUGGCAGAAAACAAGCCCACAAUUAUAACAAUUGUGCCGUUUCCGUUUGAAAUUAAAUGGGAGGUGGCAACCCGAACACAAUGAUUGAUCGAUACCGGAUACCCAUUUAUGAAGACAGAUAGCUGCAGUAAAACUAGUGCCGCAGACAAUACCUUUAACCUGUUUGUCUUUCAAAGCUUCAACUACAGAUGGGGAAUUUCUAUCAUCUGCAUCACCAUGACCUAGCCUGCCAUUUGCACCCUUUCCCCAUGUGUAAACUUCAGUUCUUGAGGUCAAAACUGCAACAUGAUAAGCACCACAGGCUAUUUCUUCAACAAAAUUUUUCAUGAGCUUUCCCUCAACACGAGUAGGGAGCAUGCCAUCAGCUUGGGGAUUCCCCAAUUGACCAUGUACAGGGCUUCCCAUGGUGUAAACCUGACCUGUGGUUGUAAGUGCAGCAGUGAGGCUUUGACCACAGGCAACUUGACAGAAGUUGGGUUCAACAAGAGUAGCAACACAAGUGGGCACCAGUCUAGCUUCCUUAUCACCAUGCCCAAGACGACAUUUAUCUCCAUCUCCCCACGUGAAGAGCUUUCCUGAAGAACAAUUACUGGAAUUUGAUGACCCAACCAUGAUUUCAACAACUGCAGCUGUGUGCCACACGCCACAAGCUGCUCGCAUGGUGCGGAGGCCCUUAAGGGACUCGACCUCUCUUGGUAUUGACACGCUUAUGCGGUCCCCAUGUCCUAAAACCCCAAAGGUUCCAUCUCCAAAAGUAAACAAUUGGCCAGCAGAGGUUACAACAGCUGUGUGCCAUGGUCCACAUGAAACUGAUGAGACAUGUAUUCCCUCAAGUGGUCCAUCCAACUUUCUUGGAACCCACUGAGUAGCUUCACUUCCACAGCCCAAGAGUCCAAAAUUAUAAGCAUUACCACCCCAUAUGUACAAAUCACCAGAAAGUGUUACUGCACAAGAAUGAUAUUCUCCACAUGCUACAAGUUCAACAUUGAAAUUUUUUAGCCCAUCUACAAACUUUGGAUGUGAAACAUCAGAGUCUACACCAUGUCCGAGUCUGCCUCCUAGUUCCUCUCCCCAAGAGAAAACCUCCCCUUGUUUUGUUACCAAAGCAGCAUGUUGCCGACCACAAGCUAUAGCCUGAACAUCUAGUAAAACUGCAGAUUCCAAAGCUUUUGGCACAAAAGAAUCCAUCUGAACACCAGAACCUCCAAUUCUAUGAACUCCACCACCUAGAAUGCCAUCACCAGUGCCCUCCCCCCAAAUAUAAACAUCCCCUAAUGCAUCAUUUUCAUCACGACCAGAGCCUUGACUUGAUGAGCUAACAGCACUUGAUAAACUAACCCUAAAAUUAUCUGUGUUCGUACCCUUUGCACGCCCUGUUGUUUCAUCUGAGCCUCCUAAUAACUGAGACUGAGCUGGCGCACAAGCAGAUUCUAAUGGAAAUAAAACCUUAGGAGGCACAGUGUAUACUACAUCAGACAAUGCCUUCUCUAAACCAGUAUUUGGAGGACUGUCAUAUGGCGUACGAAGACGAAGAGGAUCCAUUCCAUCCUAUAUCAGUGCCAAGAGAAUUUACAUUAAAGCGCACAGCAGCGAAACAUAAUUUUGAGAAUGAAGGAACAUAGAACAGUACCUUCAGUGAACUAUCAUCACUUCCAAAUGCAAAGCUCAAAGGAGAACUUCUAAUGGUGUAUGCCCUAGGACUAUUAGCCUCUGAUAAAAGUCCAUCAUUUCUAGUUUCUUCUCUCUUUUUCAAAAUCUGGCGAUUUGAUAUUAGUGCCUUUAGACCAGUAAACCAGACUUCAGCUUCUUCUUUGUCCUUGCAUAUCUGACAAAACAGAGCAUGAUAAGCAGAUGAUCAAAAUUUUCAGCUAAUACUUAAAGGAACUGUAUUGUGCAAAUACAGAACGUGGACUCCCUGAAAUUUUGAACAUGGCAUGACUUUGAUGACAAAGAAUGAAGAGCUGGCCUUUAAAAAGAAUAUGCUUACCAAAUCUAAAGACCUGUCACUGUAUAUUAGAGAAAAUGACUGGUAUUCCUUCUCAGGACGAGGAUAUCUCUGAAAAAUUGGCUGUAGUAAGCAGAAUUGAGAAUAAUCAGUUAGUAAAUCAUGGUUCCAAUAAAAUGAAAAUUAAAUCUUAAAAGUAAUUGAAAAACUAGCAGAAACUUACAAGCAAAAAGAUGUAAUUUCCAUAUUUUCUCAAGGGGAACGAAAGAACAAAACAAAAGCCAUAAACACUGGAAGCAGACAAAAUAUAUGAAUCACAUAAAAUAAAAAAUCACAAAUAAAAUAAAUAAUUUUCAAGCAUAGCUUCACUGCCCCUCGGGAUUUUGUUGUUAGCUCCAAUAUUCAAGGUAAAUGUAGAAAACAUCAAAAAAAUGAAGUGUCCAUCAAAAACCAUUUUUCUAUAUUACAAAAAAUGCCACCACAACUCUUCCUAGGAAUGAAUAUUACAGAUUUUUGAAAGCAAGAAGACAGUACAUGCACAUAAACGCAUUGCUUCAAAGUAAAUUCUAAAAUAGAAGUUUCAAAUGUCAUAGUAUUUGAUAAAGUAACAUAACCAGUAUUCUUGCAAUUUCCUUUCCACUAUGCCACAUAAAAAUAGACAGAUUCAUUCAUCAAAACUUUGCAUUUAUGAACAUUCAUCCCUGAUCUGGUGAAGUGCAAAGCAAAGCAUCAAUAUGCAAAGGCUGCUGAACCUCAACCAUUUUGGAAACCCAAGUUAUUCACACUACUAAAAUGAUUAUUAUUAACUUUAAAAAAAAAAUGAUUUGCCGCAAAACUAUGAAGAGCAUGGGCUAUUGCAUUAAGCAUCAUACAAAAAUUGACCAGGAUCUCAAUAUGGAUAAACUUACAGUGCGCUGACCAGGGAUAAUUCUGGAGACAUGGCUUAGUUUAAGAUGCUUCUCCUCUUUCCCAGAUAUCCAAAUUAGAACAGAUUCAUCCUGAAUGAACCAAAAGCAAAGGCAUACGUAUUACAGCAUACAUAAAUUUAAUAAAGGUGAGUUAAAGCAAAGCUCAAUAGUCAAUAUCCAACAACAUCAAACAGAAUAUACCCAAAACAACACAUUUAGAUAAAUUACCAGAAGCAGCAUGCAAGAAGCUUACCAUUUAGAAAUGGCCAAAAAAAUAUUAAAUUAAAUUAAAUUACCAACUGCCUUGCAGCAAUUAAAUGCAGCGCCUAUGAAAGUACAUGAUAGAGCUUGGCAUAAAAAUAAUAGGGUGAAACAUCAAAAAGUUCCUACAUUGCAUGCAUGCAUGCCUUCAGACAUUGAUAGUGAAACCUUAAACUGCAGGGAAAGGUGCUCUCUUAUCUUCUGAUUAGGAAGCAGCACAGACCAAGGUUAGGAAAACCAAGUGGCCUGCCAGCAGGAUCAGCACCAUCAUAAGCCUCGUCACUAACUAAUAUUUUUCAGCUUCAAUAAUCAAUCUAAUAGAUCUUCAGUUUCUCCAGCAAGCCCAUGUUUACAUAGAAACAGAGGAGAGGUGCUGUGCUGUGCAGGAUAACCAGCUAAAGAUCUUUCAAGUAGUUUUCAAGUCCAGUGUAAAAGUAGAUGCCACUAGGGUAUUUUCUUCAGAGAGCCCUGGAGGCCCUUAUUUCCAUGGAUAUAAGGGUUAGGACACUUGCUUUUCUACCUUGAUGACAACACCACUACUGCCUUUAUUUUAUUCAUUCACAGUACCAUCACCAUUUUAGAACAGUUCUGGAAGCAUAUUCUGCUAAGAUUUUAUGAAACAGUAGACCUAAUUUUAUUCAUUUAACCUUCAAUGAGACCAAUGUAUUCAGAGACAAAGGCACUUUCUAAAUCAUUCAAUUCUCAACACUGCAUCGUAAUCUAAACUUGGUAAAGAGCAGCAAAAACUACAGAAAAUCCAUAAAAAUAUGCUAUUAUCAGAGCAUGCAUCAUAAAAACAGAUUAACAGAUGCAAAUGAACUUACGAAUCGAUCUACUUGAGGAGGAGGCAGUACCAUAGCUAGCUUCCAUUGAGGGAAAAUAAACAAACACAAAUAGCUAACCACAAAUUUCUUGAUCCCAUACCGAUUUGUCUCAAAAUAAGAAAGAGAAAAGGUAACAUUUAAAAGCAUGCCUUAAAUAUAAUCUUACAUUCGACAGCCUGAAGGGGCAAAAUUUGGGCUUCCCUCUACGGCCAUACUUGAGCAACUGAGUGCCCCUUUUAAGAGCAGUGAUGGCCUGUGGCAAAGAAUGCAGCAAGAAAAUCAAUUGAAAAUAAACUAAGCAGGCUAUGCAUAAGUCAGAUUUCAGGAGAUGUACAAAUAUUUCUCAUCAUGGAGAAACAUCUAAUGGUGCAGCCGCAUGAUUAUAUCUCACAAUAAGCAGGUUCUUGUCUCUUUUUUCUUCAGUUAUUUUUAAGUUCAUGAUCCAUGAUUUACUCAAAUCCUUUUUUCACUUAUCCCAGACACCAACAUAAAACUUGGUUUCUAAUAUAGAAAUAAAUGGGUAUGGUGCACUACCCAGCCCAGAGGUAACAAUUACAGGUAUUUUGUAUUAAGCCCGUGAAAAGGUUUCCAUUUGAGUGAAUAUUUACAACUCAUUGAUGCCAGAGAGAUAUGAACACUCGCUAAUAACAUUUGGCUGACUAUUUAUUUAUAUACUAUCGCAAUUCUUUGAAAAAUUCCAGAAAAGCAUGCAUGUCUUAACACUGAGUCUUGAUGCUUUGCCAUGCAUCCUACCAUCACUAGCACUCAUGUGUUAAUGCUCAUGUAAUACUCAUUCAUGUACUCUUAAUAAAAUGCACAAAAAAAAUUAGCUUACCCUAAAAAGCCAGCUAGAAUAUUCCAUUAAGACUUGCCAAAAAAAAACCCGCAUAUGACAACAUGUUGACCCUCACACAUCCUAUACUAACAUUUCGCAAUGCAAACACUGAUGAACAAAUAAAAGGAAAGGUUAUACUACUCGAUCCCAUUGAAAUAACAGAUAUUACCAGAAUCUUAAUGCUCUUAUUAGCUUGAACAGUAACCAACAGCUCCACAACAUUUGACCCGGUUUCGCUUUUUUGGAAAAAAAAAAACAACUCAAAUUCCAUUGCACUAAUUUCAAACAAUUUACGAGACCAAACAUUCAAACCAAUGCUCAACUUAUUAAAAUCCAUAGCAAUUAAUAGGCAAUCUCUAUUUACAAGCUUGAGCUUUUAACACAACCACGUUGCACCCUGAUCACAAAAACACAACCAAAAAAAAAAUCAUACAAACAUAACACUAAACCUUCUCAUUCAUUACCAAGAUAUAAAUCAAAAUACAUUCACAAAACCUCAAUCAAUAUCAUCAGCACUUUAUUAUAUCAAUAAACAACAAAAAUAUAUAAAAUAUAUAUAUAUAAUUACCAAUUCAAUGUCUCUCUCUAAGGGGCCAACUCUCAACGUCGGCUCCAAAGCAGCCAUUCCCUCCGUUUUUGACGUAAUCAAAACUCUAACAAAACCCUACACAUCUCACCAUCACCACCACCGCAACAAAAUCCACCUACAAACACACACAUUGCCUCAUUUAAACUCUAAAGCACUCACUCUCAGCUCCUCCAAACCCUCGCAUUACCAAAAACAAAACCUCGAUCAGCUAACAAAAUCGCAAAACUAAUCGAUUCAAUCUCGAAUCGUCGGGGGAAAAACCCGGCGGAAUCGACGAGAGAAUAUGUCGCAAACGAAGAUUCUGCGACGGCCUUUGGAUUCGAGGAAUUGGGCUCUGUGGUGUUUGGUUGGAGAGAAAGUGAGAGAAAAAGGGAAUAUUAGAGAAAGUGAAGCCUGUUUGGUUUUAAUGAGAGUGGAGUGGAGAGUGAGAGGGGGAAUCUGUUUAAUUAAAGAGAGAAAAAAUUGAGGGUUAUUGAAAAUUAUUGAUUUUGAUAAAUUUUUUAAAAUGAUAUUCGGAUUUUGAUUUCUUUCCUUUUUCCUUUUUUUUUUCUUUUCCAAAUUUUUUGCCCUAAAGGGCACAAUUUCAAGAAAUCACUCAAGUUUUUCUUUGCCAACUCAGUCAAUCUGGAAUAACAAUAUGGUAAUUCUUCUGGAAAUAGAAUUUUACUAAUUAUGUCAUUAAUUAUUUCAUGGAUCUAAUUCGGUCAAUAAUAAUAUAAUAGAAACUAGUUGUUUAUCUAAUCUUAUAAUAUGAUUUAGAUGUUAAUAAACAAAUUUCAUAGAUAUUUGAUAUAUAAAGAAAAACUUAUUUUUUAAAGUACAGAUUUGUACAUGUAUAAUAAUUACAUGUAAAUUAUAAAAUUAGUUUUUGUUAAUAUCUUAAAACAUAAAAGAUAUAAAAUAUAUUUGAUUAAAAAAUGAUAAAAACUUGAAAUAAUUUUAUUUUUGGCAUAAUUUUAGAGUAAAUAUUUAUAAUUUUUAAAUAGUAAAUGCAAUGAGAUAUUAUCACUGCUCCUAUUGUCUUUAUCUUUUUUAUUACAAGAUAAUAAUCAAAUAUUAUCUAAUAAAUUUACAAAAAAAAAUGAACUAUGAAAACCUUUGACAAAUAAUGUCAAAAAUAUUAUUAUUAUUAAAAUACAAGAAAAUGAAGGUGUUGAAUUUUUAUUUUCUCAUGUAUGAUAUUAAUAAGAUCAUAUAUGUAGUUUUUAUAGUUAUAAUUUUAAAAAAUUUGUUUUUAGUUAAAACUAUUAAGAAGUGAAUUUUUACUUGUAAAAUAAAUAAAAAGCAUGUUUUCAUGAAUGAAAAAUAAAUUAUUUUAAAUUAUAUAAAAUAAAAUUUUAAAACACAACUAAUUAUAUAUAAAGCUAAAUACUAAAAAUAUAAAGUAUUUAAUUAAUCAAAUAUUUUUUUUCCUAUAACCUAGUAAAAAAUAGAACCUAUCACAAUACAAAUAUUUUAUUCCUCGUGAUUUCUUUUGUUUCUCUUAUUAAACUUUUUAAAUUUAAUAAAGAAAAGUUUGAAGAAGGCUAUUUAAAAGUAAUCUACGAGUAAUUAAAAGUAUAAUGGAAAAGUAAUCCAUGAAUAGUUUUGAUGUGACGGAGACAAAUUAAAAUAAAAUAUAAGGUAACUCAGAGCUUAUUUAAAAUAAAAAUAUAUAUAUAUAUUAUUUUAAAAUAUGAUGCUCGAAAACCAUAAAAAAAAAUAUCUUCUACUAAUUUGAAGCACAUGGGAUUCAAGCACGUGCCUUGGGGUAAUUUAUUUAUUUAUUUAUUGAACUGAUUUUAGUCAACGAUGUUGACUACGACUCUGUUAAUUAGUUCUAUGACCAUAGAGAUUUCGCCAUGUGAGAGUGGGGCCUAUGCAGGAACUUUUUGUUUGUUGCUUUACGGUACCGUUCUGUGUUGUCUUCCUGUGGUUUCGCUAGAAAUAUUUUUCUUAUUAUUGGCUUUGCUGUUGGUAUUUGGCUAUAAAAUGAACACUAUAUUUUCUUCGAGUAAAAGAAAAAUUAGUGUUAUUUUUCGUCUUCGUAGAUACAAACAUUUUUUACAUUUAUUUUCUCUUUUCUUAUUAUUUAUAUCAAUUUAUAUAAAUUUACAUAAAUUUAUGAUGAGAGUGAUAAGUUAUUAAAAUCCAACUAGACUUUCACAUCUUUAUUUUUUAAUGGUAUUUAUAUUUUUUUAAUUUGAAUUUUAUAUAUUAAAUUUAAAUCAUUAAUUUUUGUCUAGAAUAUCCGUAUUAAAUCUUACUUCUUAGAAUAAAACUUCAUCUCAAAACACCCUUAAUAAAAAAAAAACAAAUCGAAAUUUAUAUAGCUGACCUUCUGGACCCGGAGAAGCUGACUCAAUUUAGAAAUAGCCUCCAGGGUUAAAUUAAAACUAGGCCGGGCCACCUUAUAAAUGAAGACCCGCAGCCACUCGGCUAGGAAACAAAGAAAAAGUAAUAUUGGGCCCCGAAAUAUUAUUUUGUUUUCAUGAUCAAAGACAGCAGACACAAAUGGGUCCUGUCAAUGAUAAAUCUCUUCAAAUAUGCCCUUCUUGAUUCGAGAGACCAGCAUGGUUAUUGCACCGCACGAUCCAAUGAUAUCCCCAUAUGAUAUAUUUUUUUGGACGGUGAUCAAUUGGUUAUAUAGGCUCAUGGAAGAUCUUGGAUUCCAAUUGUAUUUUUGAAUCAAAUAUUUACAGGCUUAUAAUAUAUUAUUUUUUUAUGUUUUUGUCGGUUUUAUUUAGUUGAACUUGGACGAAAAACAAAGUUUUGACAAAUAUUGUAAAAUUCAAACAAAGUUUGAUGGGAAAUAGUGGGUAUAAAAUAAUUUGUUUUGAUAAAUAUUCACAUGAAAAACAUUUUCUUAGCUAGGUAUAAAUUUGUCAACAUUAAAAAAAUAUGUUAUUUAUUUUAGCCAUGUAUAAAUUUGCCAGCAUGAAUCAUGGAUUUAAUAAUGUGACCGAGUUAGCACCAUAAUAUCAAUAAUUAUAUCAACUUGGUGCAAGUGGGGUCACAAGUUGGGCAAUUUAAUAAUUUUUUUAUAAAAAAUAUUAAAAUAUUAUUAUUUUAAAAAUAUAUUUUAUAAAGUUAAUAGAUUUGGAUCAGAUCAUCUGAACUUAAGAAUUAGAUAAAAUUUAAAUUUUACUAGUUUUUAACUGUAGAUUUAAAUCUUGCUGGUUUCAUAUGAGAAUAUUAUAAAUUUUUUUUUUUUUGCAAGCUAGGCCUGUCCCUUGUUUUUAUUGCUAAACUGAGUUGUGGAUUGAUUAUAACUUUUAUCCUAAUUAUAUAAUAUUGAUUCUUUUUUAUUAUAUAUAUACAUAUAUAUGUACACACACACGAUCUAAACAAGAUUAUAAAUUGAGCAAAUUUAAUAAUUAUAAUAACAUCAUUACAAAUAUACAAAAUGCGACACAUAAUAAACUUUUGCUAAUGAAGAGAAAUAAAAAGUAAUAUCUCAUGGCUAGACUCUAACCUAAAACUAUCAGUCAGCCAAAGUUGUUUCAGGUCAUUAAUAAGCCUAAAAUCUACAACCCGGCUGCCUAAUGGCUUGGUGAUAUAAAAUCACAACUCAGUUGAACUAAUUUUAUUUGAAAAUACGAUAAAAAAAUAUUUUUUAUUAAAAAUAUAUUAAAAUAAUUUUUUUAUUUUUUAAAAUUUAUUUAUAAUAUUAACUCAUUAAAAUAAUUUUAAAAACUAAAAAUUUAAUUUAAAAUUAAAAAAAUAAAACAUUUUCAAAAUUAUAAUUAGAUUGGAAAGUCAAACAGGAACAAAAUUGAUAUUGAAUAAUGAAUACCUCUAUUUUUGCAUAUAGUAUACAUUAAUGAAAAUUUUAUUUACAAGAUAUGAAAUAAAUUUUUUUUUUUAUAAAACCCCUUUAAUUAGAAAAGUAUUUUUAUUUUUAACUAUGAUUCCACAAAACCUCAGUUACCAAUUUAAAUUUGAAACAACUUAUCUCAUUCAAAAUGUACACAAUCUUCUUUAUUAAAAGUUGGAUAAAGAAAUUUGAAGGGGAAAAAAGUCAAUGAAGUAUCAUCUUGUCUUAUUUUAAGUGGAUUUUUUCUCAUAUAAAAUAAAUAAAGUUGUUGGACGUGAAUUGAACCCUGCUCUUUGGAAACAUGUAUCAUUGAACUUGGAAAUUGGCAAAACAAUAUUAAUGAUUUCUUCCACAAAAACGUGCAUGCGUACCCCUAUUGAUUCAAUGAAAGAAUAUAGACUUGACCAGUAUGAAUUUUUAUUUUUUUUAAAAAAAUGGACAGCGAGAGAGAGAGAGAGAGAGAGAGAGAGAGAGAGAGGAGCUCCAUGAUUGUUGAUUAGAUUUAACAGAACAAAAAUGAAUAUUUCCUGUGGUAAUUUACAAUUGAACUAAUAACGGAUAAAUCCUAAACAUGAGGAAAAUUGAUAGCUUGAUUCCCAUCUUUCUCAGUGAAUCUAAUUUUUUUCUGGGCCUGUGAUGUCAAAUCUAUUGAAAAAAGGUAAAAUUGAGAUGCGAAAUCUAUUGAGAUAAGACCACUUCCAAGCCCUCGUUGUAUCUUGAUCUUGUUCUUCCAGGAGAGUUGACAAUUUCUUCCAUGCCUUUCCUUUUGUUGUUAGGUUGAUCUUCUUCCUUGCACCUUCCCUUCAUUAGAUGGGGUCUAAGUUUGUUGACAUCGGACAAUUGAACUGGCUUCAAGAAGAACUCUUCUGCUCCUUCUUCCAAGCAUCUGAUCAACACAGAUCAUUAAUAACCCAGGUCAGAUUAGGAUUUAAUUAAGUAUACAAAGUUUUAAACAGUCUUAAUUGAGGACAUUCUCACCUAUUGAUUCUUGAGGGGACGUUCUCCGAGGACAUGAUCACAACUGGGAUAUCCUUGAAAUACUUGGAUUCCUGGGAAAAAUGCAACUACGCAGUCAGAUUCUUGCUCAAAAACGGUGAUCAAAUGGACAAAAACAGAUAGAUAUCUUGACGAACCAUCAGAAUUGAUUACCUUGAUCUUUUUUAGGAGAUCGUAGCCUGUCAUUCCUGGCAUACAGUAAUCUGUAAUGAUCAUGUUAAUUUCAAUGUGUUGAUGAUGAUGGUCAGGGGAAACAGAGGAAGGGUUUGAAUCUCUCUGCUCAUCAUCCCCGUUCAAACCCAAAAACUCCAAGGCCUUGCUUCCUGAAUCCACUGCUGUGACUGUAAAAACGAUGUCAGCAAUCAAGAACUAAAGUUCAAAAUAAUAUACAAUCCAUUAAAUCCCUUUAGGAUUUGACAUCAAUAUACCCUGAUAAGAAGAGGUUUUGAGGAGCCUUUCAAUCAACUUUCUGUCAAUAAGGCUAUCAUCAACAGCCAGAACAUGAAACUGAGUCUCGGUAGCCAGAGCAGCCAAAGCAGCCAUCACAGUUCCGCUAGUGAUGCGUCAAGCCAAGAAAAGAAACAAGAAGAAAGAAUACUGAAACCAAGAAAGCAGCCACAAGGGGAUGAAGAGAAGGGAGGGAAGGUGGAGGACUUUUAAAUGGGAAGCCAUAGGAGGUGAAAAUCCUGUAGAAAAUCUGGACAGUUUGGAAAGCAAGAUCCGGCAGAUUUCCUCGAGAAUCUUAAGGAUCUUCUAGGUUGAUUUUUGAAUUAGACAACAAGCAAAGACGGUGUUAUGUGGUUCAUUUUUCUAUUUUAAUAAUUGAACCAUACUCAUUAUAAUAAUUUUUCAAAUUUUGACCCUUUCGAUUGAGCUUUUAAGAUGACUAUUGAAGCAACUCAACGUGACAUAACGAGUUAACCAGGCCAACUCGUUGAUCUAUUUUCUAACCCAGGUCAAGUUUAAUAAAUUAAAUUAAAUUUCACUACAUUUUUUUCAGUCAAACAACUCAUGACACACUUAAAAUCCAUUGAUUUUUUUUUAAAUAACUUCUUUUGUUCUUUAUUUUUUUUUAAUCUAUCAAGUUAUGUCGGUUAACCUAUUCGAGUCAUAACACAGCACUCACAACGAGUGGCAGCUUGAAUAAGGUUUAAUAAUUGUGAUUAGGAGGGCCCCCCUACUUGACCUUUUCAAUCACAAGCUAAGGUACGGUUUGAGGGUGCCAUGGACGUGCAUGACGUGCUACAGCUAUGAAAUAUAUUUUUUUUAGCCAAUAGCAGCAUUCGACCCUAAUUUGCCAUUUUUUCAAAGAGGGCAACCUCAAAACUUAGAUUUCUUUGUGGAUAGGAUCGUCUGAAUUGAUUCUAUUAACAAUAACAUGUGAGGAUUACUAGGUAAAAAAUAAAUAAAAAUUGAAUUUGGCAAUUGAAACUUCACAUUUUAUUCUGAUCCAUGGGAAUUAAUUGAUUUUUAGGUUUUUUUGUUGUUGUUGGGUCAUUGUAUCUUGUCUUGUUGUGUGUUGUUUGGUGUACAAAUUAAUUAGUCGUGGAUUUGACCAUGGAUAAGGGUCUUCAUGGAUAUAAUAGGUGGGGAGUUUUGAUUGACCCGUAAUUAUAUAUAAUUUAAUUUUUGAUAUUUUAUAAAAUAUAAACUUGAUUUAUUUAUUUUUUAAACUUGAACGAGUUGAAUAUAUAGGCUGAGCUAAAAUUUUUAUGAAUAUUACAUAUCAUGGAUUUAACAUAUUAAUUUUAUUAUUUUUUAACUAUCCUAAAAAAAUAUCUGAUUGUAAAAAACAUUGGUUAUACAAGUAAAAGAUAAAAAAUUGAUAAGUAAGGAAGCACUUGAAGUUUGAAAGAAAAAAAAAGGGAAAUGAAUUAAAAGCAGUCAAUUCAGUACAAUAACUUUGACAUACUGUUUUACAUCUAGAAUAUGAUUGAGAUAAUGGUAAAUAUUAUUUUUUUAAAAAAAAUAUAUAUUAAAAUAAUUUUUUUAUAUUUUUAAUAUUGAUAUAUCAAAAUGAUAAAAAAAAUACUAAAAAUAUUAUUUAAAACUAAAAAUAUAAAUCUUUUAAAAAACUGCAAAGUCAGAUAAUUUUAAAAGGAGUUGGUCUGAGUUCCACACUAGAAAAAAUUAAAAAAUAUAUCAAUGUUAUUAAUUCAAAAAAAUAACUCUAAUUUUACCUAAUAAGUUUUAUUCAAUGAAUGAAUAAAUGGAUGGACUGCAUAAAUUUUCUUUGAGUGGUUCAUGAAAUUAGCAUUAUUCAUUAAAAACUAUAUAUUUCCAAGGAAGACAUCAAGCCUAAUCAAAUCUCGACCUAACUAUAGAUCCAAAAAAAAAAAAUCUCAAGGAAUAUAAUAUGAUUUUAAUUGGUGGUGCUUAUGAUAUCCAAUUACAACCCAGCAUGAGAUGAGACUUCUAACCAUGCAGCCUGUUGGACCGUCCACCAAAUUUAGAAUACCAGGUUUUAGGUCAAAAUCAUCGUGAAUAUUUUCAUUAUUCCACCGCAGAUUUGCUACUCAGGGCCGUCGUAAGAUCUUGGUUGCUUUCGAGGAGAUCACUGAAUAAUGGCCUGAUUGUUAUCUUGUUUCGUAUCUGUUAAGGUUGUGUUUGUAUUUCUAUGAGAUAACAUAUUUUUUUUAUACCAAACUUUUUUGCUGAUAAAAUAUGGAAAUCCACCAAAGCAGAGAUCGACAGCGAAGGGCCACCUAAUUAUGGGCAAACUUAAAAAGAAAUACAAGAAAACAUGCUAAUUAGAUACUAUCACCAAAGCUAAUCAUCUUUAGAGAUAUAAAAUAUUACGCUUUGGCUAGUGUUUUAUAACCCAAAAAAAAAAAAUAUUUGAUUGUGUUUUGUUAAAAAAUAGAGACGACAAUAUAAAAUUUUAUAACAAAAAAGAUAGAGAUAAAAGAACACACACACAUAUAUAUAUAUAUAUAUAUAUAUAUUUGAUUGUAUUUUUUCAAAGAAAUGAAGAUGAGAAUAUAAAUAAAUUUAUCUCUAAUACAAUUUUAAAAUAAAAAAAAAUACAAUCAGACAUGUCUAUUUUAUUUUUAUUAUUAUUGAUUUUUUUUGUCUCAAAAUGAUGCCCAAUAUUAAAGUUGAUCCAUCUUUCUUUCUUUCUUACACGUUUUUUUCCCACUUAUUCUAGUUUAAUUAAUUAACACGCAAAUUACAUUAAAAAUCGGGGUCAAUUAAUUUAAUUGAUAAAAUAAUUAAUGAAAAUUGCGAUAAUUGUUCAAUUAAUAAAGUGAUUUGAUGCUAAGAAUCACCAUGGCAACGAACUAAUUAAAACCUAAAUCAAUUUCGAAUUAUUCAAAUCAUAUUUUUCUUUUAGAUAUUACUCAUGAGAUUUCUUCCAAGAAACAUGAAAAUCUAAUCCUGAUAAUAUGGGAUUGGAUGAAAUCAUGAAAACAAUAACCAGGAAAAAACAACAUCACAUUAUUUCUUGAGUGAAUAGAAAUUAUUGCAUUCUUGGUAAACAGUUGCAACAUUUUUUUUAUUUGAAGUUCCAAAAAGAACCAGAGCAUGUCCAGUUCUAACUAGCAUUAAGAUCCACAAAAUGGCUAGCAGAUAAAACCCAGAAGAAGGGAGGUGGGGGCACGAACCCACCAAAUCACCAUGGGAGAUCUGGUGCCAUCACUCUCCAGUGCCAAAUCAUGUGCUCUUAUCUUCUUCCUCGUUGUGGGAUUUGUUUAAUUACUAUGAACUUAUUCGUAUCCAUGGAAUCCCUGUGUCACUGUUAUUUAGAAAUUCGAAGUAUCUUCAUGGUAUCAAGGAUCUUGUUUUUGUGGGAUUUUAUUUGCUUAUUUUCUGACCUUUCACUUCGUACGGGAUGAUCUUCUAUUUUGUUUACUGCUUUAUUGAUCAAUGUGAGAUUCCCUGCAUUUUUCGUGCAUGGGAAGGAUUUGGAGGGGGUUAAAAAAUAUUUUAAUAUAUUUGUAAGAAAAAUAUAUUUUUAAAAAGCAAAGGUAGUAGAAAAAUGCAGUUGCUUCGAAGGGAGGCACCGACUUCGAAACGACGCGGUCCGAGCGCUCCAAAAUCCCAUGCAGGAUGUGGUGUCUUCAGGUGCAAGUAAGGCAUUAAUAAUUCAUGUGAUGGUGUCCUCCUGCUAAAUAAUUGCUUGUUUGAUAUUUAUUUUGGUUCAUAAUUAUUAAACAAACAUGUUUGGGUUAAUCUAAUCAAGUAUGUGUUUGAUAUUAUGAUAGUGAGUAGAAUUUUAGUUAUAAUAGUAAGAAAACAGGUUUUUUUUUUUAAAUAUUUAAUUAAAACUAGAUGGAUUUUUAUAUAUAAAUUAAAUAAAAAAUAUGUUAUUUUAACUUUUAUAUAAUUAAAGUUUCAAACGUAAGUAUGUAUAAGAUUAAGUAGAAAAAGUAUAAACUAUUUGACUAAUUAAAUUAUUUUUUAUUUAUAGUUGAAAAAAAUAAAAAUUAACAUAAUAUUUAUUAAUAGUUUCUAAAUAUAAUUUAAAUUAAAUCGGAUCAAUAUAAAAAUUUAAUAUUUUAAAAUAAAUUAAUAUUGUUGUGAUGAAAAAAAAAUGAUUGACUUGGUGACCCAAUCCUUUUAUAGGUCAGAAGUCAAGACGGAACUAAUUUACACUAAGCUAUCAUUUAAUCCCUAUAUUCUUAACAAAAUAAUUAACUAAUUAAUUUAGUUUAAAACCCUCGAUAUUGAAGCCUUGUGUUUCUAUAUUUUAUUUUGUAAUUUAGUCAUUCUUAUGGUUUUUAAUCAUCAACUCAAGUGAUCAAUGGUCUAAUUUAUGACAUUAAAAGUAGGAGAGACAUACAAAAUCACGAAACACAAUAGGGACCUAAUCAUAAUUUACCCUCUGGUUUCCAAGAAAAAAUGCCUUUUGGAAUAAGUAUAAACGCAUCCUUUAAUUAUUGCAGCGGUAAGAAUUAUGUAUUUAAUUAAUUAAUUCUGUAAAUUUAAUCUUUCUUAUUUUCUAAUGGUUUUAAUUAAUUUCUAUCCAAUUAUAUAUAUCAACUUUGAUUAAUAGAACCUCCUGUAAAAACUAAUUUUAGAACAAUUUCACAAAUUAAAACUAAUAACUACAACCAUAGAAACUAAUUUCCUAAAAUUAGGGACCGUUUUGAGUUUUAUCCCUUUUCCCAUGGUUUUUUUGGUAUGAAGUCCAAACGCGAUCCCAUGCCGAGUCAAUAAUAUGGACUUCAAUUUGUGGAGAAGCCCAAGUAAAAUGUAUGACCAUUUGGCCCAAUACGAGCGGGCCGGGACAGGUUUUGGCAAAUCUAAAUAAUUAAAUGCUUUCAUUUGAACUUUUUAUUCUCAUAGAUAAAAUAUUAAAUCAUUACAUUUUGUUUCACUGAUUACUAUUUAUUUUUAAUUUUUAAGGUCAUUAAACUGAUAAAUUAUUUUUUAAAUUAUUUAUUGAAGCUUUUUAUUAAGGACAUCAAAUAAUUCAAAAUUUAAUAAUGACUUUAACAAUCAACUCAUUUUAACAAUAAGUAAACAAUUAAACACUUCAAUUGAUGAUUUUAUUAAACAUAAAUACGUGACCUUAUUGAACCUACAUUGUGUUACGACUCAACUCAUUAUCAUCUCUAUUUAUCGGACUGUCAUUAAAUUAGUAUCUUAAAAAAGCUACCGAAAUAUAAAUUUUAUAAUGAAAAAAAGAGUGAUUUACUUAAUUACUUUCUCUAAUAAUUUCUGCUUAAAUAUUGCAAAUACAACCUCGUGUUUUUUGCAUCUAAUGUCCAGGCCCAGUCCCCUGCUCUAUCGUGGUUCCUCCUCACCUUCAACUUUUUUGUACACAAAACCACUAGCAAUCCACAAGUAAACACAAAAAUUUAAAGCACUCAAUGCUGCCAUCACACCCAGUAGAAGUAGUCAACAUGGGCACGGUUUAGAUUGUCACCAAGUAAAAUGCCAAUGGACCUUGCUGUAAUGGCCUGCACCGCAGUUAUAAUAGCAGUGUUGAUAAAGCUCCCAACUCCGAUCACACUUAUAUGGGCUGCAGCUCCGAGGCUUCUCAUCGAUUCCGGCAUUUGAUCGUAGAACAGUUCCUGCAAUCCGACGACAGUGAACACAUCUGAUAUUCCGCUGAUCAUGUACUGUGGGAGUAUCCACCAGACACUCAUCGGGAUUGUUGCUUUUGGGUUGUCCAUCAGACCGUGCUCUCUUGCGAGGCUAACCCUUUUAGCCUCUACUUGAGCUGCUACUACCAUUUCAACUAUAGACAGGAACAGGCCAAUGCCAAUCCGUUGUAGCAUAGUUAUACCAGAGCGGUGUCCGGUUAAUUUUCUUGCCGCAGGGACGAAGAUGCGGUCGUAGAUCGGAAUGGUAAAGAGGAUCGUGAGGCCUACGAGGCUUUGGAAUGAUGCUGGUGGAACUUGGAAGUUUGGUCCUAUUGAUCUGAUCAUUGUGCUGCCUUGCUUGAUGAAAAGAGUGUGUGUUUGAACUAAUACCGCCGUGAACAUGAAGCAACUUAACCAGAUGGGGAGGAGGCGCAGCACAAGCUUCACUUCUUCCACCUGGUUGAGUGAGCAUAAACGCCAAGGGUUUCUUGGCUUGCUUGAGGCAUCCAAAUUGUCAAUGAUCAUGGCCUUGUCCAAGAACCUGAAAGUUCAACAUGUAAUGAACGCUAGUCUAUGAAUAAUGGAUAUAAAUGACAUGCAUAAUUUCUCCCCAACUUAAAAAUAUAAUUUCAUAGAUUUGCUUAUCCAUAGUUUUUUUUUUCCUAUUAUAAACCUAAUCCCAGCAUGUCAUUGAUGAUGAUAUUUUCUUUAUUUUAGUGUUAUAGUUAAAUGUUAACAAGACAACUCUAGGUGACCUGACAUGUUGAUACAAUGACCCACUAAUCAAGGGUCAAGCUCAGCCAGGCUUGCUUUUGAACUUCCUGGAAAGUUAAUUGAUCAAACAUGGGUUACCUGGUGAAUUGACUCAUGACUUUAUUAAAAUUCAAAUAAUGUUUAAUUGUUUAAAAACAUUUCUCUAAAAUAAUGUUGUUUUAGUUUUUACUAUAUUUGUAUUUGCGCUAUGAUCUGAUUUUUUCUGUAAAAUAUUUAGGCGCCCCCAGUCAUGUUCAAAAAAGAAAAGAAAAGAGAAAUCUAAUAAUUCGGGUUAUAGUUUUAAUUAACUAAAUAAGCUAGUUUUAUUUGAAUUAUUUUGAAAAUAAAAAUAUCAAACAAGAAUAUAUAUAUAUAUAUAUAUAUAUAUAUAUAUAUAUAAUGACCAAGAUAACAUGAGAUAAUAAACCUUUAUUCAAAAGCCAAAAAAGAAUCAUUUAUAUGGUUAUGUUUAAUAAUUUUAUUUAUUAAAAUCAGUUCGUAAAAAAAUUCACACACAUAUAAAAUUUAUAGAAUAAAAUAAAGGAAAAACAAAACUAUGCAAGAUUGUAUAUAUUAAAAAUAUCAUAAAAAAUAAAUAUUUAAUCUAUUUAAAAUAAUAAAACAUUUACAAAUGAAUCAUAAUAAUCUCUUAAAAAAUUAAACACACCUAAUAUAAUUAAAAAAUAAUUUAAUUUUUAUAUAAAAAAUGUUAAAAAAAACAAAUAACAAAUAACAGAGAAGUGGUAUUAAUUAAAGCAUAAAUUUAAAAAUUAUUUUAAAAAAUAAAUUUAAAAAAAUGUGUUAAUAAAAACAUUAAAAUUUAAAAAAGAAAGAAAAAAACCAUAAUGAAAAAAAAUAAUACACCAUCACCUUGGAUUAAAGGGUGAAAUUAAAAAUAAAAAUUAUAAGAAUAAAAAAUUGAAAAUACCAAUACAAGAUAGAAAAUUGAACAUGUAUAAUUUUUCAACGUGUUUUUUUAUAUAAAAAAUCAUAAAAAAUUAAAUAAAUUACAAAUCAUUGUGUAAGUAAAUGAAAAAAAAAUCAUUAACUAUAAAUAAAAAUAUAAUUUAAAAAAUUAAGACAUAAAUUUCAAAGUCGCCGCUAUAUUACAUGUGUUUUUCAAUUUAGUUUUGUUUUUUUUAUUUCAACAUCUACUUCCAAAAAAACAAAAAACAAUUGGGUUCAAUCAUAUGCUUAAAAUAGCCCAAUUAUGUAAACAAAAAAAAUUUAAAAUCAAAAUAUUUUUUUUAAAAAAAUACCAUUACAACCCAUGUUCAAUUGUGAGAGGAUGAAUAAUAAAAAAUAUUAUAAUAUUUUCUCUGCUUUAGUUUUGGUUAAUUUGUAAUUUUUUUUCAUAACAAUAUCUUAUCAUUAAAAAGCCUACAACGUCACCUCAGUUAACCACCUAACAUGGACUUGAUACUUGAUACAAUUAUCACUAGUCAUGUCAUCCGUGAUUUAAUGCAGGCUAAAUAUUUGAAAAUAUUUUUUUAUUUUUAAAAAUAAAAUCUAUUCAUAUAAAAAAUAAAAAUAAAAUUAUAGAUAAAUAAAAAAACUCUUUAAAUUUAAAUACAUAACUAAAAUAAUAAUAAUUAUUUAAUAAAUGCUUCCCAAACAAAAUGAAAGAGAAAAGGGUAUUAAUUUAAAUAUAAAUUAAAACAAUUAAAGAAAAAACCAUUAAUUUUAAAAAAUAAUUAUAAAAAAAAAACCCUAAUUUUUUUGAAAAAAAAUCAUACGAUGUGUCGUUAGAUUUGUUCAGAUUCCGACCACUACGGUGGCUGAGAAAUCAAGACUUAAAUUGUUUUUAAGCAAAAGCCUUUUCUAAAAAAAUUAUUUUGACUUAAAACACCGCAGAAACCAUGAUAAACCUAUCUAUGGACUCAAAACACCGCCCCAAAAACCAAAAUCAACCCGAGUUCAUAUAUGUUUUUUCAUGAAAUUUAAAAGAACAAAAACACCUAAUAUAAACUUCUUUUAUCAAAUGAAAUCAUCAAACAAAAAUAUAGUCUAUUUUGGUGGUUUAAAUCGGUGUCAAUGAUAGUUUUUUCUUUCUACUACUGGAAUUCAAUGACUUCUGUCUCUCUCCUUUCUCAAUCAAGAAUUUAAAAAUAACAAAAAUAAACUUUUAUACUAAAAUUAAAUUAGAAAAACAUUGAGGCACUAAAGUUUAAGGACUAAAGUGUAUAUUUUGUGAAAUUUAUGGUAUACCUUCAAUGUUUAAUGUCUUUUUUAUUUCGAUUUCUUUUUUUCAAUCUCGUUUUUUUAUAAGAAAUCAAAAUUAAUUAAAAACUAAAUUAUUGAAAAAAAAAAGGUUUAGAAAUUAAAUUAAAAAUAUAUAAAAUUUUGCUCACUACUUUAAGAGAAAUACUUAAUAUUAAUAUGUGAAAUGAUAAAAGUUGAUUCUUGCAAAGUGGAAAAACCCACUACUUUAAGAGAAAUACUUAAUAAUUAUCACCAAAACUAAGCUAGGCCCCUCUUUCUGACGUGGAAGAUAUGGUUUCAGGAGAAGGUUAGACUUUUCUACUCGAGAGUUGAGAGAAAGCAAAGAAAAAAGAAAUUGAUGACCUGGAGCCACCUGGAAAGUAGGGGGGAAAAUCUUGAUGCUACCUGAAAGCAAGAAAGCUAUCAGUGAUUUGACAGCAGGUUGGAUUCCAUUCUUUUUUCAAGAAAGCAAAGAUUGUUCCUCGGAGAAAGAAAAGUUGUUAAUGAUUUUGGCUGAAGCAUGGCUUAACUGAUUCUAUUCAAAAGAAAGCAAAGCAAAAGGACUCGAUUAAUCUACCUUAAAAAUGAAAGUUAACAUUCUUUAUUGAACAUGGCUUGAUUCUGUUGAACAGAAAAAGGAAGCAGUGCACUGAUGAUCUUGACAGGACUUGUCCUGUCCAGGAUAAAAUAGGUAUAGAGGAUAUAAUUUACAGCUAUUCUUGAUGUGCUAGAGUUUCAGGAGUCCAUGCCACCCUCUGUUCCUCACCAUUAAAGCAAAUUAACAGAUCAGAGCUUAAAGAUUCUUUAAACUUAGUUUUAGAUUCUUAAACUAGAGGAUUUACUGAAUUUAAGUUGUUAAAUAAAAUUCUUGUCCCCAGAAACCUCAAGUUGUUGAAUAACAGAGGCUUGAGUCUUGAAGAAAUUACUAUGCUUUUCUAGGUUCUGAAGUGUGAACAGAGUUAUUGUGGAGGCAGCGAAUCUCUAAGAUGCUUUGCAUGGUUGCAUUUUCUUGCAAACCAAACAGCACUUUUUCUCAGAAAAUCCAAAUAAAAUUGAUGCCUUGAGCAUUUUUAGGCCAACGAAUCUAACACUAGGCAAACCCAUUAAGAGGCAGCAAUGUUCAUUGAUAUGACCCCGACCAAUACUAACCAUUAACCCCCUUGUUCUUCAUUUCAACAUGGCCAUCGAAGAUAAGAGGAGACUUUAACACUAUAUGCUUGCCUUUUGAAUUGACUGAUACCUGUAUUGAUUUGUGGCAGCCAAAGUUCGACUGUUGCCGGGUUGACCUUCCACGUCAGUCCCUACUGCCUCAUAACAAAUGCCCAAACCUUGGUGAGUCUCGAUCACGCGCCGCUUCCGCAUGGCUGCCACAAAUACUUGUGCCACCAUGGUGAAAGGGCUUUUCACUGGAGCUUGUUUCCUGUAUCUCUUAAUUCCUGCUAAGAAUAUAAACAAUGCCACCCCUAAUGCUCCUGUCAGCAUUCCAAAUCCUGCUGUCCAUCCCACAUUGUCCUAUUCAUCACAUCAUCACAAUUUCAAUAUUACAUUCCACGUUCAUCAAUGCCACAUAAUUUCUUAACAUUAAUGCGUUGAGCAUCAAGUACUAUUUGGGUCAUGGGUAAGAAGCAUAAUAAUGAAACUCGGUCUGGCCUAUGACCCGACUUAAAUAUUAGGUUAUGAGUUAGUUAUGUUAACCCGAUCAAUUAAAACAAAAUCAUUUUAACCCAAUCAAUUAAAACAAAAUCAUUUUAAAUUUUCAAGUUAAAACUAUAUUUUUUUUAUUUAAAUAACUUAAGUUUCGACUGGAUCGCGUGUUGAUCCGUUGAGUUGAUUAGGACGUCAUGUUAAAUCAACUCUUUUUAUUUUUUAAACUUGCCUCAGCCGUGUUUUGAAUCAAACCACUUAGUGAAGCCGGGUUUAACAGCUGUGGUAUAAGAAGUGAAGUGUUGCUCUCAUUUCCAUCGGAAAAUUGGGAAAUAAUACAAAGCCCGGUUUACCUGAAUGUAAAUGACCAACAGGACAGCAGAAGAUCCGCCGGCCACUAUACCUAAGUACCACCAAUUGAAGAAUGAACUCUUGGCCGCCUUCUCCUCUGGCUUCUCCUCAUCAAACUGAUCCGCUGCAAAGGUCUGCACACAUGGCUUGUGCCCGCCUUCACCAACAGCUAGUAUGUAGAGAGCAAUAAAGAACACAGCCUCACGGUAACGCAUAGGAAUUACCGAGACCGAUAAGGUCAACAGAAUCAUCCCCUGUGAUUUAAAUUCAUUCGAGCAGAAUUAUCAACAAAAAGUCAAGUACUGCACAGUCUUUGUAGUUGUAAGUAGAUGAACAUCACAAAGAAAAAAAAUAUCAAAAACAAUUUCAGUCAAGUUAGCCAGAGGGUGUGCUUCACACAUUAUGGCCAGGUUCUGAGUUCUUCUGGGCAAGGAACAGUUAGAUUUUGCAGGAGCUGUUAGGCACCAGGAUAUCUUCAGAAUUACCAUAACAAGUUACGAAGGAAGGGGAGUCAAAAAUGGUAUAUAGCCAGUGAACAUACGAGGAAGUAAAUGGCGGAGGCAAGAAGGAUGGUCUUGAAGCGGCCAAGUAAAGAGUCAGCUACAAUUGCUCCGAAGAUGGGGAAGAUUGCUGAUACACCAACCCAUGUGUUGACAUUCUUGAUGGCUGUGGAAGUCGAUUGAUGAAGAUCAUUUGUGAGGUAUGUUAUGAGGUUGCCAGCCAAACCAUAGUAGGCAAACCUCAGACUCACCUCAACAACUACAGCCAUACAUGAUGAAAUGAAAGUUUCAGCUCUUUAGAACAGCGUUAAAAGAAGAAGAAUUUUUGUUCAAAGAAAAAUAAAGGAUGAUGAUGAAGUUUUUAGCUUACAGAUAAUGAAGAUGGCAGAAUUCCAGCCACCUUUGGUGGGUUUUCGCAGGGUAGAGACGACCUUGGUCUCUUCCUGACCAUUCCGAGUCAUGAUUGGAGCAACGACGAUAUCCAUGGAAGGUUGUAAGAAUUUUUGGACAUGGUUUGAAAGGCUAAUUUCUUGAGUAUUUAUAGAAUUUUUUUUUGAAAACAAUUUAUUGCCGUCAAGAGGAAGGCAGACUUAGACAGUCCAUUUGAUCUCAGAAAAUAUCAAGAGAGUGACAUUUCAACAGCUGGAAAAAGAUUGGUUCCCGUGGUUAGGUGAGAACACCCCAUGCACUCCAAAUUAAUUUUUAGCAUUAGUAAUUAUUAAGAAAAACUUCAAAAAUGCCAUAAUUGCAAAACUCUAUCCAUGGUAAGGCCUAGAUUAUGAAUUUACAGGGUUAAUUUCUAUCAACCUGACUCAAAUAAUAAAAUUAUUUUAAUAAUAAAAUAAAUUAAUAAAUUGAGGCUUAAGUUUUGAUUAAUCAAACCAAGUUAACUAAGUUACCAAAUCAAUCUAUAUUUUUAAUGAGAAUAUUCAAUUUUAUUUUUUUUUAAACUAGAAUCGGUUCAGAUUUCAGUUAUUGCAACUAUAAAAAAUACAUAUGAAUUAUAAGAUUAAUGAGACUUGUAAAUGGAUUUUAUUUUAAAAUUAUGUUUUGAUUGCUCAAAUUACUCGAGUACUUUUAUGUUACCUCACAUUUAUAACAUUUAUAUGAAAAACUCAAACCACCAUACCAUUUGAUCAUAUGAGUUUUUUUUUUUUUAAAAAAAAAUUCUAUUCCCUUGGGUAUGUGUGUGUCUAUAUAUAUAUAAAAUUGAAACUUACGAUAUUUUCAGGUCUGUAAUUAAUUAGAGGUUGAUAUAUCAAUGUUUUUAAAGAGUCAAGGGAUUUAAACUCAAGAUUCUUUAAAAACAUUGACAUAUCAACCUCUAAUUAAUUAUACAGCUAAAAAUGUGAUAAGUUUCAAUUUUACACGCACACACAUAUAUAUAUGGACAAAUUAUUUCUAAAUAAAUAAAUACACACACACAUUUAAAGACAGUAAACAGUUAAUAUUUUGUUAUUUUUCUGAGAUAAAUUAAAGAGAUAGAGAUACUGAAAAUAAAUAAAAUUUGUUUUUAUUUUUAUUUUAAAAAGAUAAAAAUUCACUUAAAAGUUAUGUAUCUUGCUUCAUCACUCUAAUAAUAUAUAUUCUUUCAUUCUAAAACAUUGACCAAACACAACAUUAUUUAUUUAAAAUCUAAUUAGCUUUCUGUAUCUUAACAAGGAAUGGCAAGUUGCUUAUAUUACUCGUUGAGUACAUGCCAGACCAUGCCCGUUACAGCCAGAUUAUCAUGCCCGAUAAAGUAUAUAUAGCUCAAGUUGAAAACUGUGAGGUUAUGGGAGGGGCCAUUGAUGGAACCAGACGAGAGCCACGUGCCUCCAUCCUAUACUGUUUUGUAUUUUGCAAAUAAUUAGCUAUGUUUAUUUAUUACUACUCCAAGCCGUUUUACUUUUAUGGGCUCUUCAAUCCUCCCCUGAAUUCUGCUGGCUAUAUUUAUUAUGUUGACCUUUAUAUAACGUAAAAUGACUCCCUCUCUCUCCACCGUGCACGCUCACUCACCGUGCUCUCCUCCGUGAACAAGUCUCGAAGCCUUGCCAUGGAUUGUUAAGAUCGAAGCAGUUUUUUUAGUUAAAAAAACCAGUUAUUUUUCAAGGCAUAAUUAAGUAGAUGUAAGAAAAGAAAAAUCAUUUUCUCCAUCUCUCGCUGGUAUUUUCAUCGUCUGCUUGGAGAUUAAUGUUUCUUAACUUGUUUUUAGUUUAGUGUUAAAAGUUGAUGGUUAAUUAUUAAGAGAUUUAAGGCUAAAAAUAUUAAAUCGUAGUUGAAAAAUAAAAUAUUAAAAAUGUUUCAUAUAUAAGAGAUGGUCAAAAAAACCAGCCAAUGACUAAAAAAAUAAAAAAUUAAUUAAUUCAAAAAACUGAACAGAGAGAAAAGAUUGAAGAAACCAAUUUAAAAACUAGAAAAAUCACUCAGUAGGGUUCGCGAUGAACCAAGAUUUUAUUAGUAUAUCUUUAUAUGUCUUUACCAAAAUAUACUGAAUCAAGAAAAACUCACAGGUAUAAUUUUCUCGAACACAAGCACGCUCUAAUGGAAGCGUGUUGGGCCCAGCACUAACCAAACCCGGCUACAGUUGGGUUUGAUAGUGUGUCAAGCCUCAAAUGAGCCGGGUUUGGCCGGCAUCAACCCCAUGUUGAGGACUGGUAGCACCAGUCCAUUAUUGCCAUACCCAACUAUUAGGUCUAACAGUUGUUGCCAAGUCUAGUAGCUUGAUACGUGGUGUCUUGAAAGUAUCCAAGUCGAGGAUUUCUAUCAUUGGGCAUGACUGGAUUCGCUACACCUAUUGAUUCAAGCAUAAUAUCUAAAUCUAACGCCAUCAAUUCUAAAGAUUUCUAUAUAAAAUAUUAGAUGAUUUAUUUCUUAACAAAUCAGUUUAAUUAAAUAAAUCUACACUCUGUCAACACCAUUAAAUGUAUUAAAGUCUUUCAUGAUUUAUAAUGUCUCUAUAUUUUUUAUGAAUAAAAUUAGUGAAAUACAACUUAAAUUAUCAUAAAGAUAAAAUUACAUUUCGAUCAUUCUUUUCCAUAAAAGGACAAAACUUGUUAACUAUAAAUACAUAAUGAGAUCUUCAGAACAACAUUUCACAAUCCUCAUUUUUUACAUAUAUAUAUAUAUGGGACCUUUUGUAGUUAUAAGUCAGAAGUCACUUUCGCCUACCAAGCAAAUCAACAACCAUCUUUGGCUAGAUAAAAUAAAUGAAAUUGUUAACUAAUUAUUUAGAAACCCUGUUUCGAGACUAAUUGAAAUUUUUAGAUUUCAUCAGUUUAGUUUCAGUUUUAAAAAGCUAAAAACAAAUCAUCCGAAUAUAAAUCAACUGAUACAAAACAGGUAUAAAUAGAAACUUAAAACAAAUUAUUAACCUUGAAUGAUCUACCUGUUUUGUUAUUAGUUGGAGCAGGUCUUGAAUCACCACCAAAGGAAAUGGGGGGGCUGUACGAUUUAUAUUUCGAGGCCCUCCAUCUCCAUUUUAAAAUUUCAAAGUAACAAACUAUUUGUGGGUUAAUUGUUUCGUUCUUUUGUCCUUUGUAAAAGUGUUUUUGUUUCUGAUGAAUUUGUCUUUCUUGUGAUUAUUUAAUACUUAUUGUUGGAUUUAAGAGCACAAAGAGUUGAUUUUUUGCUUCUGUCAAUAAUGAGAACUUCCAAGAAAUCCAAAUCCUGGUGUUGGUGCUUCUGUCAAACCACAUACCUAUCAUGUUUUUUCUUUUAAUUUUUUAAACAAAUUUCAUAUAAAAAAUUAAAUUAUCAUGUGCUUUAUUAUUAAAAAAUAAUUUAUAAAAUAAAAAAUUUAUUAAAUCCGAUAACGCGCAUAACUUGCAUCACGAGUUUGUUUAAUAGACUCAAGUUCAUUUAAUUUUUUUAUUAAUUAAAUGCUAUUUUUUAUCAGUUUUAUCCUUAUAUAUAUUAAUUUAAUUUAGAAUUGAAUUUUUUUAAUUUUUUUCAGAAUUAUCUCCAUAAAUCUUGCAAGUCAACCAAUUUAAUGUCGAUAAAUCAAAUAUUUUUUAAUAUUAUCACCAGAUAAAUAUAUCGUUUAACUCAUGAUUACUAGAUUUGUAUGGAGAUCUUUGUGCUUGACUUUUGAGUUUGAAAACUACGUCAUAGUGGCAUCCUUCAAGUAUCACGAAGACCUAGACCUGAGUCGUCUUUUAGCCGUGCAAGUAAUUCUCCAUACGUCUCUAUGCACAAGUCAAAAAAGGAUAUUGGAAACACAUCAAAGAUUUCCCUUUACCCCUUCCUUUUGAGCUUAUCUUUUCUCCUUUUCCGUUUUGUUGUGUGAAUAGUUUUGGAGAAAUUAUUCAUAUUUGAGCUCUAUGCUAGUUUCUCCACCAUCAAAAACACUUGAAGAUUAGGUUUUCGUUUGCCCUAUCUAGCUAGGAUACUAACAAGAGAACUUCUUCUGCAGCACUCUAGCUAGCUAGAUUGGUUGGUAUACUCUCACGUAGGGCUACCAUAUUGGUGGAAAAUGCACUCCUUUUAGAAGGUGUUUGGGAGUGUGGUAGCUGUUACUUUUCAAAUAGCUUUUCGUGCCGAAAAACAUGUCAAUAAUGUUUUUUUAUUUUUUAAAAAUCAUUUUUGAUAUCAGCACAUCAAAACGAUUCAGAAAGUACAAAUCAUAUUCAAUUUUAGCAAAAAAAAAAACAAAAAUUAAAAUUUUAUAAAAAACUGUUUGGACCGCGAUGCCAAACAGCCUCUUAGUGUGACGAUUACCCCCAAUAAAUAGUAUUCUAUACCGACUCCACUACUUUUCCUUGCAUCAUCGAUGACAAGAUCAGCAAAUUAUCGUCCCAACAUUCGAGCAGUGAUUUUAAUAUCCAGACUCUAGUAUCUUCGUACAGAGCCCGUGAACUCGAUAAUGGUCAUCUCUAUCUCUGUAUGCACAGGAGUCAAUGAAGGGAUCUUGCAAGUUAGUCUCGAAGAUCACCACUCUAGCAGUCUAGUGGGCUAAGUUGGUUGUGCUUACACUUAAAAAAUGCUGGUAGAAAGUGUAAUUAUAGUUAUUUUUAAAAUAAUUUUUAUUUAAAAAUAUAUUAAAAUAAUUUUUUAUUAUUUUUUAAAAAUUAAUUUUAAUAUUAGCAUAUUAAAAUUAUCUAAAAACAUCAAAAAUAUAAUAAUUUUUUUAAAAAUAAAUUUAAAAAACAAAAAAAUAAGCAGUCUUAAUUAAUUCUAUAAGUGGAAAUUGCACUUCUUUGGUGUGACUUACGAUGCACUCUUUAAGAAAAAAUCUAGACCGACUGCACUACCUUCGCCAGCAUCAUCAAUGACAAGGAAAACAAAUUAUUGUUCCAACAUUCGAUCAGUAAUUUUAAAAUCUAGAUUUUAGCUUUAAUUUGUAUGGUGCUCAUGAAUAUUUAUAUAAUUCUCAUCCCAUGAUCACUAAAUUAGCGAUCUAGCUUGCUUCUUCUCUUUGAUGUUAUCCUAAUUGUUUGCCAUUAAAUCAUCUUCCAUGCAUUGUUGUCAAAAGCUGGAAAGAAAAGGUGCUAGCCAGUAGGAUAUAUCAACGAAAAAUGUUGAGUUGAAGUUAUUUUGGGUUCAUUAUUAGCCUAUAAUCAAAGUUAUUAAAUCUAAUGUGAUUCAUGAUGUAAAUUAAAAAUAGUGCUAUUAUUUUUUAAAAAAUAUUUAAAAUAAUAUUAUUUUUAAGAGGUUUUUAAAAUAAAAAAUCAAAUAAAAUAUUGAUAAGAUUGAUUAGAUCGUGAAUUCACUCAUUUAUCAACUUUAAUGUCAGUUUUUUUUUUUAAUUUCACUUGACCAAAAAGCUGCGAGGAAUAUCGAAUCUUGGAUUAAUUUACCAAGCAAAGUGGAGUUCAAUAAUUAUAUAUGCAACAAAAACUACCAUAUAUGAUAUUUCCUCAUAUCAUCAUAAUAUAUAAUGAUGAUAUGCUUAGAAGAACACGAAAAUGAGCUUCUAUUCUUAGUUUAAAUUAUAUACUUCAAGUCAAACUUUUUACAAUUUUCAAUAUACCAUGACUAAAAAACAGAAAAAAAUCAAAAUAUUAUAUGAUCUUUGAAAUUGAGGGUCACCGAAUAAUUCAUGCUGGGGAUAUCGAAAAGCACUCUAAUAACGACUAGUCUACGAAUAUAUAUGAUAAAUAAUAAUAAUUACAAGAGUACAAAUACUGGGAAAGAUUCGACGAUCCAAAUCAAAGGUUCAUGCAUGUGAAUAGAAGCUGUUGAGUGAAGAUGUAUAGAUAUGUCAUAACACUGUAACCACAGCAUUAUAUAUAUUGGCCACGAGCUUUCUGUGCAUUUAUACAUGCACAGAGAUUUUUCUUUGAGCUGUGCACGUCUCAUGAACUAUAUGGCGAGAACAUCUAGCAGAAAUACCAAGGGAUUUGACAAUAUUCCACUAAGUUUUUGUGGUAUACAAAGUACCAUAUGAAACGUGUAAGCUAAAAUGCUUCCAUGAGCAAAGAACAGUGAUUGGGACAGCCUAGCUAGCUCCACCUGAAUCAAUGAAGACUGGUCCGAAAAUGUGUAAAUUAAUAAAUAUCCACCACAUGCUUGGGGUUUGAGAGUGCAAAAAUCCCUCACUGUAUGUUUGUUGUAAUCUAUGAUCACCUCAUGACUUCAAGACUUUGAGCAGUAAGUAAUUAGCAAUUGCUUGAUGAAAUUGGUGUUUAGGUGUUUUGUAUUAUUGUGUAAGGUUUUUUUAAAAAAGAAUUUCAUGUUUUAUUUUUAUUUUUAAUAUAGUGUAUAAAAACUAUAAAAAACUAAUAAAUUAUUAAUUUAAUAUAUUUUUUAAAUAAAAAGUAUUUUUAAAAGGCAUUUAAAAGUAAAAACUACAAUACUCUAAAACAUAUUUAAGUUUUAAAAAAAAUAUUGUUGUACAAUUUUUUUAUUCAUAAGCAAGUCAAAAUUAAAGCGGGAAGCUUAUAAGAAACUCAAAAUUCAAGAAAAAAAUAGACACGUAUGAGUUUUGUAACGAAAAUAGAUAUAGUUUUUAAUUUGAUUAUUGAUUUGAGCUGAGAUUUUAUCAUGCGUUUUAUAAGUCUGAUUCUAUAGCAAGUCAACUAGCUCUUAAUCCAUUGAGAUUGGUAAUUUCCAUGCUCAAAUUAAAUCCAGAAGUUACUGUUAAGAAUUUUUUUCUUUGUUUUUCUUGUUGCUCUCGGAUUUUUUUUCUAGUUAUUCUUGUUUUAGUUUUCUUUUAUAAAAUAAUAAUUUGGUUUAACUACUAAAUAAAUAGUUCACGUAUUAUUUUUCAAAAUAAUUUUAAGAAUCAGUAAAUCUCUGAAUACAUCAAAAACAAGAAUAUUUUCUUUACAGUUUUCGUUUUUGUUUUUCCUACACGCUGUGUCAAGAACACAGUGUUGCUACAAGCUUUUUGGAUUUAAGCAAUGGAUGGCCUGUAAAGUCGGAAAUUAUUGGUUUUGACAAUCCACCACUACUUCAAUCCCUGACCUCGGUCAGGCGAGGUCCUUGAAAUGACGAAUCAGCAGCCGCCCAGAAAUGUGAGUUAUCAUCAACAAACAGGGUUUUCAAAAUUGUACAACACUAUCAUGAUUUUAUUUCUAGAUUUCGAGAUAAGAAUGAUUAUAAUAUUUUUUAAAAUAUUUUUUAUUUAAAAAUAUAUUAAAAUAUUUUUUUAUUUAAAAGUUAUUUUUAAUAUUAGUAUAUUAAAAUAAUCUAAAAAUAUUAAUAUAUAUAUAAAUUAAAAAAAAAAAAACAACAAAAAUUUAAUUUUUUAAAAGUAUAUUUUUAAAAUACAAAACAAAUAAUACAAACUAUAAAUCAUUACCACUCCCACGUCGAUCCACCACUUGUAUCCCAACUAUACUUUUCUUUUCUUUACAGUGUGAUUUCAAAAUAGUUUUUGGUAUUUAAAACUAAGCUUUUUAUCCCAAUGCUAAAUUUAUCAAACUUGAUCAUGGGUUAAUUUGAGUUUUAUCAAAUUAUAAAUUGAACUAUUGAGUUAAUUUUCAUGGGCUUGUGGGUUAAUUAAUUCAAGUUUGAUCGAAUUAUGAGAUUAAUUUUUAUCUUGAUUUUUAAAAAAACUCAAGUUAGAUUUUAAGUUUAUUUAACCUAAUAUCAUUGUCUAAAACUAUCUUAUUUAAUGGAGGGUUAAUUGAUGAAUUUGUUCUAAUAUGUAAGGCAAUUUCUCCUUUCAAUCAUUGAAUUUUAGAGUCAAGCUCAUAAAUCAUAAUUACUAUAUACUAGUAAUAUAUUUUCAAUAGGCCCUUUUGUCUGUUUAUAAUUAUUUUGGUGGAAAAAAUAAAAUAAAAAAAGAGAAAAGUUGAAAGUAAAUAAAAAGGAGUGUCAAACUGAUCUGAUCACCUGGUUCAGUUGCUAGUUCCAACUUAGAACACAUACUCACUAUUUCCUUGCUUAAUUAUACUUAAUAAUAUAAUAAUUAAGAUUUGUGGAUCUUCAUAUUUUUAUUAUUAUUAUUAUUAUAUUAAGUAUAUACGGCACUCGUAUAGCCUCUUACUUGAUUGUGUUGACAUAACUCUAUUUUAUUUUCUUAUUUGUUAAGGUUAUUUUUUUUUUACAAAGAAAAAAAUUUCAUGUAAAAUAUCACUUUUAGCAUAAAAACGACAAAAAAUCAAUUGGAGAAUACAUUAAGACAUAAUUAUUUAAGGAUGCUAAAAAUCGUUUGGUGAAAACAUAAUAAAUAAGGAAAAACUAAUUCAUCAACCUUUUAAUCAAUGUUGUCGUAGCUAGGUGAAAGCAAUUAAGAAAUCCGUUAAUUCAAGAUUAAAAUUACGGAAAAUAAAAAGGAAAAUUUAUUAUAUAAAUCUUACACACAAAAAGGAAGAAGAAAAGAACAGAGCAAAAUUACUCUAUUUCCAUGAUGAUAAAAAAAAUAUAUAUAUAUAUUUCAGGAUGCAAGCCAAUGAGCACAAUGUAGCACCACGACAUUUCUGUCUUUGGUUCUUCUAAUCUAUUCUUUAAUCUUUACUGUACAUCAGUUGUGGGAGCCUCAGCCACUAACGGUUUUGAUAAAAAGGCUGGUACGUAUAACUGUUCCUAUUAAUUAUUAUUCAUUAUAACAUUUUUGAAAUAUAUAGCUAAGUUGGUGUAAUGGUCAAGAAGGUAUGUUAUUCGUAUCAUUAUUAAAAAUUCAAAUAUGACAGAAAAAAGUGAGAAAUAAACAUAAAAAUAACAUAAAGAUGUGAGAAAUAAAUUUAUAUAAAUCUUUUUAAAUCAUAGUGGUUAAACCCAACUUAUCCAACUUGCUGAUAUGAAAAAUUUGUGUAAUACAAAACCUGAUUUAGGCUAGGUUUCAAGUUACAUAGAAAAAAAAAUAACAUGAUAAAAUCUAAUAAAUUUGACGAAACCCAAUUCCAACUCAUAUUAGUUUGAUAUAAAAAAAUAAAACGACUUUCACUUUUAAAUGCUUUUUAAAAUUAUGUUUCUCUUAAAAAAAACAUCAAAUUAUUUUUUAAAAUAUUUUUUUUAUAAAUAUGAUAUGUUUAUAAUAAAAAUAAAAAAAAUAUUUUUAAAAAUCACAAUUCGGUAUAACAAUUAUGCUUUGACUUAAUUUGAUUAGACUGAAAACUCAAACACUACCACUAGAUUGUAAAGUAAAAACAAAUCAUAUGGGCGGCCAUUGAUUGGACGGAAAGCUCUUGUACUAUUGUUUCAUUUGUUGCUUCAUUUGUAUUGAAUUGAAGUUUGAUAGUGGAAGAGUUGGUGAGAUUUUUUAAUUAUGUUCCUUGAGUUGGAAAACAUCAGAAAGUUUAAAUUAUCACCUUAAAGAAUAGCGAAAAGAUUCAUGAAUUUCGAUCGAGUUCUUGGUUAGUAUCAAUGUCGAAGGGUCAACGUGGUACAAGGGAGGGGGACAAGCUGAUCAUGGCCUAGCUGUUGGUGGAAGGGCCGUGUACAGAGGGGGCUGCAGCUCAUCAGGUGGCUUGUCACAGGCUAGUGUGUUUUGAAUUGACUCCAUUAUAGUCUCCGAUGGAGCUUUUCCAAGGUGCAGCAAUUUCUUUGAAUUUCAAAAUAGGAAUACAAGCCUAGUGGUCUGGGUAGAGCUGGGGCACACGUGGCUAAUCAGCCCUGGAUGUUACCGUUUAUUGGACAUGUAUCUGCUCAUGGCUGUGGCUAGCGCCAUUGUGUCUGAACUUUUAUGGUUCAUGUUCUUGCUGGGAAUGGGUGGUGUCUUCAAGCGUCAGAUCAAUACCUGCAAAAUCACUGCUAUCAUCAUGUGAUGAUGAUGUGAAAGCUUGCGGUUCGUUUCAAUUACUGUUAGUGCCAUCUUUUUGAAAUGGUGGGUUCAUUUGCAACUAAUGAAAAGGAGGCUGGAUAUUCCUAGUGUACAGCAAAAUAAAGAGUUAGGGUUUCUCAUGUUAUAAGUUUAUAGUCCAAAAUAGAGAAAAUUUUGAAUUAUAUAUAAAUUCAAGAAUAAAUUUCAGAAUCAUCCAUCUUAAUAGUGGCUAAACUAACGUAGCUAAUUAAAAGUAAAUCAGAUUAAAAUUCUAAGACCUAUCUAGAAAAAAAAAAUCCAAAAAUAACUUAGAAAAUAAAAAAAAAUCUCAAACAACAAUUUCUAGGUCUAAUUGAAACAUGAAAACCAACUUUAUUAAACGAUUAUAUAAAAAAUUAUCCUGGGUUUUUUAAAAAAGAUAUCGUUUGACAUGUCGAGGAUUCUUUUUAGACCUAGACUUUGGAACAUGAAAACCAACUUCAUUCAAUGAUUAUAUAAAAAAUUAUGUUGGUUUACCCGAGUAAAUCUUAUUAAUAUCUUCUCUUGAUUGCUAAAAAAAAAAGCAGUAAAUUAUCAAAAAAAUAACAGUGUGGAAGAAGCAGUAUUUUCUUACUUUUCUUUUCCUGUGUUUGGAAUGCAAAAAUACUGCAGGGUCCAUAAAUAAUAAAUUAUGAUUUUUAAUUUACCAAAUAAGUUGAAUUUACAUUUUAAAUAAAACACAAACGCAGCCACUUAAAUAAACACUUUUAUAAAUGACGUUGAGUGUUACGUACUGAGAACUCUGCAACUCAUCAGGUGGCUUGUCUCCCAGUAAUGUGUUCUGAACUGACUGCACUAGCUAGGAAGAUUGGACUAGCUAGAGGCUUCACACACACUCACAACUCAGCUGUAGAAGAUUCUAUCCCAUGAUCCACAAAACAUGAAGCUGGAGGGAGUUUAGCUACGACAUGCAGAAUGGCUACUUGCUGGCUCUUCUCUUGGACCAAGAGAAAUCCAACAUUACCUAGAAUAAUUAUUUUUUUUAUAUAAAAAAAUAUAUAAUAUAUAUCAGUUUUUAUGGUUCUAAUAAACGUAUAAUAUUUAAAACAACAUCAACUAGAAACAGUGUUAUAAACUCCAGCAAAAGAUCACACGAUCACUCCACUAAGUAACGUUUAUCCUCUACAAAGAAGGGUUUCUUUCUCAGAAAUAACUCCUUUGUGGCUUUUCCGGCAUUUUGGAGGUAGCAAUAUGGUUUCAUUUAUCUAAAUAGAAGCAUAAAAUUUUAGGUGUUCACCCAACCCAGGGGUUGAAAUCCCAGGUCACAGGUCAGAAAUCUGCUGUCAAUCCAAACUAAGAUUUUUUUAAAUCUCUCAAACAACUUCGUUUUAGUUAAAAAACAAAACAAAACAAAACAGUUUGAAGUAAAACCUAACCCAAACCAGGCUCAGGGUCACCGGGUUGACUAAAAUUUAUGAAAGGAAACUUCCCCAGCUGAAUCCAUGAUGGCUGUAACAUAAUACGAAGAAGAUUGCCUUGUCAAGUACCUUACUGGAAAAGGCCUUCUGUAUCACCGGAAGGCUUUCAAGAACACCCCAAGCAUGAAAAUAUUUAGCAUCGGAGGAAAGGGAGACAAACAUGAUCUCUAUCAGCAAAGGCAAACCAGCCGUGUUCUUUCCCACAACAGCCAAAUCUGUCUGCAAAAGCACAAAAAUAAAAUAAAAAUGCUAAGCUUCUCUCAGCUCCUGCACUUGAGCAUGGGGCAUUAAUAAGUGAACUCAUUACUGAAAAUUGAGUCGCUAUACAGAUUUAUUUUUCAAAUUGAGUCGCUCCUUCAGUAUAGGCUUGUUUUUACCUUCAUCAUAUUCUACAUGAUCAAGGCUUGCCUGCGUAUUCUGCAGACCAUGAGAUGCAGGGUCGUUCAUUUUUCCAAAGCCAAGGGCAAACAGCUGGUCCUCUUCUCUCGAAGCCACAGAUAAUGGAAAGGGCUUUACCGGGCUGUUAGUUGUACAUUUUGAAGAAGACCAUAGCUCAUCAGCAUUACCAAGAUUUACAUUGCCAAAUAUUGGGUCAUCAUUGCUGCAAAAUCACCACUUGUGAGGAUAUCGAGUCAGAUGGUUAUUACUGUUAUCCAACAAAAUCAAGAUAAAAUAUAAGAACAUUAGUGAAGAACAGAAAUGCAGGAAAGCCAGUGCUGCUAUAUUACAUUUUUUCUGCCAUUUAUACUUGUAAUUGAGGAUAUUGUGCUGCUAAAAACUGGCAUCCUUCAGGUUCUUUUCCCAAUUAACAAAAUUAAGCCAAGGAUCAAAAAUCAUAAAUUUUCAAACAACUAGUCAUUUUUUGUUAGUGUUGCUUUCAGCAGACAGCACUUAUUUGGAAAAGGAUAUAGAUCCAAAACAGAAGAAACUACAAUUAUUAAAAGAGUCUGGUUGUUUUUCCUUCACAACAACACUCUUGUACUACAUGGUUUUUUUCUUCUGAAAUGAAAAUAGACAGCGAGCAUAAUUAUUUUGUUCGCGAAACUUUCACUUCACAUUCAGUAAUAAGAAUGUGUUCAAAUUAUCAGAAUAAUGAGAUAUACAAGCUUCCAUAUCAGGGUGCUGCUGACCAUCUUUCAUUUAGGUGCAGAAAGUAAGAAAUGGUAACUGUGCUUUACCUGAAAAUUCGAUCAAGAUCAUCAAAGCUUCCAAUGCUAGCCCAGCCAUAAUCAACAAAAUCACCUUGCUCUUCACCUUCAUGAGGAUUUUGAAAAAUCUCAGUGUCCUUAUCAAGAUGACCUGUCUCCGCGUUUUAAGAAAAAAAGAAUUAGAAUGACAGUAGCAUGUAAGAUACUAUGCUAUGAAAACAUCAUGCAACUCAUCACCCUAUCUACAUUUUUUCCUUGUAAUUGAAAUCUCAUCACCUGCUGAUGAAUCGAGUUUGGUAAUCUCAGUUAGAUUGUUAGAGAUUGAAGUUUCCAAGGAAUCCUGCUCAGUUUUGGCAGCAUUACGUGAGGACAAGUUAGGCCAUCGGUCCAUGUCAAGUCCUAAGGAAGAAGUUCCUUCACUUGUGUCAACAUUCGAAAUGCUCUCCAGCUUUCUGCCAUCAGUAUCAACUUUAGCCCCAGGUGCCUUCUGCUCACUAGAUUUAAUGGUGCUAGCUUCUUCACUCGAUUCCUUUUUCUUGCAAUAAUCUUCACUUGCCUCUGGAUAUGGCACGAUAUGGUCAUCACUAUCUUCAGCCUCACCCCAUAUUAUGUGAAGAACUGAAAUGCAGGAAAGCCCUUCCACAAUUGAACACGCUCACCAAUUCCUUGCAAAUCCUCAAGGCAUAUUUUGGAAUUUUUUUUUUUUUUAAUUAACGUGAAUGUUUAGAAUAAUUUAUGUGCAGCUCAAUCAAUCUUACAGGUUUUAAUGUUAAUGAUAAUGUAAAUUUUCGAUGAUUUAAAAAAAAACUCAAACUAAUUAUUAUUAAAGAGUAAACUCAAUGUCCGAUAAUUAAGCUGCUUGUCAUAGUUGUUUUAAGUGUAUAAUAUGUUGCAUUUAAGACAAAAUUAAUAGUUUUUAAUAUUUUUAUUACUGAAAUGCUUUGGAGAAGCGCGUGCGGCCACAUGUACGUGAAUUUCUUUUUUUGUAUUUUUUCCCCUCUUAUGGUAAAUUACAAAAAUUUCCUUUUAUUUUUUCUAUAAAGAAUUUAAUUUUUAUUAUUUUAUUGUUAUUUAUUUGAUUUUUAUUUUUUGUAAAAAAAAAUUUUAAUUUUAUUCUUAUCAUUUGAUUUUAUUUAAUUUUUAUACCAAGUUUGGCCCUUAUUUUUUUAAUUAUUAUUUAUUUAUUUAUUUAUUAUCUUUUUUCUAAUUGAAUUUUCUUUUCAAAUUCAUCUUUUAAUAUAUGAUUUCAAUUUAUUUUAAUAUUAAAUUUAAUUAAUUUGCUUUUUAUUACUAUAUAUUUUAUUUUAAAUCCUUUUUAAAUUGUAUUUUUUUUUCCAGUUUUAUCUCUCAUUAUCUUGUGAUAAAGAAUUUAACUUCAUUAUUUUUUAGGGUUUGUCUUUUGUAGAGUUAACAAAGUCACAAGUUUCAGAUAUUAACACAGAUUAACUUCGGUUUUUUUUUUUAGUUUUGUUUUUUUUUUUAAAUCUUAUCCUUCAAUGUUUGAUUUAUAGAGAAUUUAUCUUCAUGUUUUUUAAUACACUUUUCUUUCUUCAUGCUAUCUCAAUUUUAUAUUUAUAAUCAUUAAAAUUAAAAUAUUAACCUAUGUUAACUCAAAUAUUUAUUAAACUUAUUCAAUUAAAUGAACGGAGUCUUUGAAAACGCUUAUGUCCGAUUAACUAAUUAUUUUUUACAAUAAAAAAAUCUAGGACGGCUAAAAUCUUGAUUAAAGAGAACAUUAACAAGUCUAGUAGCAGUGCAUGGUCGUUUAGAAAGAAAGCAAGAGCAGCGGAUUGGGAGCGUUUAUUGGGUCUUUCUGGCCUCUACAUAACCUUCCAAUGUUACUUCUAGGCCUCCCAAACUCCUCAAAAUUCUGGUGACAAUAUAAUGCUAUUCCAUCAAGGUAGUAUGAUGCUAACUUAAGUUUUUUAGAAUCUCCAAUCUUUUUAAGAUUAAAAUAUUGAUUGCCAUUUAUGGGCAUCUUCCCCAUCAAAGCUGAGAAAGUCACAUAUGGGUUUGUGCGUCCUAAUCCGAGAGUGCUCACCUUCACUAGGUAAUCAAGUUAUUGCAACUUAUGAGUUGUUUGUUUGUCUCGGGUAGGUAUUAGCCUCCCCUGUGGAAAGUUUUAGUGAUCGAAGAAGGGAUGUUUGUUGAUAAGUUAUUCCACUAAUGAGACCCUUGAGUUCGUUAAACUUAGCUUCAUGGUUGCUUUCUGUGGUACCCAGUUUGUGAUUGUAAGACUCCAACAUUUUCAUCAUUUGUCCAUAAUCUUAUGCUUGAUCCUUGCUGACAGCUUCAAGGGAGCUCUCCAGCUUUUUGAUGUCUUGAGAUCCAGUGUCAGGAGCGAUCGAUCAUUUGUUCACAUUCCGAGGAUCGAUCGCUCUAAUACCACUUGUAGCAAGUACGAUGGAAUGAUCUCCCACCAGGAUAGAAUCCAGUAGGACUGUUAGGUCACUACACUGAUUUGAGGUUUACAAUGGAGUCUACUAAUCACAGGGAUCAAUAAACUCGCAGGCCAUAUAACAGAAACACUGGAUGAUAGGGAAUAAAGAAGAAGAGAGUGGAGAGAAGGACAUAAAUUGGUUAAGCCACCAUUUUUCGUUCUUCGAUCUAUUUUCACGCAGGCAUUGUGUUACAAAUGCUAACUGAAAGAGCGGCUAACAACAACUUCCAAUUAUCAAGCAACAGCCAACACGUGGCAAGAGUCAUAAAAGAAACAGCAACAUUUAAACGAUGUGUCUAGGUAGUAAUUGAACGGUGUGUUUUGUGACAUAAUACCCCUACAAUCUUCUAAUGGCCAUACGGUGCGUUUAGUAGGAUUCUAACAUCUUCCAACGGUCACUAGAUUCAAAUUUGGAGCAAAGAUAUCAUAUCAAUAUUUUUUUUCUUCUAUGAAAAUCUUAAAAACAUAUCUUUCUCACUAGCACAUAUAUAGUCAUCACAACUAAAAUAUACAUUUUUAAUAACGUGAUUAUAUAAUGAGAAGGAUUAAUUUGUGUGUUAAAGCCAUCACAAAUAUCUGAUGUAAGAACAGAGGAAGUUACAGCUUCCUAUCAUAAUUAUCAUGGCCAAUUAAAUUUGCAUCAUCAUGAUGCAUUAUCCAAAAUCCGAAACGUAAGUAUUUAUCUUGCGCUGCUAAUUCAUUUUAUUCUUUCCAACUUUAUUUUUUUUAACUGAAAAAUAAUCUUUUAUUCUUGUACUGCACAGGCAUGUGUUGGCAAAAGUCGUGCGCGAUAUAUAUUUCUGAAGAUACAUAUGGCUGGUGAUUAGCGGAUGAUGGUGUCAUUAAGCCUCUUGGUGUGUCCCCUCAUCCUUUCUGCUUAUCGUCCAGUCCAUUUGCAGCUUCAAUGGCUACUAUCAGUUGCUUUGGAACCUGAUAUCACUAGUCUCGUUAUGGUACAGACAAGCUCAGGAUGAUCAAUCCUUGAGAAUCCACAUCCAACCAGAAAUAAACAGAAUUUCGAGCAUAAAUGACUCGAAGAUACACUAUCACCAUUAGUUUGGGAAUCAGAAACACUAUCAUAAAUGCUAGGUCCCCACUACUUGUCAGGACAGCUUUGGCACCUCCUUGAAUCCUAGUUUUGGAAACAGAAGCACUCUAUCACCAUUAGUUUUCACCGAGGAAGACAGCACCCCCAUUCCCUCCUCCUGUGCUGAUGAGAGAGAGAUACAAAGGAUUUGCCCAACAUUGAAGUAUGCAACUGUCUAUGGUUAGCCUUCCACUUUCGUGAUGCAAGCAGCAACCAAGCCCUGCCUUCACUGUCAGGUUUGCUAUUUAGCAAGUAGACAAGAACUCCAGGGCACUGCAUGAAGAAAUGAUUGAUUCACGAAGCCUGACUUCUUUGAAUUUAAAAGAUUAGAAUCAUUGGAAGAGAAAGAAGAAAAGGUGUAAACGACAGCGGAAUGCUAUUAUACCAUCUGCCAAGGUAAUGCCAAGCCUACUUGCGAGGUAUUUAUAUCAUAAUUGUUAAGUAUUAGAUUGUUGCCGCCUACCAAGCGAAGAGGUUUGUUUAUUUGGAUAUUAGAGCCAAGAUGCGAGUCCAACACUAUUAAGAUUUAAGAUAGUGUUUACAUUAAUUUUUAAAAUAUUUUUUUAUUUAAAAUAUAUUAAAAUAAUAUAUUAAAAAUUUAUUUCAUAUCAAUAUAUUAAAAAAAUUAAAAUACAUAUUAUUUAAAAAAAAUUGUCUCGCCGCAAAAAAACAAUAAAAAAUUAACAGUGAAUAACAAAUAUAAACCAUGGCAGAAAGCAUGGAUACCUUCAACAGCAAUGGCGCUUCAGUUCGCGGCAUUUUCAGCCGCGACCGAUGCCUGACGGAGUUGGUAGACGACAGGUCGGCACAGAUCUACAGGCACUACAUCUCUCGAAGGACAGUUUUGGAAAUGCACAAAGACCGUGGCUAUGAUGUGGCUGACACAGACCUCACUCGAUCACUCACCGAGUUUCGUUCCGUUUUCAGAAAUAGCCCUAAUCUUGAUAGCCUCGGCUUCUCUGUUUCUCUCCGCUCCAAUCCGUACAAGAAGGUAUGCUCAUUAAUCUCAAGCUCAUUUCGAUUAUUUUGUUGAAUAUUUUAACCACAUGGAUUCUUAUAAUAAUAAUUUAAUGUUUUUUUUUUAAUUUAAUUUGUUUAUUUUCAUGGGAGGUUUUUUAUGUAGAGAACAUAGGAAGUGUAAAAGGUGGCAACUUUUUUGCUUUAUUUUAUACUGUAUUUAAAGCCAGUGCCUUUUGAUUUGGUUUGGAAGUAUACUGUUUAAAAUUGAUGUGUUUUUUGUUUUUUUUUUAGUUUUGGUUUGUUGAAAAUGAGUUGGUGCAUAUGCAAACAAAAGGGUGUUUUAUGAUUAUUAUUUUUUUAAGAUUUAUUAUGGGUUUUGUUUGUUUAAUUUAAUAAAGAAACCUUUCUGAAGAGAGAAAUUCAAUCGUGCUCUUUUUUUAUUGCUUAUUUCUUGCAUUUUUAUGACUUAUUCUAGGGGUAAGCUUCCUAUUUUUUUUACAAGUUUUGUUAUUUGUUGGAAACAUUGCUUGAUGAAUUGUUAAGAAAAUUUGGGCUUGCAAAUACAGCAGGGAAAAGACUGUCUUCGAAUUGGAUUUUGCGGGACCAUAGACUGGGAUGUUUUAUUUUUUAUUUUUUACUCAUUUUAAGUUUUCUUAAAAAUCUCAUGCUUGUAGCCUGUAGGAACUUGUAAAAGUUGGAAUUCUGAUACAAGAACAGCUCUUGUUUAAGUAAUUUCUGCAAGCAAAAUUUGUAUGGAAAUCCUAGUCAUAAUUUUUUUUUUUAACCUGGUCGUCAUCUUCAUGGGAACUGAUGAAAUUAGAACAGCAAAUAUCAGGGCUGUAUAUGGUCAAAUUCUUAGCAAAGAGAGUAUACAAGGGCUGAUACUGAUCUUGCAAAGCAAAAUGAACUACUUUGCCAAGAAAGAGCCGGAGAAGUUUCCAUUCAAAUUGGAGGUUUUUCAAGUACACCCCCUGUUGUCUAAAUAAAUUUUCAUACUGCAGAUUUGUUGUAAGACAAUUAGAAAGAACUUUGGGUGGCCAGACAUUUAAAGAACGAUGCUAAUUUCUAGCCACAAGAGGUCAUGCUAGUCACUUUUUGAUCAUGUCUGUGAUACUAGCGGUGAUCUUUUUGAAUGCUCUUUCUCCAUCAAAGCUAAUGGAAAUUAAUGUGUAUAAAUUAUCAUUUUAUCUUUAUGUAUCAUAUUGUCCUUCAUGAUUUGAUUUGCAUUCAGAUCACUGACCUGCUGGUGAACAUUACCAUGCAUGUUCUGCAGCCGAAGAUUUCAAAGAAGAAAACAUAAUGAUUUUGGUCAAUUGUGUUUGAACUCUUUGCAUUUCACCAUCCUCUACCUUCUAUCAUUUUGAGCGUAGUUGCCACCCACCUCUCUGUGGCUCCAUGUUCCUGCUCCAAACCAUUCAUAUAUGUAUCUUAAAUAGUCUAGCCUGAGCUUUACCGGUUAUGCUUUUUAAUUUAUUUUUAAGUAAGAUAUAUUUUUUAAAAAUAUUUAAAAAAAAAACAAACAUUACAUUACUGUACUCUCAAAAACAUAAUCCUAUUGCAUCUAACUCUUUAAAUUCUAACAAUGAGUACCCAAUUAAACGAUAUCUACAUUCAAUUAAAACUUGUGGUAUAAUUACUUGACAGAGAAAUAAAGAAACCCUGUAAUAUCUAUAAAAUUUCUAUGCUCUUUAAAUUAGGUGUACAAACUGAGGCUGUAACGAGCCUUGAAUCUUUUCUUCUGUGGGAAAUGGGUUGAUGUCAGAGGUAGACAGGGAAACAGAGGGGGAAAAAAAUGCAUGCUGAGCUGGAGCUCUUGGAGGACAUAGAGAACGUACUACGCUUUCAUUCGAGUUUAGCGCACGACGAGAAACCUGAAUUCUUUAUAAAAAGCUUGGUAUAAAUAUAUUUCUUCUUAGACAUUAAUUAUUCAUGCAAUUGAAGUUGAGUUUGGGUUAGGUUUUGGAUAGAGCAUGGUAAUAUCUAACCUGAUCUGAAACUUAAUUUUUUAUCUUCAAGUUUUACAUCAAAUCCACUUGAAUUUAAAAAUUUCUUAAUUAUUUGAACAAGUUCAAGACAGUAUCCAUAGAAUUCAAGUGAAAUCGGCCCGAGGAGGAUAUACAAGUAGACUUCUAGUUUUCUCAAAUAUUUCAAUUUUAAUGAUUGGACAAGAGAGCAAAAAGAUACUGGUGAAGGUGGAGAGGAUGUGAGAGACGAUGGGGUAUCUUAUUUAACUGUGAAAACAUCAACUGUUGUGGUCAAUUUUGGUGGACUAAAAGCCAUCAACUUGAUUAAUGAUAAACACUUCAGGCUCCUUUCCCGUUCUUUCCCUCGCUGGAUCCUUGAUGUCUUCGAGGGGUGCCAGCGCCGUGUUCGAGGAUUGAGCAUAAAAAGACUAAAAAGAGUUAAGUAAAUUAAGAGCAUCUUUAAUGGAGAAGUUAAAUGAAUAGAUGAAAAUAAAAAAUUAAUAUUUUAAAUUUUUUUUUUUUUACACUAAAUAAAAUGUUAAAAUGUUUUUUCUCUUUCAUAAAUGUUAUUUUUAUAUAUCUUUUAAAAGAGUCAAAAUUAAUGAAGUGGAGCCAAUAAAAAAAUAAACCAAUUAAAUCUAGUCAUGUGGAAAAAAAAUAACAUCAAAAUCAUUAAAAAAAAACACUUCUUUAUUCUAUUCUAAUAAAAUUAGCUUUUUAAAUGGCUUUUUUUCAUUAGAAUAUACAUGGUAAAAAAUCCUAUAUUUAUACUAUUCAAAAUGAUAUUUUAUCAAUUUAUCUCUUUAAAAUAACAUUUCUCAUUAAAGAUGCUCUAAAAGAGUUUUUAUAAUAUUCAUAGCAAUGUUCAUCAGCUCAUUUAUAAUUUAUUUAUCUACUUUAUCAAUGAAAUAAAAGUAAUAAAAGCAAAGGAGAGAAGAAAUAAAGCGAAGUCUUCUUCCGCGUUAUUAGCACAUGUGAAAAGAAAGAUUGGCAUAUAUAAUAAAAGUUAUUCCAAUCAAACCCACUUUUUCAAAGAUGGGAUCUCUUUGCAAAUAAAGCAAGUAAAAUUAAUAAAAUGUGGGACCUAACUCCAAUUUCCUGGCACCCGCAACCCACGCAUUCACAAGCCCGUACUUUAUCAAUGAAGUAAAAGUGAUAGAAGAAGAGAGAAGAAAUAAAGUGAAGUCUUCUUCUGCAUUAUUAGCACAUCACGUGAAAAUAAAGACUGGCAUAUAAUAAAAGUUAUUCCAAUCAAACCCAUUUUUUCGACGAUGGGAUCUCUUGGCAAAUAAAGCGAGGACAAACCCAGUAAAAUGGGGGACAUAACUCGUUUUUCCUGGCACACGCAACUCACGCAUACACUAACACUAAUUUGAGAUUUUUUUUUUUACUUUGGAGUUUACUGGCAAAUAAAGUGAUGGAAGAACAUCUUCUUCUGCAUCAUCACAUCACGUGAAAAGCUUGGCAUUUAAUGAAGUUUUUCCAAUCAAACCCACUCUUUUCACAGAUGGAAUUUCUAGGAAAAUAAAUCAAAGACAAAACCGAGUAAAAUGGAAUUCCCGGUAUAAUAAUUAUUUUUUAAUGUAUUUUUUAUUUUUAAAAAUUUAUUUUUGAUAUUAAUACAUCAAAAUUAAAAUAAUUUAAAAACAUCAAAAAUAUAUUAAUUUAAAACAAAAAAAAUAUUAAUUUUUUUCAAAAAUACUUUCCACUUAGUCGAUGUCUGCAUGAUUAAUCAUGCACUUACAACCACAAAUCUUCCUUUAAUCAUAAGAAUAACUGCUGUUCAUAACGAGUCAUUCAAGUAUGAUUAUUCACUUAAAUAAUUAAUUACGUUUAAUUAGAUCUAUCCAUAAGAUUGCAAUUGAGCUAAUUGUUCUAUAAUUACAGUAGCUAUGAAAGGUCAAGCACAAUUUCAUCCAAAACAAAACUCGUUAUUUUUAAAAAGAAAAAAUACUCCAAUUUUUUUUUUAUAUUUUAGUAUUUCUUAUAUUUAAAGGCAGUAUAGUUGUAAUAUUUUCAAGUAAUCGAAACAACCACCUAUGUAUCAAUUAUAUGAUAUACUGACUUGACUUUCCAAGUGUUUUAACUUUUGAGUACGCGAGGAAGAAAAUAUAUUUCUCUCUAAAAAAUAAGGAAUUUCAGAUGUAUUUUCUUUUAACUGGCGAAAAGACAGGAAGACGAAGAAAGGAAUAUCUUAUUUCUUGUAGGAGUAUGGUUAGCACGAGCUAUAAGAGUUGUACACGAGAGAAAAGAAAAGGGAAAGGCCUAUCGACUCUCUUUUUUUCUAUGUUCACAGGUAGUACGGAUCGCUUACCAUGAACAUCAAACCUAUCGUUCAUAAAUUGUGCCUAGACUUCUUUAAUCAUUUACAUAUAUAAAUUUGGUUAAUCAAGUUGGAGAAGAUCGUGUCAAGAACCAUGCUGUAUAUGUUUGAUAAUGCAGUGAAUAUAAUUUUACAAGAACAUUUUUCAAUUAAUAAAAUAUUUCUUAAAGAAAUUUUCAAUAAUCUUGUUAACAAAUUUGGGUGGCCAGACAUUUUAAAGAAUGAUGCUAGUUUCUGGCCACAAGAGGUCACUUUUUGAUCAUGUCUGAUACUGGUGGAAUGCUCUUUCUCCAUCAAAGCUAAUGGAAAUGUGUAUAAAUCAUCAUUUUAUCUUUAUGUAGCAUAUUGUCCUUCAUGGUUUGAUUUGCAUUCAUAUCGCUGACCUGCUGGUGAACAUUACCAUGCAUGUUCUGCAGCCGAAGAUUUCAAAGAAGAAAACAUAAUGAUUUUGGUCAAUUGUGUUCGAACUCUUUGCAUCUCACCAUCCUCUACCUUCUAUCAUUUUGAGCGUAGUUGCCACUUGCCACCCACCUUUCUGUGUCUCCAUGUCCCUGCUCCAAACCAUUCAUACAUGUAUCUUAAAUAGUCUAGCUUGAGCUUUACCGGUUAUGCUUUUUAAUAUAUUUUUAAGUAACAUAUAUUUUUAAAAAAUAUAUAAAAAAAACAAACAUCAUGGCGUUAUAUACCACAAUAAUUCUUUACGGUAGUUUUUAUAUUUCUAUAGAUCUCAUUUUACAAUGCGUUAUACCACAAUAAAAACAUCAUGUUUUAUAACUUUACUGCAAACACCCUCAAAAGAAAGAGCGAAGGUGACAUUCAUUAUAACUUUACUGCCCCACCUCUCUCGCCUACGAGCAGCAACCACUACCAGAUGUUCAUGGCGUCUUCUUCUUCUUCGUCUAGACCUGGUUGGGAUUACGAUGUAUUUCUAAGUUUUAGAGGUGAAGAUACUCGCAAAAAUUUUACGGGUCAUCUUUACACUGCUUUACAGAAUGCAGGAAUCCGUACAUUUCGAGAUGACGACGAACUUUGUAUAGGUGAAGAAAUCUCCUUACAACUCCCCAAAGCAAUACAAGAAUCCAAGAUUUCUAUAGUGGUUUUCUCCAAGGGCUAUGCUUCCUCCACUUGGUGUCUUGAUGAACUUGAAAAGAUUCUUGAUUGCAAACAUACAACUGGUCAGAUUGUUAUACCUGUUUUCUAUGAUAUCGCUCCUUCUGAUAUUAGAAAACAGACGGGGAGUUUUGCUGAAGCCUUUGGUAAGCAUGAAGAACGUUUUAAGGAAGAAAUGGAGAAGGUCAAAAAGUGGAGAGAAGCUCUUGUGGAGGCUGCAAAUUUAUCUGGGUUUGAUCUUCGCAGUUUCGCAAAUGGGUACUUCUUUUCUUCCCCUAUAUCAAUAGCAAAGGCUCAUAACUUUUACUCUUAUUAUGUUUUGUAUUUUAAAUUUGCAUUAAAUUCAAAAGAUUAUCUUUCAUCGAUGAGUGAUGACUUUCUUUUUCUCUCCACAGGCACGAAGCAGAAUUAAUUAAAAAGAUUGUAGAAGAAGUUUCAAGUAAAUUGAACAUCAGAACCAUGAACGAUAGGCCGCUGAAGAGGUUGAAGACAGCAAUGAUACCUGGCAGGGGGCUGCUUGACGAUGCUGCGGAGAAGCAGAUAACAAAGACAGAUGUGCGGGAUAGUAGUCUGCUGCAGAAGUUGAAGACAACAACGACAUCUCUCAGGUUGGUGCUUGACGAUGCUGAGGAGAAGCAGAUAACAAGUUCAUCUGUGCGGGAUUUGCUGACCGAGCUUAAAGACGCUGUCUAUAAAGCCGACGACUUCUUGGAUGAGAUUGCUUAUGAAGCUCAACGGCAGGAGCUGGAAGCUGAAGCUCAAAUCUUCAUUAACCCACGUGAAAUAAUGGGGUUGAGAGAGAGAGAAGAAAAAUCAAAAGGCCUCCAGGAGAGACUAGAUGACUUAGUAAAACAAAAGGAUGCCCUUGGUUUGAUCAACCGCACUGGAAAAGCACCAUCAUCGCCUAAAAGACAAACAACUUCUCUCGUUGAUGAAUCUGGUGUUUGUGAUAGAGAUGAUGACAGCGAAGCAAUACUGAAGUUGCUUCUAUCAGAUGAUGCAAAUGGAAAAAACCCAGGUGUCGUUCCCAUAGUAGGAAUGGGCGGGGUUGGUAAAACCACACUUGCCCAGCUUGUAUACAAUCACAGCAGAGUACAAGAGUGGUUCAACCUCAGAGCUUGGGUUUGUGUUUCAGAAGAUUUCAGUGUUUCGAAGUUAACCAAGGUGAUCCUUAAGGAGGUCGAUCCAGAGUCUGGUUCUGGGAGUCUGAAUAAUCUCCAGAUUCAGUUGAAGGAGAGAUUGCAGGGAAAGAAAUUUUUGCUUGUUUUAGAUGAUGUUUGGAAUGAAAAUUAUACUGAGUGGGUCAAGUUGCUUACCCCCCUGAAGUACGGAGCACAAGGGAGUAAGAUUCUUGUCACAACACGCAAUGAAAUUGUAGCAUCAGUCAUGAGAACUGUUCCAACUCAAUAUCAUCUAAAAGAAUUGACGGAAGACAGCUGCUGGUCCGUGUUCGCCAAACAUGCAUUUUGUGGUGAAAAUCUCAAUGAUUAUGAAAAGUUGCUAGAGAUUGGCAAAGCUAUAGCAAGAAAGUGUAAAGGCCUUCCUCUAGCUGCAGUAACACUCGGAGGUCUGCUACGCACCAAAAGAGAUGUCGAGGAGUGGGAGAAGAUAUUGGAAAGCAAUCUAUGGGAUUUACCCGAACACACUAUCCUCCCAGCUUUGAGAUUAAGUUAUCAUCAUCUCCCGUCACAUCUGAAAGAAUGUUUUGCUUAUUGUGCCAUAUUUCCAAAAGACUAUGAAUUUCAAAAGGAUAAAUUAGUGCUCUUUUGGAUGGCAGAGGGCUUCUUGGUCCACUCUGCAGUAGAUGAUGAGAUGGAAAAAGCAGGUGCAAAGUGCUUUGAUGAUCUCUUGUCAAGGUCCUUUUUCCAGCAAUCAAGUGCCUCUCGCUCAUCAUUUGUGAUGCACGAUCUCAUGCAUGACUUGGCUACCCAUGUGUCCGGUCAAUUUUGCUUCACCUCCAGGUUGGGGGAAAAUAAUUCUUCCAAGGCCACCAGAAGGACUCGACAUUUAUCACUCGUAGUAGAUACGGAAGAGACGGAUGGUGAAGAUACCAAAGAUGGAGAUACGGAAGAUGUUUUUUCAAGCACAAUAUUAGAAAACAUCCGUGAAGCCGAACUUCUACGCACAUUCCUACAUUUUUCACCCUAUUUGGAGUGUCUUCCCGAAAUUUAUAAUGAGAUCUUUCAGUUAACACUUGGGCGCCUACGAGUGCUAAUCAUGUCUUGUUGGCAAGAUGCAUCUAAGAUGUUAUGUUCAGCUAGCAAGUUGAAGCAUUUGCGGUAUUUGGAUCUCUCAGAGUCAGAUUUAGUAACGUUGCCUGAAGAAGUGAGUGCUCUUCUCAAUUUACAAACGUUGAUCUUGAAAGAUUGCAAACUACUUGCUAGUCUACCUGAUCUUGAAAGUUUGAAGCACUUACGACAUCUGAAUCUCCAAGGAACAGGGAUCGAAAGGUUGCCUGAAUCUCUGAAAAGGUUAAUCAACUUGCGGUAUCUUAACAUCAAAUACACGCCUUUGAAAGAGAUGCCACCACAUAUAGGUCAACUGACAAAGCUCCAAACUUUGACUUUCUUUCUCGUGGGAAGACAGAGUGAGACUAGCAUUAAAGAAUUGGGAAAGCUACGACAUCUACGGGGAGAACUUCAUAUUCGGAACCUUCAAAAUGUGGUGGAUGCUCGGGAUGCUGUCGAGGCAAAUUUGAAAGGUAUAAAGCACCUUGAUAAGCUGAGGUUUACAUGGGAUGGUGACACUCAUGGCCUGCAACACGUGACAAGCACACUUGAGAAAUUAGAGCCAAAUAGAAAUGUGAAGGAUCUUGAGAUUGAUGGCUAUGGAGGUGUAAGGUUUCCGGAGUGGGUAGGAGAGCCCUCUUUCUCAAAUAUAGUGUCCUUGAAGCUCAGUAGAUGCACAAACUGCACCUCCUUACCACCGCUCGGGCAAUUAGCUUCUUUAGAGGAUCUCUCAAUUGAAGCAUUUGAUAAAGUUGUGACUGUGGGCUCUGGGUUCUAUGGGAAUUGUACAGCUAUGAAGAAGCCAUUUGAAUCCCUCAAAAGUUUAACUUUUAAAUGGAUGCCAGAGUGGCGCGAGUGGAUUUCAGACGAAGGCAGCCGGGAAGCCUUCCCUCUUCUAGAGUCGCUUUCAAUCGAAGAAUGCCCGAACUUUGCAAAGGCCCUACCUUGUCACCGCCUUCCACGUGUAACAAGUCUUACAAUUCGUGGAUGUAAGCAGCUCGCGACUCCUUACUAUGGAGGUGUAAGGUUUCCGGAGUGGGUAGGAGAGUCCUCUUUCUUAAAUAUAGUGUCCUUGAAGCUCAGUAGAUGGACAAACUGCACCUCCUUACCACCGCUCGGGCAAUUAGCUUCUUUAGAGGAUCUCUCAAUUGAAGCAUUCGAUAAAGUUGUGACUGUGGGCUCUGAGUUCUAUGGGAAUUGUACUGCUAUGAAGAAGCCAUUUCAAUCCCUCAAAACAUUACGGUUUCAAGGGAUGCGAGAGUGGCGCGAGUGGUAUUCAGACGAAGGCAGCCGGGAAGCCUUCCCUCUUCUAGAGUCGCUUUCAAUCGAAGAAUGCCCGAACCUUGCAAAGGCCCUACCUUGUCACCACCUUCCACGUGUAACAGGACUUACAAUUCGUGGAUGUAAGCAGCUCGCGACUCCACUUCCUAGGUUUCCUAGGUUGCUCUCUCUCUUUGUUACUGGAUUGCACUCCCUAGAGUCCCUACCCGAGGAAAUUGAUCAAAUGGGUUGUUCACCCUCUGAUUUAGAGGAAAUUACAAUCAAGCGCUGUGCUUCUCUCAAAUGCGUCGCACUGGACUUGCUCCCCAAGUUAAAAUCUCUAUGUAUCUGUGACUGUCCAGAUCUGGAAUCACUAUGUGCACAAGAAAGACCUCUCAAUGAUCUCACCUCUCUCCAUUAUUUGGAAAUCUCGGACUGCCCUGAAUUAGUUUCAUUUCCCAAAGGAGGGUUACCUGCUCCAGUCUUGACACGACUUGAGUUAAUAGAAUGCAGCAACCUGAAGCAGUUGCCUGAGAGUAUGCAUUCCCUCCUCCCAUCCCUUAAGCAUUUGGAAAUAAGAGGUUGUUUAGAAGUUGAGUUGUGUCCAGAAGGGGGUUUUCCCUCCACAUUAAAAUUUCUUUGGAUUUGGAAUUGCAAUAAUCUCAUUGCAGGCCGCAUGCAAUGGGGCUUGCAAACACACCCUUCUCCUUUAUACUUUACAAUUGGUAUGGACGAAAAUGUUGAAUCCUUCCCUGAAGAGAUGCUUCUGCCCUCAAGUCUUACAUCUCUUACUAUCUUUGAGCUAAAACACCUGAAAUAUCUUGACUACAAGGGGCUUCAACACCUCACCUCCCUUUCUUCUCUUCGAAUCGACAGGUGUCCUAUGCUGAAAUAUCUUCCAAGGCUUCAACACCUCACCUCCCUUUCUUCUCUUCGAAUCGACAGGUGUCCUAUGCUGAAAUAUCUUCCAAGGCUUCAACACCUCACCUCUCUUAGAGAAUUGACUAUAUGGAAGUGCCCUCUGAUUGAGUCAAUGCCAGAAGAAGGGUUGCCCUCCUCCCUUUCUUCUCUUGUAAUUCGCGAUUGUCCUCUGCUGGGUGAAAGUUGUGAAAGGGAGAAAGGUAAAGAUUGGCCCAAGAUUUCUCACAUUCCUCACAUAGAUAUGUACCCAACAUCAGCGGAGCAAAGAAGUAGCAGUUAAAGGGAGCUUUUCUUUCAAUCAAAGGCAACAUAUUUUUUUGAGGUAUUGCUACUAAAUAGUUUAUUUUCUUUUCUGUAAUCAAAAGCAAUUUCAGUUAAAAUUUGGAUGAAUGAAAUACAGAUAUUGUCCUAGAAAGUUGUAUGUUUUUAUUUGUUGGAUGUUGAAAUACAGAUAAUAUCUUCCUAUUGUCUCUCGUUCAUCUCCAUAAAUAAUAAUCAUCAUUCUAUUUCAAUAUCUUUUUUGCUAUAAUUAAUGCUACUAUUGUUCCUCUAUCAAAUGCGGCAAGUAAACAUCACAUGCUUGAUGCUUCUGAUUUUGAACUGCCAGCGCCACCCUUAAAAAACAAGUGUCCAUCUUAAAAGACAACGGGCCUAGCAGAGCUGAAAAGGAUAAAAAAAUAUUUAAAUAAUCUGCAACAGAUUUUUCUUGUUGACGCGACAAAAUCAAAAUUCAAAAUUUAAAAUGUCCUCUCUCCUUUUCUCCUUUUCCUCAUCUUCAAAAAUUCAAAAUCUUUUCCCCACCUUUUUCUCUAAUCUAUUCCCCUUCUCCAAAAAUUCAAAAUCCAAAAACUUUUGAUUUAUCUAUUUUAUUAUUACUUAACUUUGAUUAAAAAACUUUUCUUGAAGUUUACUUCCAUCAAAGAUCUUUUAUAGAUAUAAAAAGAAGAGAUAAUAUAAAAUUCAUCCGCGUAUUGGAAUCACAAUUCAGAAUCAAGUGAAAGCGGCCAAUGUCACUCGAGAGAGUAGGCACUUGCAAAUCUGCUAAUAAUUAUUGGAGCAUCAUCCUUUCGCACAAUCAACAGAAAGGAUUAAAGCACAUAAAGUCAUCAUCUUGAGAACCCACAGCAAAGAGUUCAUUGUUUUGCAGUAGAUACGUAGCUAUAUGCACAAAUGCGACUUCUUGAUGGUUACACUGCUAAAGUCAUUUACAAAUCGUGUUUAUUCCUCAUGAUGAUCCAGUGAGCUGACAAUAAAAGAAAACCUCGGCAUUACUAGUAAAUCGUCACUGCAAGCAUAAUGCAAGCAUGGAAGAGAUUCAGGUAGGAAUUACCCUUGUCUUCAUUGAGAGGCUUUAACCUCCCUAGCUCCUUCAUCAGCAGGCCCAUGGUUUGAUGCAUCCUCUGAAGCGUCUAAGCAAGGAUUGCUUUUACACUGACUUAUAGGCUGAGCACUGGUCAAGAGACUAGAAAGUUGAGACCCCCUUUUGCGAAAAGUUUGGUUUACCUUUCGGAGUCUCAGAC